CAUGUAUAUAGAUCCAAUCUAACUAAGCCAAGUACAUAACUAUGAUAAACUAAGAACAAUAUAAUCUUGAAUAUAAGCAAGUAGAGCAAAGUCAUAAGCAAUAUAUUGAAGUAGAACAAAGUCAUAUUCAUAAUAUUGAAGAACAAAGAUAAUUAGAAAGCAAUUAGAAGCACAAUUAGAGAAUUACCAAGAAUCCUCUUGACAGAUCCGUAAACCAAUCGAAGAUUGACUCCUUCUAGUUCUAAUCCUAUGUAGCUAUGCUAAUCUAGAUAUCUAAUUGAUGUGGUGGCUCUAAUCUUGAUCAGAGGCUUCUUCUCCCUUGAUGGAACAAUGAAUUAGGGUUGAGAGGCUCUCUCCUCCAGGGGCCAGGGGGUCUAGUUUUAUAGUCCAUUCAAGUGAAUAUGGGCCCUUGGAUCAAACCGACAUAGAUUGUAUGGUUUAGAUUCAUCCUUUAGGUCGGUGGAGACUUCCCGCAAAGCAGAGUCCUGAUUGGACUUGGGAGCAGGGCGGGCGCCCUGUCUCUGGCCCCGAUUCGCCUCCGCUUCGGUCUCGUGGCUUCUGGAGUCUUCUAGAUGUAAGAUAAUUGCGCAGUACGUUAAUACCUUUACGUAAUCCUGACAUGUGGGCCUUUCUUCCAUAUUUCCUAAUAACCCCCUGCAGAAAUAGACAAACACCAAAACUCGUGGAAAUCUGUCAGAUAAAACCCUAAGUCUAGAUCUUGAAUUCAUUUGGAUCCUUUUCUUUAUUUAUUUGAUAAUUAAAUUUGAUACUUAAGGACCGUCAACAAACUCCCCCAAGCUUACCUCUUGCUCGUCCCUGAGCAAGGAUAGACUCAGCUAUGGAUCAUAAGUUGUUGCUAUAUUUUAAAAAUUUGACGGUACACAUGCUUUUAAAUAAGAUCUCAUCUCUGAGUUAGAGUAAACUGUCAAGACUUAAAACUUACUUACUUUACCUACACCAUGGGACUUGUAACCGUCACUUCUGUCUUGAGUGGUUAAAAGAUAGAACAGUCUAGCCAAGUGCCAUGUCUCUUAUUCUUGAUCAGCUAUAACUCUGGGGUUUUUUGCAGAUUUUCAAAUAACACUCAGAGAUUCCUUGUAUGAUUCUCUCAGGUCUCUCUUUUGUGGUAUUUUUGGAUCAUUACCAAGGCAUUGAUGGUAUAUGCCUUCUCUCAUGAUAUGUAGUAUUUGUGGUAUAAGGCAUAGUGACAUUGCCUUCUCUCUCACCCUACUCUAAUAAGGCUUUAAUAUCUGGAGCUCAUAGGUGGGAGAUAAAGUAUACAUACUUACAAGACAUUUAUUGCAUAGUCAAACCAUGGAUCCAAAGUAACAAGUCAAUAAGCCAAAUCAAGAUGUGCAUGUGUGGCGAAUGAAUGGUGUAUGGUGAUGAUGGUGAUAACAAUGGUGAAAACAAUGGUGGUGGAAGUCUAAUUCUACUUUGCUCUUUUGAGGGGAUACAUACCUUCCUUGCUUUUGAAACUUUAUGAGGAGAAUGAGAUGCUCUUCUUUUUCUUGUCUCUGAGGUGGGUAUCUUGUACCCCUAAUUCUACUGUCGGACACUUGUCCAUUUUUACCUCUCGUCUCACUCUUUCUUUUCUUUCGAGGUUCCGAGCACUUGCUCCUUUUUAUUUCCUCGUAUAUUUUUUUAUUUUCUUUUUUUUAGAGCACUCAUCUCUUGAGAUAAUAUAGCAAGUGGUAGUAACAAGAUAACUUGAGCAUUUAGUUCACAAGGGGAAACAGAAAUAUUUUUGGUUAUUCUCUCCCGGAUUAGGAGUAGAAUAUUUUUAGGUGGUUCUGGAGAUGGAAAUGGAUGGAUAUAUGUGGAUGGUACUUCCGGAGUAGAAGUAGCAUAUAUGAGUGAACGUGCAAGUGAAAUCUUGAUUUAACCACAUGACAAGCUCCUAAGGGUCUACACAGCUUGACCACACUCAAUGCUCAUAAGCAGUAAAUAGUAAAUGUGUGGCUCAAAGUCUAGCAAGCAUGUAUAUAUGGCUGUGGUAGGAAUUUAAGCUCUCAUCAUACAGGAACUCAUCAUGUAACAUUUUAAAGAUUUUCAAAGAUAAAAUUCUCCAGAAUUCUAGCAUCUCUAGGAACAGAUAAACAGCAGCUCAACCUUCCCAUAUCGUAUCCAUUAACAACUUAGACUUCAGAUCAAGUUUUCAUCCCACAAGUUUAGGUCUAGGGCAAGCUUUAAAUUAUAAUAGUUAUAUCUAAACUUGAGAGAGAACUUAGAAUGUGCAAAUUAGACAGAGCAACUAUUUAUCAUAUCCAUCCUUAAGUUUUAUUUAGAUACAGAUUAGCAUAGCCACUUAAACACACUAAGCAAAAGACAUAUAUAAGCAUAAAAUCUUUAUUUGGUUUUCCCAUAGUUUAUGUGUAUUUUAAUAUUCUAAAAUAAUAUAAGUAUAAAGAUAGAUAGAUAUACUUAUCGAGAUAAAUGGGGGUGCUCUCCCCCAAGCUGAAUUUUGACGUAAUUUCUCUUGAUGUAGCUAGCAGGUGGCAGAGGUGUAGUUGAAAGUCAGCAGCAUUCUGACAGCGAUUAGAAUGUCCUCCGUCUGCUAGUCUUCUUGAUUCUUAAAUUCUGUGGAGCUCAAAUAGACAACAUAGCUUGUGGAACUGAUUAAGUGUUAGCAUAAAUAUCUAGCCUUUAUCAUGUUGAGACUCCUUAAUAAUUGUUACUCCCUGUUUUUAUAUUUUUUUAUUUUAUAAAGCAGAAAUGAAAUAUUUAUUUUAUUUUUAUGCCACCAUAGUGAAUGUACUUAUGGGUUUUAUGCCACUCGUCUACUCACAUGGGGCUUACAGUUUUUUUCACAUUUUUACUUUCUAUUUAGGAUAGUGCGAACAUGAUUAACUAAGUAAACUAGUUGAAAUAAUUAAAAGGGAAAGGGUAACUACCAAGUUUACCUCUUGGCAGGGUGUUCGGUGUUUUUAAGUCCUCCGAACGGGACUCUCCAACUUCUUAAUCGUCCUGAGGUUCGUUGGGUGGCGAAGUCGGUACUUCCGGUAGCGCCUCCUCUUCAUGUAUAGUUAUCUUCAUUUUCCAUACCUGACUCGGUGCUUCAAUCUCCUCUGGAUAAUUCUGUUUAAACUCUACGUCUUCUGACCUUACAACUUCUCCUUCAUAGUCUGCCCAUCCGUCCUUGAUGAUUUGCCUCCUCUGGUUGCGGUUGCGUCUCUUUCUGACCUGCUUAGAUUCUUCAAUGAUAUAGUUAGGGUCAGUAAAAUAACGGCGUACCUUCUCUGAGGGGAAGUGCAUAUGGACUUCUCCGGUUCCAAUGUAGAUAAUUGCUUUAACGGUGCUGAGGAACGGUCUUCCAAGGAUGAUGGGUGGAUCGUACUCGUCUUCUCCCAUGUCAAUAACUUGAAAGUCUGUGUAGACAAAGUGAUCAUCUAUUUUGACUGGGACAUCAGAUACUAUUCCUUGAACUUCUCGAAAUGUCUGAUCUGCCAUCUGGAGCUGAAUGUAUGUUGGUCUUAGUGGCAUGGUCCCGAACAAGAGCCGAUAAGUGACUGCGGCCAUUAUGUUGACGCCCGAUCCGGUGUCGCAAAUCGUCUUGUAGAAGUUAUAUCCAUUUAUGGAGCAGUAGAUGCUUGGCAUUCCUGGGUUGUCCUUCUUGGUCAAAAACGGUGACUUAAGUUGGUGAUCUUGGCCUCCAUGGACUACAGUGACCAUCUUAGCUGACUCGGUCCACACUUGCUUGUUCAUGUUUCUCCUGUUGGUCCUCUUCCUUGAUUCACGUCUGGAUUGAUCUGGAAUUUGUGUAGUCUUGUUCUUGAAGAAAAAUGUCUCCUUCUUCCCUUUGACGUAGAAACUAAUCUUGGCAGCACUAGCGUAGAUGAUAGCUCCCGUGGUGUUCAAAAAUGGCCUUCCUAGGAUGAUAGGUGCUCUCUCAUCAUUUCCGGUCUCAACCACUACGAAGUCUGCUGGGGCAUACAAGGUACCAACUCGGACACAAAGGUUCCUCACUAUUCCUUUUGGAACAGUUAUCGUCUGAUCUGCAAACUGCAAACACAUGGUUGUCUCUAAUAAAGGAUAUGUAAAAUUUUUUUCAUAGAGUACCCUGGGUACAAUGUUGACGCUAGAGCCAAAGUCACAGAGUGCUUCUGGGAAGUCCACCAUGCCGAUGGAGAUCGGGAUGACGGGGCGUCCUGGAUCGCCUCUCUUGACCGGCAGACGGUCAGUAGAAAAUUUAGUGACGGGGUUACUCCAAUUACCUGCAUCAAACACGUCUACAAGAUUUGCAGAUUCUAAUCCUUCCGGUUGUGAUGGUAUACCGAGGUUAGUAGUAGGAACAGCAGCAGCUAUUUGAUUUAAUUGAGAUUCAAUCAUUUUAUUAAAGCUAAUUUGAUUCUUGAUGGCAGUAGAGAAAUUAUCCAUUCUAUUAUUUAUAUUUUCUAGCAUUUUAUCAUUUGAUGCCAAUUUCUUAGACAGGUUAUCCAUUAGCUUUCCUUUAUUAGACACUAACUCUCUCAAAGGUGGAAAAUUAUUAUUAUUGUUGUAAGAAUUAUUACCUUGAUAAUUACCUGAGUAGUUAGGCCUCUGUUGAUUCCAACCUUGAUUUUGUUGAGGACGGUUGUAGUAGUUGUUGUUGUUGUUGUUGAUGUAGUUCACAUCCUCAAGCAUCUCAGGGCAGUGGUUGCCUGAGUGUCCAGUGUCUCCACACUCCUCACAAGUCAUGUGAGAGUCGUAGAUGUGCAUAACUUCUUUCUUGUCUCCAGCUCUAUCGUCGAGCUUCUUCAUGAGCAGGUCUAGCUUUGCAGACAGCAUGUCUACCUCCUUCAGCUGAUGCAUACCUCCACCUCUCUUGCGUGUCUGGGUCCUCUCUUCAUUCCAGCUUUGGGUGGACGCCAUCUUCUCCACAAGAGCUGUGGCUUGUGGUAUAGUAAGUGAUAAGAAUGCUCCUCCAGCUGCAGCAUCCAUGGUCUCUCGGGCACUGUUGCUGAGCCCAUGAUAGAAUGUCUGCAUCAGUAGCCAACUCUCCAUUCCAUGAUGGGGACAUUCUAGGAUGUAGUCUUGAAAGCGCUCCCAUGCUUCUAGAACAGAUUCAUCAUUUUGUUGCUGAAAACUUGUAAUCUUCCCACGUAGAGCAUUGGUCUUGCCCAUGGGAAAGAACUUAGCCAGGAAGUUUGUUGAGCAGAGUGCCCACGUAGUAUUCUUCUCCUUUGUAGCGUAGAACCACUGCUUCGCUCUUCCUAACAGUGAGAAUGGGAAGAGGCGAAGUAGUAUAGCGUCUUUGGAAACUCCUGCUAUGGUGAAUGUGUUGCAAAUCUCCAGGAAGUGUUGUAAAUGAGCACUAGCGUCUUCGUGUGCCUUCCCACAGAACUGGUUGGAUUGCACCAUGUUGAUAAGUCCAGGCUUGAGCUCAAAGUUGCCAUCGAUCUCUGCAGCAGGUCCAGUGCGGAUGUUGUCCGUAGUGGGAGCUGAGAACUCGCGGAUUGAUUUGUUCGCCAUGGCCUCGAACUCUGAAGACAAGUUCCGGUGAUCUUCUUGAUUGGAUGAAGCUUCUUGCUGAAGUGUUGAUGAUUUCUUUAGCUUGGCUCUCGUCUUCUUGAAUAAUGCUUCGGGAUUGUCAACAAAAUUUCCUAGAAGAUGUCUUCUAUUCAUACAUUCCCCUGCAUAAGAUAAAAUAGAAAAAUAUCGGGGUAAAACUGUAUGAUAGAAUAGAUAAGAUCAAUCAUAUUAGUGAUGCGAAUGAUAACUCAAAAUCUUUUAUUCCAUUCCUGAUUAGUAAUCAACCUUCCCCGGCAACGGCGCCAAAAAUGCUUGUUGGGUAUUCUUAACAUCAUUACCAAAAGUAGACUAAGUUCUCUAAAUCUAGUAACGGUGCCAAAAAUGCCAAACCUAUCCCUCACACCACUUAAGCCAAGUUGUCAUCCCCAGCAUGAUAUGAGAGACGCGGUAUUCAAAUAUGCAAUUGCUCUUCUAAAUAAAUAAUAAAUUGGAUCUGCAAGCGCACAGAUUAAUACAGAUGCAGCAUUUUAACCGGGAAGUAUUCCACGUAUUGUUAUUUAUAUUUUUACCACUGGGAAGGGAUUAGCAAUCGUCACUAAUGAUUACAGAAUAGAAUAUGAGAUUGAGCAUCUAUCAUUGCAUGUAUAAUUGAGAACAUUAUAUCUAACUCUUCAUACAGGGAUAAGUGUCACAUAAAAGAUAUUUGAAAUAAUAAUAGUGACAAGGAUAACUAAUCUGAUCUAGCCACAUAAUAAAUAUGAUAAGCACCUCAAUUAGAUACUCUAGAAAGUCAUUAGCAUGGUAUUAGAACGAACUACAAGAAUAUUCCCUAAGUUAUUCUCAACUAUAUAGUCUAGCAUAUCAUAGUUAGUGCAAGCAUACUUAGCAAUCAUUGCGAGACAAGACUAUGCCCAUGCAUAGUGAUAUUAGCAAGGAAUAUGAGAAACAUAGCAAUCACUCCCCUGUAAUAAUGUUGCUCUGCCAGCCCAAUACACGAGAGGGGGACUAUAUAAGAAUCAAUGAAGCUGUCACUAUCACGAACCACCCCACGAUCUGGCAUAUUGGGUACAAUCGCAGAUAAAUACGGUAUGAGCACCACGCCUACACAAUAUCUAUCAUUUACCCAUGGAUCCGAUGGAUAAACGCUAUACGAUCCUAAGCAUGUAUAUAGAUCCAAUCUAACUAAGCCAAGUACAUAACUAUGAUAAACUAAGAACAAUAUAAUCUUGAAUAUAAGCAAGUAGAGCAAAGUCAUAAGCAAUAUAUUGAAGUAGAACAAAGUCAUAUUCAUAAUAUUGAAGAACAAAGAUAAUUAGAAAGCAAUUAGAAGCACAAUUAGAGAAUUACCAAGAAUCCUCUUGACAGAUCCGGAAACCAAUCGAAGAUUGACUCCUUCUAGUUCUAAUCCUAUGUAGCUAUGCUAAUCUAGAUAUCUAAUUGAUGUGGUGGCUCUAAUCUUGAUCAGAGGCUUCUUCUCCCUUGAUGGAACAAUAAAUUAGGGUUGAGAGGCUCUCUCCUCCAGGGGCCAGGGGGUCUGGUUUUAUAGUCCCUUCAAGUGAAUAUGGGCCCUUGGAUCAAACCGACAUAGAUUGUAUGGUUUAGAUUCAUCCUCUAGGACGGUGGAGACUUCCCGCAAAGCAGAGUCCUGAUUGGACUUGGGAGCAGGGCGGGCGCCCAGUAGGACAGGGCAGGCGCCCUGUCUCUGGCCCCGAUUCGCCUCCGCUUCGGUCUCGUGGCUUCUGGAGUCUUCUAGAUGUAAGAUAAUUGCGCAGCACGUUAAUACCUUUACGUAAUCCUGACAUGUGGGCCUUUCUUCCAUAUUUCCUGAUAACCCCCUGCAGAAAUAGACAAACACCAAAACUCGUUGAAUUCUGUCAGAUAAAACCCUAAGUCUAGAUCUUGAAUUCAUUUGGAUCCUUUUCUUUAUUAAUUUGAUAAUUAAAUUUGAUACUUAAGGACCGUCAACAAGCUUCAGUGCGCUGCCGUGAAGAACCUUCUCCUAGCUCUCCCGGCCAUCGCUGCUGCCUCGGCCGCCCCUGGGCGCGCCUGCUCGACGUGCGUGGCAGGCGGACCUCUGGCAACCCGACCUCUGUCGCUCGGGGCGACUUCCGGGCGGCUCCGAGGUCUGCGGACCAAAGUUGGGGCCGCCUCUUCUUCCUCAUUGUCGUCAUCUACAAUUAUGAUAAGCCGGCACCGCUUGGGCGCUCGGGUGUCUGAGGUCGACCCCUGGCCCAUUAUGGGACCUGUAGUUGCCGGCACUGCUUCUGCUGGAGAUGGCUCUGCAGCCAUUGGCCUCUUGCCGGCCACCCUGUCAUCGGUGGUCGGCGCUCGACGGUUCCCCUCGUCGCUGCUGGCGUAUUGGUCAACCCGGUCAGCGAUGACCGCUGGAGGAUCCACUCCGGCCAGAGGCUCCAUACCGGCGCUAGUGACACGUACACCGUUGCCCGGUCCACAUCUCUGAUCUACACCAAGAGCACGACAAAUCAUUAGCACAAGAAUAUCACAAAGGACUACAAUUAUGUUGGGAGCUAGACGACCCAGCUUAUAGGCAUGCAUUCGGUUGUCGCUUCUCACGAAGCUGCUGUCGCCCAAGUUGAACAGCUCGUUAAUCCUUUGCUGGAUCUCUGAUUUCUUGAGGUUCUCUGGACGCAGCCUGGUCGAAUCCUGCCCGCCUUGGUACUCAUAUGCGACGUGUACCCUUCUCUAACAGGGCAUCACUCGUCGAGCGAGGAAAUUCCCGACCACCCCUGGUCCAUCCAGGCAGGACCAGUCGAUCAGACUCAUCAACUAUGAUACUUGACCAACAUGCUCCGGCCGAUCUGUCCAGCUGACCCUCUUCUUGGCAAGGUGGCCAAUGUCGCAGAAUGUGGUGCUGCCCGGCUCCUCCCUGAUGUAGAACCAUCUCUUGUACCACUCGGUCAGGGAGGUGUUCCAUGGGCAGCUGAGGUAACGAUUCUUCAUUCUGUCGUGAAGAUUGAGGUAUACUCCACCUGCAAUCUUGGAGCCUCCAACCGCCCCCUUCUUCCUCAAGCAGAACAGGUAGUGGAAGAGAUCAAAGUGCGGCUCUAUUCCAACAUAGGCCUCGCACAAAUGAAUGAAGGUAGAGACAAGGAGAAUGGAGUUCGGGUGCAGAUUGCAAAUCCCGAUCUCAUAGUAAAGAAGAAGACCUUGAAGAAAAGGAUGAACGGGAACCCCAAAUACCCUUUUGAAAUAAUCCUCAAAAACUAUAAUCUCACCAAUGCGGGGGUCGGGGUAACUCUCUCCUUCUGGUGCCCUCCAGCCGCCGAGCUCCUGGUUGUGCAGAAGCCCCAUUCAGACAAGGUCGUUGAGGGACCUCGUGGUGCUCCGAGACUUCUUCCACUCUUUUGCCAUCAUCUCGGCCCUUUUCUUCGAAUCGCUCUUCGCCAUCUCCAUAGUAGAGCAAGCUUUAUAUCGGGUGUUGAGUGUUUAGGGGUGCUGAGGAUGGCGAUGGCAGGAGGCAGUAGUGGCAAAGGCAGGAGACUGGGAUGCAACUGCUCGGUAAAGAACAGGGACGCAACAUCGGGCCCUUUAUAAUAGCAAACCCACCUUUUCCACUUCCCGCCUUUUGGGGAAGUGGGCGGAUCUCGCGGCUGUCGUGGCUUUUCAGUUUUCAAGAAUUAUCGCAGUUAAUUUGGUAGCCUUUCUGAAUGAUUGCUGGUUUCUUUUUCUUGUUCCACGCGAAGAGCGGCUAUACAUUUAGAAGGCGUCCCUUUUUAUGCAAUAGACUGACAAGAUAACAGGAUACUCCGUCACAUCGCACAUUAAUAUGGCAGUACGAUUUUUUCAAAAGAUACGUAGGAUCUUUGGCCAGACAAACAUGAUAUGCUUGGGGACUGUACCGACCACCGAGCAUGAUAUGCUCGGGGACUGGUCGACCAGUUCGCCCAUUCGACAAUCCGGGGACUGUACCGACCACCGAGCAUGAUAUGCUCGGGGACUGGUCGACCAGUUCGCCCAUUCGAUAAUCUGGGGAGUGUACUGACCACCGAGCAUGAUAUGCUCGGGGACUGGUCGACCAGUUUGCCCAUUUGACAAUCUAGGGACUGUACCAAUCGUCGAGCAUGAUGUGCUCGGGGACUCGUUGGUCAGUUCUAUUCGCUGCAAAUAAGUGUAACACGUUCUCGGCUUGGAAAAUUCAAUUGCAUAACGUCUAAUCGGAUUACAUUUUAGACCUUGCUAAAAGGCUCAUACUUCGCCUUCCAGCAAGCUUGGGGACUACAUCGGUACGAUGCAUCUGGGGAUGCAUUUCAGUAUCAGAUUUUCUAUGUGGUUUUUUCUCUUUGGACCUUGGCACCACGUGCCUACGUCACCUACUUCCAGGCUCGGGGACUAAGUGGGCACACUUCACCUUACGGUGAAUAUGCUUGCUUUUUGAAAGUCUAUACUUUUCAGAAAAGUAAAGUGGGCACACUUCAUCGGGAAAGAAAUAUUUUUUGAUUAAGAGCACCAUGCAUUCUUCGAACAACCUGCUUCUUCGAUGUUCAUAUUGAUAAACUGACUUUUGAGUUGGUCAAAAUACCACUGCAACUGUUUGGGCGACUCUCCUGUUUAUUGAAGACGUCAAGCCUCACUGGUCGAAGAAGCUCAAGACCACGUGUUACAUCACAAUUCAUGGUGCUCGGGGACUAGCUGUGGGGGUAUAAACCCCUAUACCCUUACGGCCAGACUUGGGCCAGGAGGCUUGGCCCAUCGCGAGACAGAUUCGGGGCUUGAUCCAACUACUCGGAGUUUUGCGCAAGGAAACAAGACGUGGAGAUCAAGCAGGAUUCUAGUCGGUUAGAAUAGGAAUUGAUACCAUGUUAUCUGUGGCAAUUGUAACCGACUAGGAUUAGUUUCCAGAUCUGUAACCCUACUCUCUGGACUAUAUAUAGAGAGGCAAGGGAACCCCUUAGACAACUCAAUUCAAAACAAUUCGAUCCACAACAAUACAAUCAGACACAGGACGUAGGUAUUACACCCACACGGCGGCCGAACCUGGACAAAAACCUUGUCCGUGUCUUGCGUCACCAUCAAGUUCGUAGCUUGCGCACCUGUCUGUCGAUAAAGUACUACCGUGGGUAUACCCCAAGGUAGACUGCCGACUAGCUUUCGUCGACACACUUAAGCUAGGUUGUCAUCCCUAACAUGAUGUAGAAAUGCUAGUAUUAAAUCUAUAUGCUUUUCUAAGAAUAAAUAAACAAAAUAAAGGAUCUGCAAGAGCACAAAUAAUACCGAUGUAGCAUUUUAACUAGGAGUAUUCCAGGUAUCGUUAUUUAUAUUUUUACCACUAGGAAGGGACUUGCAAUGGAUAAUGAGCAAUGAGCAUUGCAUGUAAUCAUGGAGACCUUAACCAUGUCUUUAUCUAUCUCUCAUGCAGGGUAAGUGUCACAUAAGAUAAAUAUAUGAAUAUGAAUAAUAAGUGACAGAGGAUAAAUAAGAGUUCAUAGCCAUAAGAUAAACAUGAUAAUCAUCUCAAUUAGAUUACUCUAAGUCUAUAGCACUAGCAUGGUAUUAGGACAACUACAACAAUAAAUCUUAAGUAUCCUAACUAUACUGUCAAAGCAUACUAUGAUUUGUGCAAGUACACCUAGCAUCAUCACUAGAAAAGGGUAUAUCUUUCCAUAGUGAUAUUAGCAAGAAAGAUCAUGAACAUAGCAAGAACUUCCCUGUAAUAAUGGUGCUCUACAAUCCUUAUAAUGAGGAGAAGGAAUACAAAGGACUCAAUAGGACUGUCACUCCCUCGAUUUACCUCAAGCUCGGGACUAUAAGGGUAAUCGUAAAUAAAUACAGUCUAAGUACCUCGCCUACACAAUAUCUAUCACUUACCCAUCGGCCUAAUGAGUAAGCACUAUAUGAUCCUAUGCAUAAACAUAAUUCUAAUCUAACUACACUAAGCAUAUAAUCAAAGUAGAGUAAGAACAAUAUAAUUAAGAACAUAAGCAAAUAGAAUAAAGUCGAUUCUGCUAUAAUCAAAUAGAUCAAAGUCAUAUUCCUAGUGGCUUUAUUUAUAUCCUCUUCUCUAGGGGGGUCAGGGUCUUUAUUUAUAUCCCCCUAGGAAGCACCACAGCCCUUGGAUCAAACCGAAUUAAACGUACGCUUAAGAUUAAUCCUCAAAGUCGGUGGAGGUAGGAUCCAUGAGGUUCACCAUGAUUGGCUGAGCUCUUUGGGCGGAUGUCCCUGAUAGGGUGGGGCACCCGCCCCUGCCCUAUGGUAGGUGGGCCCCACAUUUUAGGUGGUGUCUUCUCGAGCCUUCUGGAGUAUUCCUAAGUUGACGUUUCACGUGUUCUCUCUAUGUAAAUAUGACAUGUGGACCUCCUUUUGUUCUUAUUCCAAUAACCCCCUGCAGAAAUAAGCAAUCACCAAAACUUGUGGAAUUUUGUUAGUGAUAACCCCUAUAACUAGAUAAUAUUUUGAUUUUAAUCCUUUCUCAUGCUAUGUUGACGAUUAGAAAGAGUACUUAUCUACCGUCAACAAACUCCCCCAAGCUUACCUUUUGCUCGUCUAUGAGCAAAGAUAGACUCAGUGAUGGAUCAGAAGUUGCCACAAUACUUUCACGCCUCACAAGUACACAAGCGUUCAAACAAAGACUCUCCUUUAUAGUGAACUAUUCUGACUCAAGACUCACCCAUAUUACCUUCAACCACGGAGCUUAUAGCUAUCACUUAGUUCUUGGUCAGUUGAAAGAUAGAACAGUUAAGUCGAGCACUAUGCUACUUACUCUUGGUCAACUAUUAUUCUAGAGUUUUGGAAGAUUUUUAAAUAAAACUCAGACUUUCCUUGUAUGAUACUCUCUAGUCUCUCAUAUGUGGUAUUUUUGGAUCCUCUCCAAGGCAAGUGAGUAUGCCUUCUGUCGAGGGUAUCAGUAAGGGGUACCCUAACUGACACACAUGACGAGAGCGCCCGUAUGUAAAUCGAGGGCCCCUGACUCGAUGCCCCACGGUCGCACGCAUAGUUAUCGACGACCGUAGCCUCGAACAUGGAAAGAGCGUCGUACGAAUCGACUAGGGCUCGAGCGCCGGCGACCGUCGAAUACGGAAACGGGCUCGUACGAAUUGGAGGGCCUCGAGCGCAAGGACGCCGCCCGCCGCCUAACGCGGGCACAGAAACCAGGGCAUUUAAUGCGCCUGCCGCGUUCUCACCUAACCCGUCAGUCACGGGAAGCGUGAUAGGAAACCAGCACCCGUCCAAUCGUUCUUUUUGCAGCCUUGCCCACCAAACGAGCCAGAGCAUGACAGGGAGCAGCGAGGUGGUCGAAACGUCCCGUCAAGACCCCCCUCGAGACGUCCAAAGUCAGUGCUAUGCUUUAAGCGUUGACCCUCGAGCAGGCGUGUUCCUUCCCAGAGAAGGGUCGAGCAACGGCGGACGACACCUCAACCACUCUGACGUGGCCGCAGUCGCGACAUACAAGCGUGCAACAGAUAAACCGGUCCAGGACGGCGCACAGGAGCAGGAUUCAGGGGCACGCGUAAUCAUCACCAAGGUACCAAGAAAAGACGGUUCGAGGCCAGGCCGGUACGGAGGCCCCGAGUAGGUCAGCGUGCCACACCCCUAUCGACCCCUACUCUGUCGCCUAUGCAUGUAACCUAAGUCUCCCCUUCGAACUAUAAAAGGGGAAGCUCAGGAGCAGAUACGGGACACAAGACACACGUAGUAGAGCAACCAUACUCCAUCUCCAUCCAUACCACGCCUGUAUUCACCCCUGUACAAGCACUUAGGUGCAAGAUAAUAGAAACUCCCCCCUCCCGCUGGACGUAGGGCCUUCUCUUGCUUGAACCAGGAUAAAUCUCUGUGUUUUUUCUUGCAUCACCAUCUGGAAAGGGGAGCACGCACUAGUUUUACUCGUUGGUGUGACCCCUAGGGGAAAAACACCGACACCUUCUCUCUGCUCUUAGAAUAUAUGGUAUUUGUAGGACUAAGACAUAGUUGCCUUCUCUAUCUCUCACCCUACUUCUAAUUGGCUUAUGUGGAGCUCAUAGAUAGGAAAAACAAUUCAAACCUACUUAAAUGUAUUGCAUAGUUAAACCGUGGAUCCAGAGAAACUAAUUAUACAAUCAAGUCAUAUGUGCAUGUUAGUGAAUGAAGUGAUAAGAAUGAAAGGGGUUAUGAGGGGUGAUAACUGAUGGUGAAUACCUAAUUCUACAUUUGCUCCAUGGGGAAACAUACCUCCCUAAUCUAAGAAUAAGGACUUGGCUAUCUUUCUUUUCUUUUGCAUUGGGACUUUUGUCCUUUUUCUUUCUUUUCUCAUUUUUUAAGAUCAACCAUCCCUUCUAAUGUACUGAUAACAACACGGAGUAUCAACUGAAAUAACUGGAGCUUUAUUGAAUAAGUAGAAUAAGAUAUAAUGGUAAUAGAUAUUUUUGGGUAUUCCCUCCUAGUGUAGAGUAGAAUAUUUUCUAAGUGGAUGUGGAAUGUAUAUGGGUGGAUGAAGGAAUGCGUACUCCUAGUGUAGGAGCAGCAUCGGUGCGUGUCUCUAGGAUAGAAACAACACAAAGUGUAGUGUGUAUAUGUGGGUGGUACUUCCAAGAAUAGAAGUAGCACAUAGUGAAUGUGGUGGAUGAAAGUGGUUGCGUACUUCUGAGGACAGAAGUAGCUAAGAUCAAUGAAUGGAGAGCACAUAAUAUUGACUUUAUGAUGCGACACAUUGUCCUGAUCUUCACGAUGUAGGAAGAACACCGAUAACUAGCUGAAGAACAGUCGGAUAACUUGCUGCAAGCAGCGAUAACUAGUGCAACCUGGCAAAAAAAACUCGAAACCAACCACCGUCUUUAACCGACAACCUGAAUCGAGGAUUCAACCAACCACACUCUCAAAGAACCAACCAACACAACCUACAAUCAAUCAAGGAAUAACUUGAAGGGAGUAGGAGCCCCAAUUGGGAGCGGAUGAAGCCGCCGCCUAUGUAAUCUCGCGAGGAAAUAAUAAGAGCAAGGGGUAGAGAUCACUCUCUGAAUAUUUGUUAGCACACAGCUAAACAAAAGGGGUUCUGUAUUUCAAUUAUCAAAGUCUGAGAUUACAAAGAGUCUUAGGAGGUAUUUAUACUAGCAACAGCCCUGCUAGAUAGGUAUGAAAACAAAAUAGAGUGUGUGAGGGAAGGCAAUGUGAAAGGUCCCCACGAAAUGGAUUCCCGAAGUGGCUUCGCGUGACUGUUGGCCUCCAGUGCAGUUUCCAAUAAACUAACCAUAACAUUUUAUUAUGAAGUCCAAAUGAUGAACUGUUUCUUGGGUGUGAAACUAGACUCAAAGGGCUUUUCAGCAAUGUAUGCCAACCAGCACGAUACAUUAUAGAUUGGUACAGUUUUACUUGGCAAGUUGUACCAACAUUCUGUCACGACAGACUGUUGACCUUCUGAGCAGCCUGUACUAAUUCUGGUCUGCAGGCAAUAUGGUAUAUCCAAACUGGUCACCACUAGAUUCUUUGGAAAGUAGACUCGACAAGCUUUCCAUCAAGUCCUCAUGGACCUUCAUAGCUUAAUAAAAAGUUAUGAAGAUUUCUUUGCACUAGUCCAUUUUUGACUUCCACUGGUCCGUUUUUGACUUCUUCUGGAACUUGCACUGGUCCGUUCUUCAGGUACGAUUCAUCCUUCUCUUCUUCUAUAUACCUGAGUACAAUUAAGGUACAACACUUAGGUAGUAUAUAAUUCUUAUUAAUGUUAAAAUGAAUCUCACAAAGUAGCGCGUGAACCUCUUGUUGUAGCUUCUUUGCACGAUUACGUAUAAUCGGUCCAUCGAUGACUUGGGCUGGUGUCGGUGUAGGUGAAACUUGAGUGGUUAUAGCUUGACUUGGAGCUUGUGACAUCUUGCUUGGUGGCGUGGUCAUAUCAUCCUCCCCCCUUGAAAAGGAGUUGUCCUCGACUCUGAACUGUCUAGCAGUUUAAAUGUUUUCUCUUGUACAAAAUGACCUGUUAGCUCACCUCCAUCUGAUUCCUGUAACCAAAGCAAUCUAACUGAAGAAUUUGGAACACACAGUUUGCUAGCUCUAAACAUAAAACUGUCAUGUAUGUAAUAAUUUUCCCAACCAUUUCCAUCUUUGCAAUGAUUAUAUGGUUCUAAAAGUUUAGCAUCAUUGUUAUACAGAUCUUUUAGACUUUCCAAACCCAAAACUUUUACCUCAAGUUGGUUCAACAACACACUCUUUUGAGACAAAGCAUCAACAACAACAUUGUCCUUACCUUUCUUAUAUUUCAGAAUGUAUGGAAAUGUUUCGAUGAACUCAACCCAUUUGGCAUGACGACGAUUCAGUUUUGCUUGUCCUUUCAAGUACUUCAAAGCUUCAUGAUUAGAAUGAAUAACAAACUCUUUUGGCCAUAAGUAAUGCUGCCAUGUUUCAAGCACACACACCAAAGCAUAUAAUUCUUUAUCAUACACAAAAUAAUUCAGUUGAGCACCUCCUAGUUUUUCACUAAAAUAUGCUAUAGCUUUUCCUUGUUGCAUAAAAACUUCUCCUAUGACAAUUCUACUAGCAUCACAUUCAACUUCAAAAGUUUUAGUGAAAUUAGGAAGAACAAGUACAGGUGCUUCAGUCAAACGUUUCUUUAUUUCUUGAAAUGCAUUUUGUUGUGAUUUUUCCCAUUUAAAGUCAACACCUUUCUUUGUCAAUUCAUUCAAAGGAGCAGCGAUGGUACUGAAAUCUCUCACAAACCUCCUAUAAAAACUAGCAAGACCAUAAAAACUUCUUACUUGACUUACAUUCGUUGGAGUUGGCCAACCCUUGAUGGCUUUCAUCUUGCUUUCAUCCAUGUUGACGGUCCUUAAUGCUCACAUUUAAUCGUCAACUAAUCAUGGAAAAGGACCUAUAUGCAACCAACAUCCAAAAUUAGGGUUUCAUCUGACAGAAUUCCAUGAGUUUUGGUGUUUGUCUAUUUCUGUAGGGGGUUAUCAGGAAAUAUGGAGGAAAGGUCCACACGUCAGGUUUACAUAGAGAUAUUCACGUGCACCGCAAUUAUCCAACAUCUAGAAGAGUCCAGAAGCCACGGGAACGAGCGGAAUGCCGAGCGGGCCCGGGGGCUGGGCGCUCGCCCUCUCCACUUGGGCGCCCGCCCAAGGCUCUCAGCCAAUUAGGCUCCAUCUCGCGGAUAAUGCUCCACCGACCUAAAGGAUUAAGGAAAACUGUGCGAUUAAGGUCGGUUGGAUCCGACGGCUCAUACUGAUUUGGAGGGGCUAUAUAAGCAGGCCCCCACCAGCCCCUCGAGGCAUAUCUCUUCUACAGAAUCAAAGCUAGGGUUUCAAUUAUUCAUCCAAGUAGAGAGGAUCCCUCUAGUUCAUCUAGUUCUAGUUCUAGUUCAUCUAGUUCUUGUUCUAGUUAGUUCUAGUUGUAAUCUAGAAAAUAGGGAGAGAGAAGAGGAGAGCGGAGGAGGAGCCGGAUCUGUCGGAUCUUCCUCAACAUUGUACUUUUGCAGCAACUGGUUCAUUCUUCAUCGUUCUCCAAGUUCUUCAAUUCAUAAUUCUUGAGUUCUUUAAUUACUUUUAUUUACAUUCAAGUUAUUUAUUGGAUUCCCUCUUGCAUCAAGUGCUCUAGUCUUUGCAACGCUAGAGUAGUAAUUAAUAGAUUAGAUGUGGUGUUUAGUCUUGCAAUUACCUAGAGUUACACCCAAUCCUACGGAUUGUUGUGGUAGCCCUAGGGUAGUGACGACCCUAACGGUCGAUGUAUUCCACCUCAUUCGGAUCGGUGUUUGUAGGACCAUAGUCAGAGCUUCCUAACCCCCAUCUCAUCUCUUUCUGUGGUUAAGGUUCUGAUGUCCCGAAAUAAAUAAUCUUUGAAGUAAUUCUUGAUUCUUAGAUCAACUAGAGAACUCUCAGGAAACUUCCUCUCUUCCCACCAAAAAUAAUUAUACAGUUAUCUUUGGGCGAUCUUGAAUCUUAGUUAGUACACUCACGUUCCCUGUGGAAAAUCGAUACUCUGGAAUACUCCUAGGUGAAAGCUACAUCUGUAUCCGUGCGCUUGCGGAAUUUUCUGUUUGCGUUUAAAAUACCCAACAAGCUUUCUGGCACCGUUGCCAUGGAACGGUAGCUAUGCUAGUUUCGAACCAAGUCGUCCGUGUAUCCUUUUUCUUUUCCUUUUUUACCACACUCACCUUACCAUUUUCACCAUACCACAUGGAUUUCACUCCUAUCUGUAAAUUCUUUGCUCCAAAGGGCGAGUUAUUAGAGCCACCACCAUCAUCACAUCCAAUUCUUACAGAUAGCUAUGACCUCGGCCCUGAUCUAAUAGCCAUGAUUCAGGAGCAACCCUUCUUUGGGCAAGUAGAUGAAGAUCCAUACACCCACCUUAGAGAAUUCCAGCAGUUGUGCUCUUGCCGAUCUAUUUCCGGCAUGACACAAGAAACCCUUAAAUGGAAAUUAUUUCCAUUCUCCCUUUUGGGAAGAGCAAGGAAAUUAGGAUGAACUUCGAGGCAACUUUUGUCUCGCAUUCUUCCCACUUUUUUGAAUCGCUGGCCUUAGAAUCAAAAUUCUUACAUUCAAACAAAGAGAGAAGAAAACUUUAGGAGCAGCUUGGGCUAGGUUCACAAGCCUGACCAAUUCUGGUCCAAACCUUUCCCUGCCUGACCAUGUACUGUACUACCACUUUUAUCGUGGUCUAAACAAGGAAGCUCCUCUUCACCUCGACAUUGCUUCAGGAGGCUCAUUCGCACACAAACUCAUAGAUGAGGGGAGAGCUAUCCUAGAGAGAAUAAUUGAAAAUACCCCUUACACACGCAUUUAUGAUGAGUUUCCUGAAGAAGAAAAAGAAGUCGAGCCUGAUCCUAAACCAAAAGAUGAGGAACUUGCAACCGAGUUAGAAAUUUCACCUGACCCAUCUAUUAAUUUGGUUGUAGAGAAACCUCCUGAUAAGGGAAUGCAAAACCAACUAAGGGAUGAUGAACCACCACCUUUAGAGUAUCCCUUUGAAUUUGAGGAAGAUCUUUUUGAAGAUUAUGGAAACACCUCGAAUUUUCCUAUCCAAACAUGACCUCUACCAGGGACCACUCAAUCCGUUCUAAGAGUAGAAUCUGUUGACAUAGAACACAUCAAAAGCCUUUCGGCUAUUCUGAGUUAUGAAUGGCUAACAGAAGCAGAGCUGUCUCCUGAGGUAUCUCAGAUCAUCACUCCUUCAACCAUUCUUCUGUGCCAAAUUAGAGGGUCAGCUAGGAAGGUCCACUACAAUCCAUAUGUUGGGAUAAAUGUUAUUUCCAUGGAGUUAGCUGACACUCUUUAUCCCAACGAGUCCAUAACCCCAUCUCAAAAACUUUUACAAAGUCCAUCUGGAUUAAUUCUAGAAAGCCAUGGGGUAUUAAGGGCAGUUCUUGUUAGAAUCAAGGACUCUGGAAUAUGUCUAGAUUUUCACAUUUUUGACAUACCAGAGAUUCCUUUCUUGAUUGGCAGACCAAUCAUGAAACUUCUACAAGAACAACCACACCGAGGUCAUUUAGACUUCAAGGUUGGGAAUUCCACUAUUGUUGUUCGUCUUGCUAGAUCAAUUAACACAAUAGUGGAACCCAAACUUGAACCAGAUCCUAUUGAGGAGAUCUUAAUGCUGACUCAAGAGGAGAUGGCCCAACCAUUCUUUAAUCAUGAACACUUUGUUCAAGAAGAAGAAGAGUUGGUAGAACCCGUUGAGCUAGACAAAAAUGAACAACCUUCACCUCCUUCGAUAGAGUUAAAACCUCUUCCUUCUGGCCUUAGAUAUGUCUUUUUGCACAACAACCCAAAAACUCCAGUAAUUAUCAGUGACAAGCUUUCCAAUUAUGAAACACAACAACUUGUCACUGUUCUUGAAAGGCAUAGAUCAGCAUUUGGCUACUCUCUUGAAGAUCUCACGGGCAUUAGUCCCAUUCUCUGCACUCAUCAUAUCCCUAUUGAUCCCAAUUUUACACCUUCAAGGGAACCACAAUGGAGACUUAACAAUGCUAUGCGAGAGGUUGUUAAGAAAGAGGUCCUCAAACUCUAUCGUGCUGGGAUUAUUUAUCCUGUGCCUCUUGACACUGUUUUUGGACACGUAUCUUUGGACACGUAUCUGGGAGUUAAUGAGGUAUAGAUCGGCAGGCGAAUGAAGUGGUGACUGGUUGAUAGAAGAGUUGCCGAUGAGAGUUGAUACCGAUGAUGAAACAACAGAAUGUGGCCAAGUCCAGGAGUGGUAGUGGAUCUAUGCCAAUGACUAAUGCUCAUAGUUGCCGAUGGCUAUGAAAGGUGAUUUGCCGAUGGACACAAAAGGAGACACAGGAAUUGUCGGUCGGAUGGUGAUGGUGUGCCAAUCAGUUGUGGUGGAUAAAUUAAUGUUUUCCAUAGUUGUUAGAGUUUGUUUUACAUACGGAUUCGAGUUCUAUUCAUGUCUGAUUGUAACUCUUUUAAACAGGGUAUAAAUGUAGACCCUGUAGACAUGUAAGAACACACGAUCAAUCAAACACAAGUUUUUACAUCUAUUCCAGCAUCUACUUUUUCGACGACUUUGUCAACUUGCAUAUUUUCCUUUUACUUAUGAGUUCUUAGGAAUUCAUCGAGUCAAUCUCGACGAGUUCUCAAGUUCCGCGUGAAUACCUCUUGGCCGUGACAUCCGGGCGCAUUGCUGUUGUCGGGACCAAAGUAUUCGAGUUAUCACCUUUGUCGAUUGGAAGGUCAAAUCGGUUGGCACACCUUAACGUUGAAUCGGGUAUUAGCCCUUUGUGUUUGUAGAUCUACUUUUGCACCAACACAUCUUUUGGCACGCUCAGUGGGACAUAGAUUCAUCAUCAAGAUCAACAUGUCGAACACUGAUUUCGAUUUGGAGAACGUCAUCCCCGUAAAGGAAGCCAAUCUCAGAGAUGAGCAGAAGCAAGUUAUGGAAAAAGCUAUGGAGGAUUACAAGAAGUUAUGUUUGAAGUCAUUCAGUAUCAACAGGAGUGGCGAGGUGAUCCAAAAGUAAGCAUUGCCGAUGUCUCGGCAAAUCACUUUUGAAGAGAUGGUUGACAGUGCUAUUAAUCGUGCUCUAAUCAAUCAAUCCAGUGUGUUGUCCAACACAGUUUUUAAUGCUGUUGCUAGAACUUUCAAAGAAGGACAAGUACCACCAGCCUAUGUGGGCCCGGCCUAUCAUCAACUAGGAUCAUCAUCGGUUACGGCUCCAUCGGCUACUAUAGCCGUUGCGAGUAUGGAAGUUACCUCUCCUCCAAGAACAUUAGGGAUGAAUAAUGGGCAAUCUACACCGAUGACGACUAAUCCAACAAUAUCAGAGGGACAAGUUGAACUCGCUAUAGAUCUAUUGGCAUCGGCAAUAUCAGGGUCUGUCUUUAAAAGCUCUCAAGUUCCUCCCAAUCGGUGGGGAUAUGGUAUGCCCCUAGAAUUUAGGGCAAAUGGUCUUGGGUCAUCUCAAGUGGCUGACACGACAAGCAAGGCUCCUAUGGCAUCGGCACCCCCAGUGUCACCGAUGACUCAGAAUCCCCAGUAUUCUAUAACUACCACUGCAAGACCCUUUACUGGGAAUUCUCAAAUACCAACAUUCCAGAUGCCUAACGCAUCGGCACCUCCAAUGCCGACACAUCAAAGGUUUAUGACACAACCAGGGUAUGUCAAUCCAAUGAUGAUGCCCAAUUAUCAACCAUCGGCAGGGCCUACACCGAUGAAUGUUAACAAUGGAUGGACAUGCCAGUUUGUCUUUCCACAAGUGCCUCAGCAAGAUCAUCAGGCUAGGGGAUUUCAACAGGGAUUAGUGCAACCUGGUUUUCAGAAUCAAGGAUUGAUCAAUCAACCGAUGAACCUUGCUCAGCAAGUUGGUGGUCAACAGGCGAUGGCUAAUCCCAUGUUCCCUGGAAAUCGAACACCGCAAAGACACGUGGAAGCUUACCAACAGGUGCCAGAUCCACAACCUGCUCAUUGGCAAGAUGCCGAUGCCUAUUGGGCCGAUAAGAUAGCUGAGGUCAUGAGAGACCAAUUUGGAAUAAAACUGAAGGUUAAUACUUACUCUUAUCGGACACCAUAUCCUGCUACGUAUGAUUUGAUCCCGCUCCCAAAUCGGUACAAGGUGCCGGAUUUUUCUAAAUUCUCUGGACAAGAUGACACGUCAACUAUGGAGCACGUCAACAGAUUCAUCAUCCAAUGUGGAGAAGCUGCUAAUAGAGAUGUGUUAAGAGUUCGUUUGUUCUCAUCAUCUUUAUCUAGAUCGGCCUUUACUUGGUUUAUUUCAUUACCUCCAAACUCAGUGAUUACUUAGGCCAAUCUAGAAAAGCAAUUUCAUAAAUACUUCUUUUGUGGAGUUCAUGAGAAGAAGAUUACCAAUUUAGUCAGGUUAAGGCAGCGCAAUGAUGAAUCGAUUGAAAGCUUUGUGCAGAGGUUGCGAGAUGUUAAGAAUAAAUGCUAUAGUCUGGUUCUAGAUGAUCGGCAACUAGCUGAUUUAGCUUUCCAAGGAUUGUUGCCACACAUUAAAGACAAGUAUGCUUCUCAAGAAUUUGAAAGUCUGAGUCAUCUAGUGCAGAGGAUUUCUAAUCAAGACAUCAAAGGUUUUGAACCUAAGAGAGCAUGGAACAGAAAGGUAUCAUUUGUCGAUGAGGCAACAAGCUCAGAUUCUGAUGAAGAACCAGUCAUCGUCUUGACAGAGUGGGUGAAAAAUAAGAAGUCAAUGUCUUGCCCUUUUGGGCAUAAGGAGCUAGAAAAGUUUGCAUUCGACAUCACCAAAGCCGAUAGGAUAUUUGACUUUCUGCUUCAUGAAGGGCAGAUUAAAUUGUCGCCGAACCAUGUGAUUCCAUCGGCAGAAGAGUUAAAGAAGAUCAAGUAUUGCAAGUGGCAUAAUGCAACAUCUCACAGCAUAAAUGAAUGCAAGGUGUUCAGGCAACAACUACAAUUGGCCAUAGAGUCUGGGAGGAUUAAAUUUGUUAGCUCCAAAGCCCAGAAGCCGAUGAAGAUUGAUCAACAUCCUUUCCCUACAAAUAUGUUGGAUGCUAAGGGAAAGACCAAGGUCUUAACAUCAGAAGCAGCUGAAAGAAGCGCAUCGGUAGAUCCUCAGCAUCAGAUUACUGCCGAUGACGCCAAAGGUAAGGGCUUGAUCUAGGAAGGAACCAGCUCAGGAAGGCCUCCUCGAUCUGGCAUUGUAAUCACUCAUAGGAGAAAUCGGGAAACCUGGCAGCAGCGUGAAGAUCGGUAUCGUCGCCAACAGGAAGAUCGUCGCAGGGAAGAAGAAAGACACCGACAUGAGUGGAAUCGGCAUAAAGAUCACUGGAACUACCCAUUCUUCAUCCACUGUUGGGAGCAAAACAUCAAGCUACCAACUGUUAGAGACUGCCCUAAGUGCAAUGGCUUUAAUCGGUACGAUAGACCAAAUCAGCAGUAUCAGAACAAUGAUCGACGUUUUGGUGGGCCGAUUAGAGGAAGGACAUCAGUUCAUGAUCGGCUGGGUGCAGACUCAGUGUGCAUGACAGGCUUGGUGAGCGUGUCGGUUAUUUUCCUAGGAACCAAGAGGAGCUUGAAGAGAUGGCGGAUGCGCGAGUUCCCGAUGAGUUCAUAUUUUGCAGAGAUGCUAACACUUAUCGGGUGGAAUCAAGGGAAAAUCGUCGUCAAUCGGUAAGGCAACCACAACUUCCUCCAUGGUGUCCAGAAGGGUUGACAAGGACACAGAAGAGGAGGUUGCCGCGGGAGCGACAAGAAGAACUGAGUAGAGGAGAGAAUUCUGCUAAGUCUGGAGAUCGGCAGCAGUCAGAUCUUAAAGGAAAAGGUCCAUCGGCAGACGUUAAUAUGGUGUUUAUGUUGCCGAUGGAAUUCCUUGCACCCUUCAGUGAUGAUGAGGGGGUAGAUUUUCCCGAUUAGAUAGCUCAGUUAGCUCUGGAUCCGAUGACGGCUAUUGUUGAAAAGUCCGCCAAUAAUGAAAGACAACAUCUUAAAGCUCUAUUCGUCAAUGGCACGGUUGAUGGACAGCCGAUGACCAAGAUACUUGUUGAUGGUGGGGCUACUAUUAAUAUCAUGCCGUAUGCAGUCUAUCGGAAGCUUGGCAAAGGAGAUCAGGAUUUGACCAAGACCGAUAUGAUGUUAAAGGAUUUCGAAGGAAAUGUGUCUCCAGUCAAGGGAGCCAUAUGCGUUGAGUUGACCAUCGGCAGCAAGACCCUGCCGACAACUUUCUUUGUCAUCAGUGGAAAGGGUGCUUAUAAUUUAUUAUUAGGGAGAGAUUGGAUUCAUGCCAAUUGUUGCAUCCCAUCUACAAUGCACCAAUGCCUGGUUCAGUGGGUAGGUGACAAGAUCGAGAUUGUCCCAGGAGAUUCUUCAUAUGUCAUUGCAUCGGCAGAAGCAGAUACUUAUGAAAGAACCAGAUGCAUUUCAGGAGAAGUUUGGGAAAAAGAUUUUCUCAAAGUUGCCAAUUAAGAAAUUCCACUGAUCCAAGCAGUCGGUUCUGAUGAGGAGUUUUAAUGGAUAGGUUCGCCGAUGAUGGAAAGUUAGGCCAGGGGUUUGCAUCUGCCGAUGAAUUAGUAGAAGUAGAUAUAGGUAAUGGUGAUAGGCCAAGGCCUAAUUUUAUUAGUGCUAAGUUAGAUUCUGAGUGUAAGCAACAAUUAACCGAUUUGUUAAAGGAAUAUAAAGAUUGCUUUGCUUGGGAUUAUUUCGAGAUGCCUGGUUUAGACCGAUCGAUUGUUGAACAUCAGUUGCCUAUCAAGUCUGGGUUUCAGCCGCAUCAUCAGCCACCACGCCGAUGUAAUCCUAAUAUCCUUCCUGAUAUUAAGGCCGAAAUAACUAAACUUAUUGAAGCUAAAAUUAUUCGGCAAUGUCAGUAUGCCGAGUGGAUUUCCAAUGUCCUUCCAGUUUACAAGAAGAAUGGGAAGCUUCGUGUCUGCAUUGAUUUCAGGAAUCUUAACAAGGCUACACCGAUGGAUGGUUAUCCGAUGCCAGUUGCCGAUUUGCUAGUUGAUGCUGCAGCUGGACAUCGGAUCAUUAGCUUUAUGGAUGGCAAUGCAGGAUAUAAUCAAAUAUUCAUGGCUGAAGAAGAUAUUCCAAAGACUGCAUUUAGAUCUGGUCAUGUUGGGUUGUUUGAAUGGAUAGUCAUGACCUUUGGCUUGAAAAAUGCUGGUGCUACUUAUCAGAGGGCUAUGAAUUUUAUCUUUCAUGAGUUCAUCGGCAAGUUGGUGGAAAUCUAUAUUGAUGAUGUGGUGGUUAAGUCUGGGGAUUUCACAAAACAUCUUGCUGAUUUGCGAAAAGUACUGGAGUGCACAAGGAAGCAUGGUUUGAAGAUGAAUCCUAAUAAGUGCGCAUUUGGUGUAUCAGCAGGACAAUUUUUUGGUUUCAUGGUGCAUCAGAGGGGAAUUGAAAUUAGUAGGAGAUCUAUUGAUGCUAUCAACAAAAUAGUUGCUCCCACCAACAAGACUGAACUCCAAUCUCUGAUCGGCAAGAUAAAUUUUAUCAGGCGAUUUAUAUCUAACUUGUCUUGUAAGAUUCAUGCUUUUAGUCCUUUACUUAAGUUGAAAGCCGAUCAAGAGUUUGUAUGGGGAAGAGAGCAACAAUCAGCAUUGGACGAAAUCAAGAAUUAUUUAACAAAUCCUCCAGUUUUGAUUCCACCUCAGCAAGGAAAACCUUUCAAAUUGUAUUUGUCUACCGAUGGAAUGGUCUUCGGUUCGGCUUUAGUUCAAAAAUUUGAAGGGAAGGAACGUGUGAUUUAUUAUUUAAGUAGAAGGCUGGUGGAUGAUGAGACAAGGUAUUCGGCAAUUGAAAAAUUAUGUUUAUGCUUAUACUUUUUAUGUAUGAAAUUGAGACACUAUUUGUGAUCGGCCGAGUGCACUGUUAUAUGCAAAGAUGAUGUAGUCCGAUACAUGCUAUCUAUGCCAAUUAUGAGUGGUAGAAUCGGCAAAUGGAUUUUGGCGCUAUCAGAAUUUGAUCUGCACAAUGAAUCGGCUAAGGCAAUUAAAGGGCAGAUUAUGGCCGAUUUCGUGACUCAGCAUUGUGGUGUAGUAGGGGCUUUGGAGAUCGUUCCUUGGAUGCUCUUCUUUGAUAGAUCCACGUGUGACCGGGGGUAGGAAUCGGCAUAGUGCUAAUUUCUCCUCGAGGAAGGAAGUAUGAGUUCUCUUUGCCGAUUGUUUCCACGUCGACCAAUAAUCAAGCCGAAUACCAAGCUCUAAUCAAGGGGUUCGGAUUGUUCAAAGAGGUUCGUGCUGAUGCUGUUGAGAUCUUCGGUGAUUCUAUGCUUGUUAUAAAUCAAUUAACUAGAAUUUACGAAUGCCGAAGUGAAGUUUUGAUAACUUAUUAUGAAAAGAGUGUAAAAUUAUUAAGGGAAUUCACGGAUUUCCCGAUUGAAGCAUGUUCCUCGAUUACAUAAUGAAGAGGCUAAUCGGUUGGCUCAGCAUACCUCGGGGUAUCAACCUAUCUUAAAUAUGUUAUCGGCAAUCAAUGCUGAUGAUUGGAGAAAAGAAAUCAUUGAUUACUUAAAAGAUCCAUCUAAAAAGGUUGAGAGACGUUUCAGGUUUCAAGCUACCAAGUAUGUACUCCUUGGAGAAGAGUUAUAUUAUUGAACGAUAGAUGGAGUUUUACUCAAAUUCUUGGGUGAUGAUGAGGCUAAAAGCUUGAUGGGUGAGAUCCAUGAAGGAGUGUGUGGAGCACAUCAGUCGGCAUUUAAGAUGAAGUGGAUGAUUAGAAGAAAUGGGUAUUAUUGGCCGACUAUACUUGAGGAUUGCUUUAAAUAUUUCAAAGGGUGUCAAGGAUGUCAGAGGUUUGGAAAUAUUCAAAGGGAACCCACAUUGGCCAUGAAUCCUAUUAUUAAGCCUUGGCUGUUCCGGGGAUGGGCUAUUGAUUUAAUCGGCCAGAUUUAUCCGUCAUCAAGCAAGGGGCAUAAGUUCAUUUUAGUUGCCACUGAUUAUUUUACUAAAUGGGUUGAAGCUAUUCCUUUGAAUAAAGUAACAUCGGCUAACAUGAUUGAUUUUGUGAAAGAGUACAUCGUUUACCGAUUUGGUAUUCCUCAGACAAUCACUACCGAUCAGGGUACUAUGUUCACAUCGGGAGAGUUUGAUGAAUUUGCAAUCAUUAUGGGGAUUAAAGUAUUGAAUUCUUCUCCUUAUUAUGCUCAAGCUAAUGGACAAGCUGAAGCGUCUAACAAAAGGAUUAUUAAGCUCAUCAAGUGAAAGAUUGAAGAAAAUCCUAGAAGAUGGCACAUAUUGUUGAAUGAAGCUUUGUGGUCAUAUCGGAUGGCGUGUCAUGGAUCGACCAAAGUUUCACCCUAACAACGUGUAUAUGGGCACGAUGUAGUGUUGCCAUGGGAGAUUAAGACUGGAUCUAGGCGGGUCUCUUUUCAAGAUCAGUUGGCUGCCGAUGACUAUGCUACUUUGAUGAAAGAUGAGUUGGAUGAUUCAGUAGAGCAUCGGUUGAGAGCUUUGAUGAGUAUAGAAGAGAAUAAAAAGAGAGUUGCUAGAUGGUAUGAUAAAAAAGUAAAAACUAAGGAGUUUGCCGACGGAGAAUUGGUAUGGAAACUAAUUUUGCCGAUUGGAACUAAAAGUUCAAAGUUUGGAAAAUGGUCUCCCAAUUAGGAAGGACCUUAUCAGAUAAAUCGGUCAGCUCCUGGUAACGCUUAUAUUUUAGAAUCUCUCGAAGGAGUUGAGUUUUCUAGAGCAUUAAAUGGAAAAUAUUUAAAGAAGUAUUACCCAAGUAUUUGGGUCGAUGCAUAGAAGUUUAAGUGCCGAUAACACUCCUGUCGGCUGGAAGAAAUGUAUCUAGAAUCGUGCAUAAUGUUUUAAAAGUGCCGAUAACAGUCCUAUCGGCUAGACUGGAAUGGUCAGAAGUUUCUAAGGGUAGAACAAAACAAGCUACCAAUAAAGAGCUUAUAGAUUCAGCAAGGCUUGAAUGGUCGAUAUGGCGCGCAGGUGAAUCUGGUCAGCUUCUUCUAUCUCCCGGAUGUCCUCAUCGGCAGAACCCUCUACUGGCUUCAGCUUCUUUUUCAUCUGCAAUGCCUUACGAGCCUGGAUGUUUCGUUCUUGCUGAAGAGUCUUGAGCGUCUUAGGUAGCUGGCUUUCUUCUUACUGUGCUUGGGUCAGGGCUUCUUCUACUUGUUUGAGCUCAGCUAGCAGAGCUUCCCUUCUUGCCGAUAGAUCAAAAAUCUUUUGUUUCAUUGUCUCCUCUGAGGACUGCAGAAUGCCGAUGCUCUUAUGUUUCUCAUCAGCAAGGCACUUUACUUGCAUUACUUCCUCUGUGAGUUGGACGUGAGCAGCUCAAUUGGCAAGACGUUGGGUAGCUUUCUGAUAUUGGAGCUGGCGACUCUCCAAGUGUGCAGCCUAAAAUAGAGCUUCUUCUGCAUCGGCUGGGAUCUGACCCCUAAGGGUCUUAAAUAGAGCUUUGGCUAGGUCAGAGUCAUCGGCCAGUUGAGCGGUAUCUUGAUGCAGUAGAGCCAAUAGGUCCUCCAGUUUAGCUUUGAUUUCUACCGAUGAGAUCCCCACUGCUUGAGAGGAGCUUGCUUCUUCACCCUCGUCAUCGAAGAUGUUGAUAGCAAAGGAGAAUAAGCUGUCUAGAGAGUCUUGUUCCUGAAAAAGGGAUAAAGAUGAGUUAUCUAAUAAUCAAAUGUUGAUAAUAAAGAACAAAGAUCAGAAACUUACUUGUUUCAGAGCGAUUUCACGCCUUUGACGAGGGGAUGCGGCCGAUACUAUAGGUUGAUCGGCUGGAGUUGCCGAUGGAAUGAUGUCAACUGAGAAAUAACAAGGAUAAUUAUAAUUUGAAAAAAGUAAAUCCAUCGAUGAUAAUUUUGUAGUUAGUACUUUACCUUGAGGGGGUACAGUGCUUGUUUGAUCUAGAGGAAUAACCGAUGAUAUGAUCCGAUCUGCUGGAUCGGCAGUCUGCUCAAGCACAUCGGCUGGUGCUUCUUGUGGCUGACGUGCUAGUUGAGGAGGGGACGAUACUUGCUAUGUCUGGAUUUCUGGUGAAGAAGGUGAUGAUUCUACAUGGAUCGGUGACGCUGGUUGAGGAGGAGGAGAUGGUGCUAUCUUCUAGCGCUUUGGCUGUGAUUUGGUGCUCUUAGGGCCUUUUCUCUUGACUUGGCUAGGCUGGGGGGCAUCGGCACUUAUUUGAGCACUUCUGGUCUUCGCCGAUUUGCCAGUUUGCUGUUACAACAACCAAGAUUUCAUGAGUACAAAUACGAAAGAAUGUUGAUGAAAUCUUGUUAAAAAGAUAAAGGUUACCGAUGAGGUACCCAUAGCAGCCGAUGUAUCCUGAAAAGAUCAUGUGAGUAUGGAAUAGAAUCGGUAUAAGCAAUGGAAAUUAAAAGUCUACCUUGAAAGCCUGUGCCAAGGUAGCAGCGGCAACCAAUGGGGACAUCUUUGACCGCUUGGUGGUUAUCUUCUUAAAACGCACAUUUCGAUGCAUUAAAGCUGCCAGACUUGGUGCGUUGUGAUCGAUCAGAGAGAUUGGACCUGACGGGAGGAGUUCAAUCGGUCUUCCACUUCUACUGACUGUCGGUGGCGGGUUGUCGACCUGUUUAGAAAGGAGGGAGUAAGUUACCGAUAAGGUUAGAAGUAACAAAAGAACUGAGGUAUCGGUUGAAGACUUACAGUGUUAUCGGGGACCUUAUAGUUGGGGUCGAUCAUGCCGCGUUAUGUCAGAGCCAAUGUGCAGAACAGGUGUUCUUUCCACUCUUCCCACCACUGUUUGUAUGCCUGAGUGAUGUAGAGGGCCGGGAUCCAAGCCGAUAGAUCGAUAUCUAACGUAUCGACAUUUAGUUGAAGCUGGGCUAUCCUUAUCCAUUCGAGUCCGCUGGUUAUAGUUUCCCUUGGUUUCACCACAUCGGCAUAACAGAGUCCAAUCGACAGCUGCCCAAAAGCCAGUUGAUGAGCCAGUGCCGAUGGGUUUUAGAAUUCAUAAGUGGGGUUGGAAUUCUACCCACUACCGACGGUAUUCACUGGAAUGGCUCUUGGCGUGAUGAUUGCCAUCAUCAAAUUGGUAUCUUUAUUGAGAGCGUCAUCAAAAGGGUGGAAGAUUAGUGGGAAUCUGUUUUCUAGAUCUUCAUAAGGCAUCCAUGCCCGCUGAUCAUUGGGAAGACCCUCAUAUAGAGUUUGGAAGAAUCAACUGACUUGGUCUUCAUUGCCGCCAGUGCUAGGUAGAACUAUAGCGGCCUCACCAUAGUUCAAAGGUGGGUGAGUUGUCGAUUUUUCAUCGGCUAGUUCAUGAUCUUCUCCGAUAUCUCUGGGGAAUCACUGCGCGAAGAGGUCAAACCGGAGGCGUUUGUGCAUGUGGACAUUAAGCCACAUGUUGAUGAACCACCAAGGGCCUCCUAGAUUGCCGAUGGGUUGGCCUAACAGGAGCUUCUCAGCUACUUGGUGGAGGAGGUGAUAUGCAGAACCAAGCAAGUAUCGACCUAGAGGAUAUCAGCCACCAUCGGCCAGUCUUUCUGCUGCCGAUAAGUAAACAGAGGUUGGUCCUACCGAUCGGCCACAAAAAACGAACUUGUCUAACCACAUGUUCAGGAAAACAGCAUGCUCCCUUUGACCGACUGGCCCUGUCCUUUGGUACUUCUGAAUGUGUAACACCCCAGGUGUUUGUCACUUGCUAAGUACUAGGUUUGAGCUGAAACAUGAUAAGUUCAAUGGUAAUAAAGAGGUCAAAGUCAAUCUAUGAAAGUAAACCCCAACUUGGGCAUGGUGGAUGCAACCUUGCUUGCAUAUAUGCCUUUUUAAAAGGUAUGCUUUGAUGAUGCUAAUGGAACCUUUUUUAUGUGUCUUAUAUCCAUCCCAAUCUAUGUUGGUCUCUGGAAAGGUUUGGUUAAGUUUGGAAUCAAGAAGUCACAUGAAAUGAUAAGUUAUAUCAUUGUUGGAAUGGCUCUAUUAAAGAAAUAGAAUCAUGGGUCAUGAACCAACCCUUCCAAAAUUGCUCAUAGGACUCUACAUGAAUUAUACAACAAAAGUCAUGAAGGGUUCAUGUUGAGCUUAUGUCAAGAAAAUGCUUCAAUUGGCCUAAAAUCCUAUUUAGAGCUUUAUCGGGUUACUACAUUGACCAAAGUGAAAGAUUGACUUCUGUUGCAGUUAUGAGGUUUGACCCUAAAUGAAAGUUGUAGUAUUGCUUCUGUAGAACAAACUUUGUUUAAUAAUCAAGAGCUAGUUUGGUUCUUAUACUAAUCAAAUUGAGCUCUCAAGAAUCAAUUCAGUGCUGAUUUGCUACCUCUAUAUUUUUGGCUAAGUCCCUGAAAGUGACAGCAGUGCAUUAGAUAAUUCGUGACGUUUUACUAUCCAAAUUCAUAUGGUAACUCAAUUAGAUUCCUUAAUAUGAGUUGGAGUACUCUUCUUGAUGAAAGCAAUGGAUUAAGUAUCAUCAAAUUUGGAGUUCGUUUGGAUAUCUAAAAGUAGCUCCCAAAACAGCAAAAAGUUAUUUUAUCGCUAAACGGACGUAUACCCGUUGGCAUGCCGCGUUCUCGUGUUUUUGUUAAGAAACUAAAGUUGGUCCAAGAAUAAAAGUGGUGGACAAAUACUUGGAGAAGGUCAUGUAAAAAGUUGCAUCAAGUUUGACAUGGUUUGGAUCAUCAAUUCUUGGUUUUGCUAAUCACCGUUAAUACGUUGACACUCGUGACUUAACAUCUAAUUAUCUCCUAAUCUGUUGGCCUAAUGACUGACUGCCCUUAAUCAAAGUUGGAGAGCAGGCCGAGUUGAGCAAACUUUGUUUUUAGCCCAUCUUCAAAAUCGGCCCGGAAGAAGCCCAAAAUCGCCUCCCACCUUGCCUACUCCGACGCGCGCCACGUGCUCGGCGAAAUGUGUCAAAGGGAAACGCGUGUCCUGGGCGUGUCCACCAUGCACAGCGCCCCCACCUCCAUUUGAUGAACCCCUGCUGCCCUCUUGCGGUCUGUGAAGCCAGAGAGCGCUCCCCACCUUUCUGUUGUGGACGCCCAGCUCCCUCAUCCGCUCCCUUGCCUCUCUCCUCGCUCUGGUGCCGCUGUCCGCCAUGGACAGCAAGCGGAGCUUCAUGGCCUUCAUGGCCAGGCCGUCUGAGAGUGGCUCGGGCCGAGCUGAGUGGUGUGGAGGAUGCGGGCCCUCUUGGUGCUUCCCCACCCUUCCAUCGUCGCCGGCGAAGCCUCAGCUGGCCGGAGCAGAAAGCUCCGGCGUUUUUGGGCGACUAGGGACCUCGGGUUAGAAUAAGAAACAACUCAGGGAUCCAGAUGCGAACCACAGACUCAGAUGAAUAGUGCGUUUGGACGGCGGUUGAUUCGUUGAAAACUCAGGGUUCCCGGUGCAAAGUCGUUUUCCUUUAUCUUUUGUUUUUCAGAUUUCUUGUAUGAACUUUGUUAAUGCAUAGCAAUUCAUAGAAAAGUCGUAAAAUAGCAAAUAUGGACUUUUUGGAAUCCUUCUGAAAUUCUAUAUGCAGUAGAUCUAUAAUAUGGCAUGAUUUAGUUUGAAGUUUUAGUCGUAAAAAUAGAUUUAUGCAAUUAGGUUUUAAUUGCUUGUUAUAUUUGUCUUUUUCAUAACUGCUGUUUUAUUGCCCAAAUAAAUGAGAAAAUAUUAUGACAUGCUUUUCGCGAUUUAUUUGAUGUCUGGAAUUUGUUCGAUGAAUUUAGGAAUGAUAGAUUAAGAGUUAUAAAAAUAACAAAUGCCCUGUGUUGCUUUGCUCAUAUUCUGAGUGGGUCUGCAUGUUUGUAUUGUUUGGCUCAGUUAAGUUGUGAAUCUUGCCUGGAUAAAAAUAUAUAAGUUUUAGUACUUUUCAUAAGCUUUCCAAAACGAUAAAUAUUAUAAUUUUUGGUUAAGCACAUAUUUAGUUAUAGUGGUUUAAAUUACUGUUCCAGUUUCUGUCUAAACCCAUACAGGGUUGCAUUGUUUGUAAUGUACGACCCUGUUAGUGGUAGAUUUAGCUCUAGAUGUUUAUAACAAAGUUGUUCACAAUUUCGUAAGAUUUCUAGAAAGUACAUAACCAUAAAUUAUGGACAUGUGAACCUCAAGUUAGAGCUGUUUAAUGUAGCAUAACAGAUUCUGUCUAUGUUUUAGACAGAGAUGUCUUUAUGGGAUUAAUUGACCUUGUUAACUCUAGAUUCAUAUUUAGAUGAUAAUAAUAAAGUUGUAGGUAACUUUAUAAGCUUUCCAAUAAUAUAAGAAUCAUUUUGGCUGGAGGUCUACAACUCCAGUUAUGCUGCUUUGAAUUGUCUAUCAGUUUUCUGUUUGUAAUUGUACUUCUACUGUUUGGCAGCAUGAGCAGUUUUAUUUGUGCAAUUAAUACCAUGAUAUAAAUUAUGUUUGCUGUGAAACUUGUAUAUAGAAAAGAUGUAGAUAAUUCACUAAUAUAUAUUGUGGUAAAGUUUCAUUUCAUUUGGCUAGGUGGUUUGUGAGUUACAGUAGUAUGAAUUUCAUCCUUUAAAAUGCUUGUUCUCUGGAAAUACCUGGACCAGAUUAUAUGGUCAUGCAUGUUUGACUUGGUUAACUUGUUAAUCAUGCUAAUAUGAUUAAAGAUGAAUUGUAGAUAAUUUGAUAAUCUUUCCAGAAUGUCCUAUUGCAUAGUUUUUGGAGUUGUGUAACUCCAGUUAUGAUUUAUUUACUGAGUUGUUGCAUGUAUGUCCAGAAUUGCUGAAAUACAUGAAUGCUUGAUUGCUUUACUUUGUGUGCUAACUAUGAUACAUGUCUUUAGCGGUGAUUAAGUAAUACACUUGUAAACUUGUUAAACUUGUGUUGUGAUUAAUAUGUUUUCUAAAUAUUUGGUUGUGUGAUGUUAGUUAAAUAACUUAGAGGCAUGUGUCUUGCAUACUUUUAUGUAAUGCAUGUUGUGUCACUAUUCCGCAUAUUCAUGCACUUGCAUCUUGCAUCUCAUCUAGGUGCGAUAGAUGUAUCACGUGAAGGUCUUGGUGUGGGAACAAACUCGAAGACGGUGUUGGGUGGACCCAUCCCGAAGGUGGAAGGACUAAGCAAGUGUUGCGACCUAAGAUGUCAUCAAGAUGGAGCAACUAACAGAACUGACUCAGUGUUGAUCCCAGGCAAGCCCCGGAGCAUUAUAAGUCUCCUACUACUUUUGAAUGCAAUUGAGAAUAUAUGUUAUAUAUGUAUUGUUGCAUUAAGUAUAGGAGUUGGAUGAAACCCUUGCUGCAUAUAUCACUCCUUGUCUAGCAAAUAUACCUAUAACCCUAUGUAGAUUCAGGAUCGAAUCUAAAUGCUUAGAUAUGCUUAGACCGGUAGAAGCUAGGUGAUGUCCUGUCACCUGAGCAAGAUAGGUGGACACCUAAAAAGGUUGGCUAUAUAUGCUAUCAUGGAAAUAACCAAGUGAUGAGGAUGAGUAAUUGGAGACCGGGCGGGACGAUGAUAGAGAAGCAACAAGGCAUGGAGGUCUUGGGUGCCUACCUAUCCCCGCCUGUGUCGAUUAAGGACCGAUCGUUGACGGCCCUCUUGUCAUGUUGAACGCAUGCCCCACACUUAGCUGGAAGGAUAAGUCGUUCCGACCGCGAAGCCUGAACACUAUCCGGGCCGGGAGUCGAGCCGCCAUGCGCUGUAUUGGUGAUGGUUGAGGAGAACGACGAGGGCGCGGCGCGCAACCUUGGUAUACCUUGGAUACCUUGGUUGCCGGAACGGUCCUCGGGUACUGGCGGUGCCUGCCGAACCCGUGAAUUGGUCCUGGAUAGUGUAAUAUGGUGACCUGUAGCUCACUUUGGCCGGUGGGUGUGGUUUGUGUGGGGAAUAACUCGCCAGCUGGUUAGAAAUCGAUUCGAAUCGCCAUCGCUCCUGGACAGUGAGCAUUUGACUUGAGCUUCGUCAUCGUAGUAAUGUUUAUGGAACACUUGGAUGGUUAUGGUAUGAUGAUGUUGGUAAUGCCACAUCAAAUAUGGGUACUAUGAUUGUAUCUUAAUCAAGUGAUUGCUUUAGUACAGGUGCUAAUCUAGAUGACAGGUUAAUGAUUAUUAACUUGAGCUAAAUACCUGAAAGGUUACUUAGUUGCAACUUAAGCUUUUUAUGCAAAAAGUGUUGUCAAGCUAGCUCCACCAAUAAAGCCUUGCAUACUCCUUGGUGUCAUAUUAUUUCUGGUUUAUGACGGGUAAGUCUAGCUGAGUACCUUCUCGUACUCAGGGUUUAUUCCCACUUGUUGCAGGUUGUGAUGUAUCAUGGGUACUGCAAGAGUUCGAUGACUCCUACCAUAUUAGAGGAGUAAGAUCAUGGGCAUGAUCCUUCUUAGUUACCUCAUCUAUGUUGCUUUUGUUGGAGUUGACCUGAAUACUAGCAUGUAUUUGAAAUGAGGGCAAUAUUAGUUUCAAAUUACUUUUCUUCCGCUACUUUUCAACUCAAGUUGUAACAAAUAUAUUAAACUCUGAUGUAUGUCAAACUACUUGCGAAAUGGAUGUAACAUGUGACUUGUUAUGUUGAAUCAUUACGAUCUUGGCUUGUAUGAUGGUUGGUUUGAAAUCCCUCGUGAUUUCACGGACUACCGGGUUUAUGAGAGUUCGAUUAUGAUAAAGCAACUGCUUUGGCGGAAGUUUUUCAUAAUUGAUCUCUUGUAAAUUGGGCGGUUCUGUUACAGAAUGUAUCCUGACCAACCGCUGAUGUUGUGGGUUUCUACUUUGCGCUCGGGUUUGCGAUCAUAUAGAUGGUUAUCAUGGGCAGUUGAUAUGUCUAAGACAGUGAGCAUGAGCACAUCGGCAAGAGUGGGGGAAGUAGGGCCGUGACCAAACAAAAAGGCAUUGUAGGUAUCUGACCAGAAGUAUGAAGCAACUAUCAAUAGCAAUUCAUUUCUUUCCAUAUCGGCAAUGGAUAGCCUAAUGCACUGGUCUAGUUUGCGCUCGCCCCAUUGGACUUCAUUUGAGUUGCCGAUUCUUAGGAACCAAUCUCUCCACCCCUUGGUAGAACUGGGCCAGGAUCGAAAGGUGUCUUUCCACAGAUCUAAUGAGAAGUUCUCAGCUCUAAAGGGGAUCCUAUUUGCUUCUGCAUUUAUCAAAUCGGUAGGAUCUGGAUUUCCUAAUGGACUAAGGCAUUGAAAGUGGGGUUGAUCGGUGGAAAUCACAAUUUUAUCAGCCAAUUCCUAAAGAUUUAAAGGUUGGAAGAAAAAAAAGGGGGAAAAGAGAGAAAGAACGUACUCAAUAAAUAGGUUUGCAGAAGAUAAAAGUACGACAAGAAAAAGAAGAUGAAGAAGGUUGACCUCAGGGACAGUGAAGUUGAUGGCCAUUUUUCUUCCCGAGGGGGAAGAGGAUCGAUGAUUGGAACAACUGUUGGGGCUCGCUAGAGUUCUUGGGCUCCUCAAAUAGUGUCGCCGCGAGGAGGAUGGGUUUGGUGAAUGUAGAAUGAUAAGGUGGAGGAAGAGUACCGAAUGUUGAUAUUUGGUAACGCCAUCAGGAAAUGAUCCGCAAGCGCACGGAUAUCGGUGAGCAUUUCACCCGGGAGGUUAUCUAGAGUAUCAUAUUUAUACUUCUACCACUGGGAGAAAGCGUGCAUCUGAACUAACCAAAUCUAUUGCUACUACCCUUUAGGCUACAAAGAAUGUGAUUCGAUGUGAGCGAUGUAUAGAGAAGAACUGCACUCUCGUUCUAACCUUGGUAAGGAUGAUCUACUGUUCUGUUGGGGAGGCUCACAGAAUCUAGACACCACAGAGGAUGUUCGACCCGCACCUAUAAACCCUAUCGAUCUUGCUAACUGGAUGUGGGCUACAAAGGUAACUCGGAAAUGUCACGUUCCUCGCUACAACCACGGUCCAGCUAGUCAGGGGAUAUCUAUGAGUACCCAAGCCCAAUCACCAUGUUUACGCUAGCAAUGAUUACUCUAAACUCAACUGGAAGAUAUUAAAGUAAACUCAUAAACCAAAGAACAAUAAGAACAAAGAACUUACUAGAAUUUAGAAGUCGAAAUACUGAAGAAUCCUAGGAGCAAGCCUCGGGUUAGGAGACUUGAUCCCGCAGGUACAACCUCGGAGUAGACACCGACAGGCCGGGCUUCCUCCGAUCUACACCUCCACUCUAUCUCUCUCAAUCUAGUAGAACUAGUUCUACUCUUACAUUGGAUGCUACGCCCUAUGAGGUGGGAACCCUAAGGAACCUCUCUCUCUGAAUCCUCUCUAGAAAAUAUGCUAAUGAAUAAUGAGGAUUGCCUCCUCCAGGGGCCAGGGGGUCUGCUUAUAUAGUCCCCUCAAGUGAAUCUGGGCUGUCGGAUCAAACCGACAUUAAUCACAUGUUUUUCCUUGAUCCUUUAGGUCGGUGGAGCAUAAUCCACAAGACAGGACCUAAUUGGUCUCUGUAGCAGGGCGGGCACCAAGGGGGGAGGGCGGGCACCCUGCCCCCGAGCCCGCUCGGUCUCUCGUUCGUUCCUGUGGCUUCUGGAGUCUUCUAGAUGAUAGAAAAUUGCGCGGCAUGUUAAUAUCUCUAUGUAAACCUGACAUGUGGGCCUUUCUUCCAUAUUUCCUGAUAACCCCCUGCAGAAAUAGACAAACACCAAAACUCAUGGAAUUCUGUUAGAUAAAACCCUAAGUCUGGGUGUUGGUUGCAUUUGGAUCAUUUUCUUUAUUUAUUUGAUGAUUAAAUUUGGUACUUAAGGACCGUCAAAAACUCCCCCAAGCUUACCUCUUGCUCGUCCUUGAGCAAGGAUGAACUCAAGAGUUUCUGCAGUGGUUUCAUGCCUUUAAAAGCACAGAUGUGUUCAAGCAAGAUCUCAUCUCUGUGUUAGAGUAAACUAUUAAGACUUAAAACUUACUCAUUUUACCUUUCACCACGGGGCUUGCAACCGUCACUUGUGUCUUGAGCAGUUAAAAGAUAGAACGGUCAAGUCAAGCGCCAUGUCUCUUGUUCUUUGAUCAGCUAUAGCUCUGGAGUUUUUUUUGCAGAUUUUCAAAUAAAUCUCACAGAUUCCUUGUAUUACUCUCUCAAAUCUCUCUUUUGUGGUAUUUCUAGAUCCUUUCCAAGGCAGUAAUGGUAUAUGCCUUCCCUCAAAGUAUGUGGUAUUUUUGGUAUGAGGCAUAGUGAUAUUGCUUUCUCUCUCACCCUACUAUAAUAAGGCUUUGAUAUCUAGAGCUCAUAGGUGGGAGACAGAUAAUAAAUACUUACAAGACAUUUAUUGCAUAGUUAAACCAUGGAUACAGAAGAACAAGUCAAUAAGUCAAAUCAAGAUUUGCAUGUGUGGCGAGUGAAUGGUGUAUGGUGAUGAUGGUGAUAACAAUGGUGAAAGUCUAAUUCUGCUUUUGCUUUUUUUAGGGGAUACAUACCUUUCUUGCACUUUGAAGCUUUUUGAGGAGAAUGAGAUGCUCUAUAUUUUCUUUUUCUUCUCUCAGGUGGGUAUCUUGUACCCCUAAUUCUACUAUCGGACACUUGUCUAUUUUUACCUCUCGUCUCACUUUUUCUUUUCUUCGAGGUUCCGGGCACUUGCCCCUUUUUAUUUCCUCGUAUCCUUUCUCUUUUUUUUUUCUUUUUUUAGAACACUCGUCUCCUUAAAUAUAGCAAGUGGUAGUAACCAAGAUAAUUCGAGCAUUUAUUUCACAGGGAAAAAACAGAAUUAGGAGAAUGUUUUUGGCUAUUCUCUUCUGGAUAGGAGUAGAAUAAUUUUAGGUGAAUGUGGAGAUGGAAUUGAGUGGAUGUAUGUGGAUGCGUACUUCUGGAGUAGAAGUAGCAUGUAUGAGUGAACGUGCAAGUGAAUCUUAAUUUUAGUCGCAUGACAAGCUCCUAAGGGUCUACACAGCUUGACCACACUCAAUGCUCAUAAGCAGUAAAAGUAAAUAUGUGGCUCAAAGUCUAAUAAGCAUGUAUGUAUGGUUGUGGUAGGAAUUUAAACUCUCAUCAUACAGGAACUCAUCAUGUGUUAUUUUAAAGAUUUUCAAAGAUAAAAUUCUCCAGAAUUCUAGCAUCUCUAGGAACAGAUAAACAGCAGCUCAACCUUCCCAUAUCAUAUCCGUUAACGACUUAGACUUCAGAUCAAGUACUCUUCCCACAAGUUCAGGUUUAGAGCAGGUUUAAAUUAUAACAGUUAUGUCUAAACUUGAGAGAGAGAGCUGAAACUUGAAAACUAGGUACAUUGCAAAGCAACUAUUUAUCAUAUCCAUAUAAGAGUUUAUCAUUGAAGUUCAGUUUGACCUAGACACUUUAUUUAUUUAUUUAGCAAGCUAAGCAAAGAUAUAUAUAAGCACAAAAACCUUUAUUUGGGUUUUCAUGAUUAUGCAUCUUUUUAUUAUUUGAGUAAAGUAUAAAUGCGAGUAGAAAUACUUAGCUGGAUAAAUGGGGGUGCUCUCCCCCAAGCUGGAUUUUGACGUAAUUUCUUCUGAUGUAGCUGGCAGGUGGUGGAGGUGUAUUUGAAUGUUGGCAGCACCCUGACAGCGAUUACUAUGUCCUCCGCUGGCUAGUCUUCUUUGAUCCUUGAAUUCUGUGGAGCUCAAAUAGACAACAAAGCUUUGUGGAACUCUUGGCAAGGCAUUCGGUGUUUUUAAGUCCUCUGAACGGGACUCUCCGUUUUUUUGGUCGUCCUGGGAUUCACUGGAUGGCGUAGUCGGUGGUUCUGGUGGUGCCUCCUCUUCGUGUGUAACUAUUUUCUCUUUCUGACUCGGUGCUACGGUCUCCUCAGGACAGUUCUGUUCAAGCUGUAUGUCUUCAGACCUUACCACUUCUACUUCGUUGCCUGCCCAUCCGUCCUUGAUGAUUUGCUUCCUCUGGUUGCAUCGUCUUCUUUUUGUCCUGACCUGCUUAGAGUAUUCAACUAUAUAGUUAGGGUCAGUAAAAUAGUGGCGUACCUUCUCAAAGGGGAAGUGCAUGUAGACUUCUCCGGUUCCAAUGUAGAUGAUUGCUUUAACGGUGCUGAGGAACGGUCUCUCAAGGAUGAUGGGUGGAUCAUACUCGUCUUCUCCCAUGUCAAUAACCUUCAACCUUUCGAAAUGUCUGAUCUGCCAUCCGGAGCUGGGUCAUCCUUUUUGGUCAGAAAUGGUGACUUAAGUCGACGAUCUUGACCUCCUUGAACUGCAGUGACCAUCUUAGCUAACUCGGUCCACAUUUUCUUGUUCCUGUUCCUCCUAUUGGUCCUCUUCCUUGGUUCAUGUCGGGAUUGCUCUAAGAUUUAUGUAGUCUUGUUCUUGAAGGUAAACGUUUCCUUCCUCCCCUUGAUGUAGAGACUAAUCUUGGCAGCACUGGGGCAUACAAGGUACCAACUCGGAUGUAGAGGUUCUUCAAUAUUCCCUUUGGGAAACUUAGUGUCUGAUCUGCAAGCCAAGGCAUAAUGUUGAUGCUGGAGCCAAAGUCACAGAGUGCUUCUGGGAAGUCGACCAUGUCAAUGGAGAUCGGGAUGACGGGGCGUCCUGGAUCACCUCUCUGAGUAGUUAGGCCUGUGUUGAUUCCAACUUUGAUUUUGUUGAGGAUGGUUGUAGUAGUAGUAGUAGUUGUUGUUGUUGUUGAUGUAGUUUACGUCCUCAAGCAUCUCAGGGCAGUGAUUGCCUGAGUGUCUAGUAUCUCCAGUGUGUUUGUGCUCGUAGAUCCAAGCCCUUCACUUGGUGGAGUCUGGGAGUUGUAAAAAUCCUUCAGGUUUUGCUUGAAGUGUACCUGCUCAUAGAGACAAGGCAGAGAUCAAGUGCAUGGGCCCUGUUGGUGAAAAACACCAACAGAACCAAAAGUGUAUUUGUUCUUCUCUAACCUUAAGCAUAGUGAGCAAUACAAAGUUAAUAGAUAAUAAGAUAAAGUGUAGCAUCUAAAACAUUUGUCAGAUCAGAUCGCUCAACCUUAUGGAAAGAUAAUCGAUCUAUGUAUAAGUCUUUUUCUUUAUAUCUUCUCAAAGAUUGAAUGUGCAACAUUUUAACUCAUAUGAUUGUUGGGUAUUUUAAACGCAAACAGAAAAAUCCGCAAGCGCACGGAUACUGAUGUAGCCUUCACCCGGGAGUAUUCCAGAGUAUCGAUUUUCCACAGGGAACGUGAGUGUACUAAUUAAGAUUCAAGAUCGCCCAAGGAUAACUAUAUUAUUAUUUUUGGUGGGAAGAGAGGAAGUUUCCUGACAGUUCUCUAGUUGAUCUAAGAAUCAAGAAUUACUUCAAGAUUAUCUAUUUCGGGACAUCAGAACACUAACCACAGAAAGAGAUGAGAAGGGGGCUAGGAAGCUCUGACUACAGUCCUACAAACACCGAUCCGAACGAGGUGGAAUACGUCGACCGUUAGGGCUGUCACUACCCUAGGUCUACCACAACAAUCCGCAGGAUUGGGUGCAAUUCUAGGUAAUUGCAAGACUAAACACCACAUCUAAUCUAUUAAUUACUACUCUAAUGUUGCAAAGAUUAGAGCACUUGAUGCAAGCGGGAAUCCAAUAAAUAACUUGAAUGUAAAUAAAAGUAAUAACAGAACUCAGGAAUUAUGAGUUGAAGAACCUUGAGAACGAUGAAGAACGACACAGUUGCUGCAAAAGUACAAUGUUGAGGAAGAUCCGACAGAUCCGGCUCCUCCUCCGCUCUCCUCUUCUCUCUCCCUAUUUUCUAGAUUACAACUAGAGCGAACUAGAACUAGAACUAGAGGAACUAGAGCUAGAUGAACUAGAACUAGAUGAACUAGAGCUAGAACUAGAUGAACUAGAGGGAUCCUCUCUACUUGGAUGAAGAAUUGAAACCCUAACUUUGAUUCUGUAGAAGAGGUAUGAUCUCCAGGGGCCAAGGGCCUUGCUUAUAUAGUCUUUUCAGAUGAAUCUGGGCCGUCGGAUCAAACCGACAUUAAUCGCACGGUUUUCCUUGAUCCUUUAGGUCAGUGGAGCGUAAUCCACGAAACGGGUCCGAAUUGGACACUGUAGCUAGGCGGGCGCCCAAGGAACUAGGGCGGGCGCCCUGUCCCUGAGCCCUCUCGGCCUCUGCUUCGUUCCCGUGGCUUCUGGAGUCUUCUAGAUGGUAGAAAAUUGUGCAGGACUUUAAUACCUCUAUGUAAACCCGAUGUGUGGGCCUUUCUUCCUUAUUUCCUGAUAACCCCCUACAGAAACAGACAAACACCAAAACUCGUGGAAUUCUGUCAGAUAAAACCCUAAGUCUAGGUGUUGGUUGCAUAUAAGUCCUUUUCUAUGAUUAGUUGAUUUUUAAAUGUGAGCAUUGAGGACCGUCAACAAGCUCCCCCAAGCUUUACCUUUGCUUGUCCCUGAGCAAAGCUAAAAUCAGCAAGAAAACAGGGCUUACUUUUAUGCCUCUUACUAUAGGGUUUUUAAGUUAUCACUAAGGUCUUAAGUGAUUGAAAAACAGAACGAUCAAGUCAAGCACUAUGUCUCAAGUUCUUCUGUCUUACCUUUGUUCUGGAGUAUUUUUGUAAGUUUCCAAAAUAAAACUGGGGUAUUUGCCUUCUUCUUGAAGGAUAGAGUUUUAAAAGUUUUAGCUUACUUACUUUGCAUUUUGCUAUGUCAAUGCUCGGAGCAAGGGAGACAAAUGUCAUACUCCUAGAUCAAGACCUUUGACCUUUUUGAAAAGUUUGUCAUCUCUUACUGGCAUAUUGCUUAUUAGAGGGACCAUGGGCUAUCAUUUUUUUCUUUUUUUCUCUUUUUUUUAAGUGGGCACCAAGUACCCCUAAUUCUACUAUCGGACAUGUGUCCAUUUUUUCCACUUAGGUGGUUAUCUUUGUACCCCUAAUUAUACUUCGGACACUUGUCCAUUUUUACCUCUCGUCUCACUCUCUUUUUUUUCGAAUCAAAUUUUUGCAUAGUCCCAUGCCUCUAACGCAAUAAUACUUCGAAAGAGUGAAUCUUUUGUAUUUUAAAAAAAGAUCUUGAUCUUUGGAGCAUGAUAAUUCUCUCAACCAAAACUACAAGAAUUAACAAUGGCUUGAACAAAGCAAGUGCCCACAGUUUUAAUAUUUAUAUCUUAUAAGACUCUAGGUAUUAUGUCAAACAGGAUCUUAAUUUUUUUAGAUUUUCAAAAGAUAAAAUCUCCAGAACUCUAGCGAAACUUGGAACAAGUUAAAUAGUAGCUCAAACCUUCUCAUAUCAUGUUUGUCAAUUACCUAGACUUGGAUCAAACUUUCUUUUUAUUUUAUUUAAAACUUAGGAUUACACAAAACUAUUGUAUAUUACUUAAAAGAAAAACUUUGUUUUGUUUCAUGGUUAUGCAUUUUUUUUAUUUAUUUAUUUCCGAAUACUAGUAAAUAAAACCAAGAAAGAAAAUAAAUACUUAUCUAGAUACACGUGGGGGUGCCUUCCCCAAGCUGGAUGUUGACAUAGUCGUUCACUCUUGUGGCCUGCAUGUUCGGUCUCACUCCUCUUAAGCUUCAAAAUCCUGCACAACCCCAAUAGACAACAAAACUUGUGGAGCAUAUUAAGGGUUAGGAAAUUGUCUAGAGCUUAUGAGAGCUUAAUGUGAGAAUUCUAUGAAUUCAAUCACAUCAAGUUCCUCUACCAGGUUGUUUUGUGGCUCGAGAUAGAUUUUCAAGCGUUGACCAUUUACCUUAAAAGUGUUACCUAUGUCGUCUUGGAUGGUAAUGGCUCCAUGUGUUGAAGUGUCAAUAACCUUGUAUGGUCCAUCCCACUUACUUCGUAGCUUACCAUGCCCAAAGAGCUUAACUCUUGAAUUGAAUAGUAGAACCUUAUCUCCAGGCUUAAACUCCUUGUGCUUGAUUCUCUUAUCAUGCCAUCGUUUUGUUCUCUCUUUAUAGAUCCUUGAAUUGUGGUAGGCUUUCUCUCUCCAUUCUUCUAGCUCAGAUAGUUGCAUCAGACGAUUCUCGCUAGCAAGGUGGUGAUCCAUGUUCCAUUUCUUGAGUGCCCAAUGAGCCUUAAACUCUACUUCCACAGGCAAAUGACAAGUUUUUCCAUAUACAAGUUGAUAAGGUGACAUGCCUAUGGGUGUUUUGAAUGCAGUUCUAUAUGCCCAAAGCGCAUCAGGAAGUUUGUCCUUCCACCCCUUACCCAUCUCAUCUACGGUCUUUUGUAAAAUAUUUUUGUUUUGUUUGUUAGAUGUUUCGGCUUGACCGCUAGUCUGAGGAUGGUAUGGUGUUGCGACGUUGUGUCGAACUCCAUGAUCGGCUAGAUACUUCCAGAAGAUUUUGUCGAUGAAGUGGGAACCUCCAUCGCUUAUAACUAUCCAGGGUAUACCAAAGCGAGGAAAGAUUACUUCAUGGAACAUUCUCUUGGCAUGUUUUGAAUCAGCUAGGUAGGGCUUCUACCCAUUUGGACACAUAGUCCACAGCUACUAAGAUAUACACACAAUUCUCGGACAUAGGGAAUGGCCCCAUGAAAUCAAUGCCCCAUACAUCGAAAAGUUCUACUUGAAGAUUAUUUGUGAGAGGCAUUUCAUUUCGUGAGUUGAUAUUCCCAUGUUUUUGACAUCGGUGGCAUCUCCUAACAAAGUCCUUUGUAUCUUCAUACAUCGUUGGCCAGAAAAAACCACUUUGCCAAAUUUUAGCAUGUGUCCGGAAAGCUCCAUAGUGUCCUUCAUAUGGCGAGGCAUGGCAUCUUUCCAUAAUUUGAGUAGCCUCAGCCAUAGGAACACACCUUCUCAAGAGUCCAUCAACGCAGACUUGGAAAAGAUAUGGCUCAUCCCAAAGGUGGAAACGACUAUCGUGAAGCAACUUCCUUUUGUUUGCACCAGGUGGGACAUAGCCUUUUACUAUAAAGUUUACGAUGUCUGCGUACCAUGGAUCUGCAUGUGUUAUCUUAAGCAGGGUGUCAUCCCUUAGGUAGUCAUUUAUGGGAAGCUCAUCAUGUGUUUCCUUAUAUUGAAGCCUAGACAAGUGGUCGGCUACGGAAUUAUCUACUCCCUUACUAUCUCGGAUUUCUAUGUCAAAGUCUUGGAGUAGAAGAAUCCAUCGAAUUAGACGAGGCUUAACAUCUUUCUUAGUGAGGAGGUACUUCAGAGCAGCAUGGUCUGAAUAGAUGAUUAUCUUUGCCCCCACUAAGAAAGAUCUAAACUUGUCUAUAGCAAAGACAACAGCCAAAAGCUCUAUUUCAGUUGUAGUGUAAUUGAGCUGUGGUCCAGACAAGGUUUUGCUAGCGUAGGAUAUGGCAUAAUGCUUUUUAUCCUUGGUUUGUCCUAAAACGGCACCAACCACAAAAUCGCUAGCAUCACACAUGAUCUCCAAAGGAAGAUUCCAAUCAGAUGGUUGGAUAAUCGGGGCUAAGAUGAGUGCUUUCCUAAGAGUUUGAAAAGAUUCAUGACACUCAUCACUAAAGAUGAAAGGUGCAUCCUUAGCUAGGAGACUAGUUAGGGGUCUAGCAAUUUGAGAGAAGUUCUUGAUAAAGCGUCUAUAGAACCCUGCAUGUCCCAAAAAGCUAUGGAUUCCUUUCACAUUUAUGGGAGGUGGAAGUUUUUCAAUAACUUCAAUCUUUUCUUUGUCCACCUCUAUACCAUGUUCGGACACUUUAUGUCCUAGCACUAUUCCUUCCUGAACCAUAAAAUGGCAUUUCUCCCAGUUCAGGAUUAAGUGUUUUUCUUGACAUCACUGCAAGACUCUAUCUAAAUUCUCCAAACAAUGAUUGAAGGUUUUGCCAUAGACCAUAAAAUCAUCCAUGAAAACCUCCAUGAUCUUCUCAAUCGUGUCCGAGAAAAUAGACAUCAUGCACCGUUGGAAAGAAGCUGGAGCAUUGCACAAUCCGAACGAUAUUCGUCGGUAUGCAUUAGUUCCAUACGGGCAUGUAAAGGUAGUCUUUUCUUGGUCAUCUGGGUGGAUUGGGAUUUGGUGAUAUCCAGAAUAACCAUCAAGGAAACAAAAGAAAGUGUGGUUUGCAAGCCAUUCCAAUAUUUCAUCAAUGAAGGGUAACAGAAAGUGAUCUUUCUUUGUAGCCUUAUUGAGUUUUCGAUAGUCAAUACACAUACGCCACCCAGUGACAAUUCGUUGAGGGAUGAGUUCAUUCUUCUCAUUCCUAAUGACUGUAUUUCCUCCUUUCUUUGGCACUACUUGGACAGGGCUAACCCACUCACUAUGUGACACAGGAUAAAUAAUCCCAGCAUGAUAGAGUUUGAGGACCUCUUUCUUAACAACCUAUCGCAUAGCAUUGUUAAGUCUCCGCUGUGGUUCCCUUGAAGGUGUAAAAUUGGGAUCAACAGGGAUACGAUGAGUGCAGAGAAUGGGACUAAUGCCCGUGAGAUCUUCGAGAGAGUAGCCAAAUGCUUAUCUAUGCCUUUCAAGAACAGUGACAAGUUGUUGUGUUUCAUAAUCGGAAAGCUUGUCACUGAUAAUUACUGGAGUUUUUGGGUUAUUGUGCAAGAAGACAUAUCUAAGGCCAGAAGGAAGAGGUUUUAAUUCUAUCAAAGGAGGUGAAGGUUGUUCAUUUUUGUCUAGCUCAAUGGGUUCUACCAACUCUUCUUCUUCUUGAACAAAGUGUUCAUGAUUAAAGAAUGGUUGGGCCAUCUCCUCUUGAGUCAGCAUUAAGAUCUCCUUGAUAGGAUCUGGUUCAAGUUUGGGUUCCACUAUCGUGUUAAUUGAUCUAGCAAGAGGUACAACAAUAGUGGAAUUCCCAACCUUGAAGUCUAAAUGACCUCGUUGUGGUUGUUCAUGUAGAAGUUUUAUGAUUGGUUUACCAAUCAAGAGAGGAAUCUCCGGUAUGUCAAAAAUGUGAAAAUCUAGACAUAUUCUAGAGUCCUUGAUUCUAACAGGAACUGCCCUUAAUACCCCAUGGCUUUCUAGAAUUAAUCCAGAUGGACUUUAUAAAAGUUUUUGAGAUGGGGUUAUGGACUCGUUGGGAUAAAGAGUGUCAGCUAACUCCUUGGAAAUAACAUUUAUCCCAACAUAUGGAUUGUAGUGGACCUUCCUAGCAGACCUUCUAAUUUGGCACAGAAGAAUGGUUGAAGGAGUGAUGAAUUGAGCUACCUCAGGAGACAGCUCUGCUUCUGCUAGCCAUUCAUAGCUCAGAAUAGCCGAAAGGCUUUUGAUGUGUUCUAUGUCAACAGAUUAUACUCUUAGAAUGGACUGAGUGGUCCUUGCUAGAGGUCGUGUUUGGAUAGGAAAAUUCGAGGUGUUUCCAAAAUCUUUAAAAAGAUCUUCCUCGAAUUCAAAGGGAUGCUCUAAAGGUGGUGGUUCAUCAUCCCUUAGUUGGUUUUCCAUUCCCUUAUCAGGAGGUUUCUCUACAACCAAAUUAAUAGAUGGGUUAGGUGGAAUUUCUAACUCGGUUGCAAGUUCCUCAUCUUUUGGUUUAGGAUCAGGCUCAACUUCUUUUUCUUCUUCAGGAAACUCAUCAUAAAUGCCUGUGUAAGGGGUAUUUUCAAGGAUUCUUUCUAGGAUAGCUCUCCCCUCAUCUAUGAGUUUGUGUGUGAAUGAGCCUCCUGAAGCAAUGUCGAGGUGAAGAGCAGCUUCCUUGUUUAGACCACGAUAAAAGUGGUAGUACAGUACAUGGUCAGGCAGGGAAAGGUUUGGACCAGAAUUGGUAAGGCUUGUGAACCUAGCCCAAGCUGCUCCUAAAGUUUCCUUCUCUCGUUGAUUGAAUGUAAGAAUUUCAAUUCUAAGGUCAGCGAUUCGAAAAAGUGGGAAGAAAGCGAGACAAAAGUUGUCCCAAAGUUCAUCCCAAUUUCCAUUAACGCCUCCUACAGAAUGAGCAUACCACUUUUUUGCUCUUCCCAAAAGGGAGAACGGAAAUAAUUUCCAUUUAAGGGUUUCUUGUGUCAUGCCAGAAAUAGAUCGGCACGAGCACAACCGCUCGAAUUCUCUAAGGUGGGUGUAUGGAUCUUCAUCUACUUGCCCAGAGAAGGGUUGCUCCUGAAUCAUGGCUAUUAGAUUAGGGCCGAGGUCGUAGCCAUCUGUAAGAAUUGGAUGUGAUGAUGGUGGUGGCUCUAAUAACUCGCCCUUUGGAGCAAAGAAUUUAUAGAUAGGAGUGAAAUCCAUGUGGUGUGGUGAAAAUGGUAAGGUGAAUGUGGUAAAAAAGGAAAAGAAAAAGGAUACACGGACGACUUGGUUCGAAACUAGCACAGCUACCGUUCCCCGGCAACGGCGCCAGAAAGCUUGUUGGGUAUUUUAAACGCAAACAGAAAAAUCCACAAGCGCACGGAUACCGAUGUAGCCUUCACCCGGGAGUAUUCCAGAGUAUCGAUUUUCCACAGGGAACGUGAGUGUACUAAUUAAGAUUCAAGAUCGCCCAAGGAUAACUAUAUUAUUAUUUUUGGUGGGAAGAGAGGAAGUUUCCUGAGAGUUCUCUAGUUGAUCUAAGAAUCAAGAAUUACUUCAAGAUUAUCUAUUUCGGGACAUCAGAACACUAACCACAGAAAGAGAUGAGAAGGGGGCUAGGAAGCUCUGACUACGGUCCUACAAACACCGAUCCGAACGAGGUGGAAUACGUCGACCGUUAGGGCUGUCACUACCCUAGGGCUACCACAACAAUCCGCAGGAUUGGGUGCAAUUCCAGGCAAUUGCAAGACUAAACACCACGUCUAAUCUAUUAAUUACUACUCUAAUGUUGCAAAGAUUAGAGCACUUGAUGCAAGCGGGAAUCCAAUAAUUAACUUGAAUGUAAAUAAAAGUAAUUAAAGAACUCAGGAAUUAUGAGUUGAAGAACCUGGAGAACGAUGAAGAACGAACCAAUUGCUGCAAAAGUACAAUGUUGAGGAAGAUCCGACAGAUUUGGCUCCUCCUCCGCUCUCCUCUUCUCUCUCCCUAUUUUCUAGAUUACAACUAGAGCGAAUAGAACUAGAACUAGAGGAACUAGAGCUAGAUGAACUAGAACUAGAUGAACUAGAGCUAGAACUAGAUGAACUAGAGGGAUCCUCUCUACUUGGAUGAAGAAUUGAAACCCUAACUUUGAUUAUGUAGAAGAGGUAUGAUCUCCAGGGGAGCAUAAUCCUUGAUCCUUUAGGUCGGUGGAGCAUAAUCCGCGAAACGGGUCCGAAUUGGACACGUAGGUGGGCGGGCGCCCAAGGAACUAGGGCGGGCGCCCUGUCCCUGAGCCCUCUUGGCCUCUGCUUCGUUCCCGUGGCUUCUGGAGUCUUCUAGAUGGUAGAAAAUUGCGCAGCACGUUAAUACCUCUAUGUAAACCCGACGUGUGGGCCUUUCUUCCUUAUUUCUUGAUAACCCCCUACAGAAACAGACAAACACCAAAACUCAUGGAAUUCUGUCAGAUAAAACCCUAAGUCUAGGUGUUGGUUGGAUAUAAGUCCUUUUCUAUGAUUUGUUGAUGGUUAAAUGUGAGUAUUAAGGACCGUCAACAAUGAUUAGGAGUGUGGGAUCAUGGAGGUAGUACUAGGAAAAAAGAUUAAAGGACUAAACAUGUUGAAUUAAUUGGGUUAGUUAAUUUAUGUUUGUCUCUUUAUUCAUGUGAACUCUAGAACCAAGGAGAAGCUUAUAAAAGUGAUAGUCAAGUACCUUAAGAUGUUACCUUACUUGAAGAGUGGUGGUAUAGUAUCACCUUGUGGAAGCUUUCCUUUCUUAGCGAUUGUGCACCGUGUUUGUGGCGCUCUUUAUCUCGUUCCAUGGAUCAUCUCUCUAUGAUGAAUGAGCUAUGUCUUCCUUGUGCAAAUCGUUAAACUUCAUGUGUCUCCUUUGUCUCCAAUGUGAGUUUGUAUCUCAGGACUUCCAAGGUUGAUAUUGAAAGUUUUCCUGCAGGGGUUAGUCCGACAAAAUAUACCAAUGUCUACUCAAGUAGUUUUUAGUUCAGUAACCAAACUAGACUCCAUGUCUAAUCAGAUUAAGGAAGGAUAUUUAACCUAAGCACCACGCUUAAUUUAAAUGCCAAUGGGAGUAUGUCGAGUACUUCCAAACCAACACUUGCUUGUGAAUAGACAAAGGUAGCAUGACUGUUGACACUUGCUAACACCACUUGAAUACUAGGUUGUCAUCCCCAGCAUGGCACUAGAGUGUACUAUGGUAUUUAUACGCACACAGAUAAUCCGCAAGCGCACGGAUACCGUUGAAGCUUUUACCCGGUUAAAGGUUUAUCGUAUCCACAGGGAAACGGGAGAACCAACUACGCUCUAACUUAACCAAGAUAGAUGGAUAGGUGUAAAUAGGAAAGAUGGUAGAAUUGAAUAAGAACAAUAUUAAAGGUAAGAUAACAAUAGGUGAUAAUAUGGGAAUAGAGAGUAGAGCAAUUCAAGUAUAUGGGCGAUGGUAGCAGAAUAGAGAGAAUAACUAUGGUUUCUCUACUUCAAAGGGGUAUGUCUAUGUCUGGGACAAACCACGUGAUAAGAGUACACCACAAAGGAUGCUUAUCCUUAGGCCGAUAAACCCUACCCGUCCUGCUAACGAGAGGUGGACUACAGAGGACCAACGUAGCUGUCAGCUACGCGGCCUACCACACGAUCCAGCUAGACAGAGGAUAUCCACAAGUAAUCUAGGUCUAAGCACCACACUUACACCUAUACUACAACUCUAACCUAUAGCGUCCUAUAGAUUAGAAGUACUCAAAAGAGUUGUAAACUAGAACAUACAUGAUUAGUAAUUGCAUAAUGAAUUAUAAGUAGAUCACCAGAGUCAUCCCAUGAGCAAGCUUGAUUAGUGCUUGAUCAUGACGAAGUACAACCGGAGGAAGAACCGACAGGCCGGCCUCUCCUCUAAUCCUCCUUCACUCUCCAUCUCGCUACUAUCUAGAUCUACUCUAGUUUAGAGAAGAGAGGAGAACUCUCAUCUCUAAACCCUAGCUUUUGCUCUGUCUAUGAAUAAUGAAUAAUGAUCAAGGGGUGCCUCCUCCAGGGGCGAGGGGUCUGGUUUUAUAGUCCCCUCAAGUGAACCUGGGCCGUCAGAUCAAACCGACAUAGAUUGAACGGUUAUCCUUGAUCCUUUAGGUCGGUAGAGAUCUCCCACGAAGCAGAGUCCUGAUUGGACUCUUAGAGGGGGCGGGCGCCCAGGGCAGGAGGGCGGGCACCCUGCCUCUGGCCCCGUUUCGCCUCCGCUUCGGUCUCGUGGCUUCUGGAGUCUUCUAGAUGUAAGAUAAUUGCACGACACGUUAAUAUCUCUAUGUAAUCCCGACGUGUGGGCCUUUCUUCCGUAUUUCCUGAUAACCCUGUGCAGAAAUACACAAACACCAAAACUCGUGGAAUUCUGUCAGAUAAAACCCUAAGUCUAGAUGUUGAUUUCAUUUGGAUCCUUUUCUUUGUUUAUUUGAUAAUUAAAUUUGAUACUUAAGGACCGUCAACAAACUCCCCCAAGCUUACCUCUUGCUCGUCCCUGAGCAAGGAUAGACUUAGCAAUGGAUCAGAAGUUGUUGCAAUAUCUUAAAAAUUUGACGGUACACAUGCUUUUAAAUAAGAUCUCAUCUCUGAGUUAGAGUAAACUGUCAAGAACUAAAACUUACUUACUUUACCUUUCACCAUGGGACUUGUAACCAUCACUUUUGUCUUGAGUAGCUAAAAGAUAGAACAGUUUAGCCAAGUGCCAUGUCUCUUAUUCUUGAUCAGCUAAAGCUCUGGAGUUUUUGCAGAUAUUCAAAUAAAACUCAGAGAUUCCUUGUAUGACUUUCUAAAUCUCUCUUUUGUGGUAUUUUUGGAUCCUUACCAAGGCAGUGAUGGUAUAUGCCUUCUCUCAAGAUAUGUGGUAUUUGUGGUAUAAGGCAUAGUGACAUUGCCUUCUCUCUCACCCUACUCUAAUAAGGCUUUAAUAUCUGGAGCUCAUAGGUGAGAGAUAAAGUAUACAUACUUACAAGACAUUUAUUGUAUAGUCAAACCAUGGAUCCAAAGAAACAAAUCAAUAAGCCAAAUCAAGAUGUGCAUGUGUGGCGAAUGAAUGGUGUAUGGUGAUGAUGGUGAUAACAAUGGUGAAAGUCUAAUUCUACUUUUGCUCUUUUGACGGGAUACAUACCUUCCUUGCUUUUUGAAACUUUAUGAGGAGAAUGAGAUGCUCUUCUUUUUCUUUCCUCUCUGGUGGGUAUCUUGUACCCCUAAUUCUACUGUCGGACACUUGUCCAUUUUUACCUCUCGUCUCACUUUUUCUUUCUUUCGAGGUUCUGGGCACUUGCCCCUUUUUAUUUCCUCGUUUAUUUUUUUUCUUUUCUUCUCUUUUCUUUUUUUUUCAGAGCACUCAUCUCUUGAGAUAAUAUAGCAAGUGGUAGUAGCAGGAUAACUUAAGCAUUUAUUUCACAAGGGAAAACAAAAAUAUUUUUUGCUAUUCUCUCCCGGAUUAGGAGUAGAAUAUUUUUGGGUGAUUCUGGAGAUGGACAUGGAUGGAUAUAUGUGGAUGGUACUUCCAGAGUAGAAGUAGCAUAUAUGAGUGAACGUGCAAGUGAAUCUUGAUUUAACCACAUGACAAGCUCCUAAGGGUCUACACAGCUUGACCACACUCAAUGCUCAUAAGCAGUAAAUAGUAAAUGUGUGGCUCAAAGUCUAGCAAGCAUGUAUAUAUGGCUGUGGUAGGAAUUUAAACUCUCAUCAUACAGAAACUCAUCAUGGAAUAUUUUAAAGAUUUUUCAAAGAUGAAAUUCUCCAGAAUUCUAGCAUCUCUAGGAACAGAUAAACAGCAGCUCAACCUUCCCAUAUCAUAUCCGUUAACAACUUAGACUUCAGAUCAAGUUUUCAUCCCACAAGUUUAGGUCUAGAGCAAGCUUUAAAUUAUAACAGUUAUGUCUAAACUUGAGAGAGAACUUCAAAUUUUAAAAAUUAAGCAGACCAACUAUUCAUCAUAUCCAUGCUAGAGUUUUAUUAUUAAGAUUCAGAUUAGCAUAGCCACUUUAUUUAUUUAUUCAACACACUAAGCAAAAGAUAUAUCUAUAAGCACAAAAUCUUUAUUUGAUUUUUCAUAGUUUAUGUAUUUUAAUAUUCUAACAUAAUAUAAGUGAAGGGUCGAGAUGGCGGACUAGAGGGGGGUGAAUAGUCCUUUCUAAAACUUAUUACGCCGGCUAACCGAAACAAGUGCGGAAUUAAAACUAUCGGUCUAGCCAAGACUACACCCCUCUAUCUAAGUUCUCUAGCACCUUGUAAAAGAUCCUAAACAAGCAAACAAGGUGCUACCUUAGCAAGAGCUCACCUAACCAAUUCUAGGAGCAAGGUCACACAAACCUAUGCAACUAGUACUUUGCAAACCGAGGGAGCUCCUAUACAAACUAGUGAGGCAAAGUGCACAAAGCCUAAUCUCACUAGCAAGCUCAAUAACAAGGCAACUAAUGCCAAAUUAGAGAGCGCAACUUACUUAGCUACACAAACUAAGCAAUGUGACUAACAAGGUUACACAAACCAAAUUAGUCAGGCAAGGGAACUACUUCUAGCUACACAAGCAAGAAGGUAACUAGCAAGCUACACAAGCUAACUAAUUACAAGAACAACUGCACAAGCACAAGUAUAUGAAUGUAAGAAUAAGCUUGUGUUAGGGACUUGCAAACCAACGGGAAGAACAAAUGUUGACACGAUGAUUUUCUCCCGAGGUUCACUUGGUUGCCACCAAGCUACGUCCCCGUUGAGACAUGCUCCAAGGUUGCCGCCGGUCCUCUUGCUAGUGGUGACCCGCAAGUCACUCUCUCCCACGUGGAGUGCUUACCACAAGCUCUAGCACUUGACCCGGCCGGACCACUUGUCGCUCUUCACGUCUCGCUCAACUAGAGUUGCUCUUCGCGAUCCCCGCGGGGUGAGCACCGUACCCCUCACAAUCUCUUCUCCGGAGCACCGCACAAUCUCCUUGCGUGCUUCGACGGAGUCACAAGCCACCAAGCCGUCUAGGAGGUGGCAACUUCCAAGAGUAACAAGCACCACCGGCUUGCAACACGAACACCUAGUGCCACUCGAUGCAAUCUCUCAAUGCAACGCACUAGAAUCACUCACUCGCUAUUGAUUCGCGCUCUUGCAAGCACAAGUGAGUUAGAGGCUUUCCUAGCACUCCCCAAGCANNNNNNNNNNNNNNNNNNNNNNNNNNNNNNNNNNNNNNNNNNNNNNNNNNNNNNNNNNNNNNNNNNNNNNNNNNNNNNNNNNNNNNNNNNNNNNNNNNNNNNNNNNNNNNNNNNNNNNNNNNNNNNNNNNNNNNNNNNNNNNNNNNNNNNNNNNNNNNNNNNNNNNNNNNNNNNNNNNNNNNNNNNNNNNNNNNNNNNNNNNNNNNNNNNNNNNNNNNNNNNNNNNNNNNNNNNNNNNNNNNNNNNNNNNNNNNNNNNNNNNNNNNNNNNNNNNNNNNNNNNNNNNNNNNNNNNNNNNNNNNNNNNNNNNNNNNNNNNNNNNNNNNNNNNNNNNNNNNNNNNNNNNNNNNNNNNNNNNNNNNNNNNNNNNNNNNNNNNNNNNNNNNNNNNNNNNNNNNNNNNNNNNNNNNNNNNNNNNNNNNNNNNNNNNNNNNNNNNNNNNNNNNNNNNNNNNNNNNNNNNNNNNNNNNNNNNNNNNNNNNNNNNNNNNNNNNNNNNNNNNNNNNNNNNNNNNNNNNNNNNNNNNNNNNNNNNNNNNNNNNNNNNNNNNNNNGUCCACACCGGACGCGUCGGUGCCACCGGACUCGUGCGCAGAGAGCUCCGCAAAGUCGCACGGUCAUCGGACGCAAGGCACCGGACGCACCCUGAGCGUCCGGUGCUCACCGGACUCAUGCGCAGUGAGGGUCGCCAAACCGCUCGCACACCGGACGCUGAGCACCGGACUCUCUCCGGUGCGUCCGGUGCACUCUGCUGCACCCGACAGCACACCAGACGCUAAAGGCCAGCGUCCGGUGCCUCCACGCAGAGCGUCCGGUGAGUGUUUCCUACUGAGAAACACUCCCGCAACUUCUCCAAAUUUUCCACCGGCGCAAUAGAAAAUAUACACUUAUUUUUCUCAAAAGCGCCGAAUCCCGCCUCGCAAGCUCGGCGGGAGGGAGAGAGGAACCCACACGCCUCUCAACCCUAGGAACUCCACCUCCUUUGUAGAUGUGCCAACACCACCAAGUGUACACCACCAUGUGCAAGUGUGUUAGCAUUUUCACAAACAUUUUUCCAAGGGAGUUAGCCUUGCCACGCCACUCGAUCCUAACACGUAUGCAAAGUUAGAUCGCUCAAGUGGCACUAGAUGACCGAUAUGCAAACAAGUUUGCCCCUCUUGAUAGUACGGCCAUCUAUCCUAAAUCCGGUCAUAAACUUCUCUACCCACCUAUGACCGGUGAAAUAGAAAUGCCCUAGGUUAUACCUUUGCCUUGCGCAUUCCAUUCCAUCUCCUCCAAUGUUGAUGCAACACAUUCACCAACCAAUCACCAAAUGAUAUGAUCCACUUCAUAUCAUCACGUGACCGUAUUGGUUCAUCGAUCUUGACCUCACUUGCUCUUCACCGUUGCCUCGGUCCAUCGGCGCCAAGUCUUGCUCAAGCUUCACCGUCACACGCGGUCCCUCGCGUCAAAGCCUCCGACUUGCCCUUCACUCUUGCAACCGGUACAUCAAGCCAAGCCUCAUCUUGAUCUUCUCCACCUUGGUCACAUGACUCCAUGUCAUGUCUCAUAUGCAAUGAGCUCCUCCAUCAUCACAUCAUCACCUGUGGACUAAUCUCCUGUAUAUCUCAUAUAAACACUAUUAGUCCACCUAAGUUGUCACUCAAUUACCAAAACCAAACAAGGACCUUUCAAUAAGUAUAAAGAUAGGUAGAAAUACUUAGCGAGAUAAAUGGGGGUGCUCUCCCCCAAGCUGAAUUUUGACGUAAUUUCUCUUGAUGUAGCUAGCAGGUGGCAGAGGUGUAUUUGAAAGUCAGCAGCAUUCUGACAGCGAUUAAAAUGUCCUCCGUCUCCUAGUCUUCUUGAUUCUUAAAUUCUGUGGAGCUUAAAUAGACAACAAAGCUUGUGAAACUAAUUAAGUGUUAGCAUAAAUAUCUAGCCUUCAUCAUGUUGAGCUUCCUCAAUAAAUAUUACUCCGAGUUUCUAUAUUUUUAUUUUAUAAAGCAAAAAAGAAAUAUUUAUUUUAUUUUUAUGCCACCACAGUGAAGGUACUUAUGGGUUUUAUGCCACUCGUAUACUCACAUGGGGCUUAGUAUUUUUUAACAUUUUUAUUUUCUUUUCAAGAUAGCAUGAUUAACUAAUAAUCUAUUUAAGGAAAGUAAAUAAUUAAAGGGAAAAGGGAAUGCAGAAAGGAUAAAUAUGGAUAACUACUGAUCUUACCUUUCGGCGAGGGUUCAAUGUUUUAAGUCUUCUUAACAAGACUUCUCACCGUGUUCAUUCUUCAGGUGCGUCAUUUGAUUCAGGUGCGGACCUUGACGUCUGCACCUCUUCGUUUGCCCAGCAGUUCAAAGUGUGGCGUUGGCAGUGUCCUGCUCAGUGUGUUUGUGCUCGUAGAUCCAGAUCCUUCACUUGGUAGAGUCUAAGAGUUAUAAAACUCCUCCGUGUUUUGCUCAAAGUGCACCUGCUUAUAGAGACAAGGCAGAGAUCAAGUGCAUGGGUCCUGUUGGUGGAAAACACCAACAGAACCUAAAGUGUAUUUGUUCUUCUCUAUCCCUAAGCAUAGUGAGCAAGACAAAGUUGAUGGAUGAAAGUUCAUGAGUGUAGCACUUAUAACAUUAGUCAGAUCAGAUUACUCAACCUUAUGGAAAGACAAUCUAUCUAUGUAUAUGUCUUUUUCUUUAUAUCUCUCAAAGAUUGAAUGUGUAGCAUUUUAGCUCAUAUGAUUAGGAGUGUGGGUUCAUGGAGGUAGUACUAAGAACAAGGAUAAAAGGACUAAACAUGUUGAAUCAGUUGGGUUGGUUAAUCUAGAGUUGUAAAUCAUACAUGUUUGUCUCUUUUGUUUAUAUGAACGCUAGAACCAAGAGAAGCUUAUAAAAGUGAUAGUCAAGUAUCUUAAGAUGUUACCUUGCUUGAAGAGUGAUGGUACAGUAUCACCUUGUGGAAGCUUUUCUUUCUUAGCGGUUGUGCAUCGUGUUUGUGGCACCCUCCAUGGAUCAUCUCUCUAUGAUGAAUGAGCUAUGUCCUUCUUGUGCAAAUUGUUAAACUCAUCUGUCACUCUCUUCGUCUCUGAUGUGAGUUUAUCUCAGGACUUCCCAAAUCAAUAUUGAAAGUUUUUCUGCAGGGGUUAGUCUGACAAAAAUAUACCAAUGUCUACACAAGAAGUUUUUAGUUCAAUAACCGAACUAGACUCCAUGUCUAAUCAGAUUAAGGAAGGCUAUUUAACCUAAGCACCAUGCUUAAUUUAAAAGCCAAUAGAAGUAUGUGCAGUACUGCCAAACUAACACUUACUAGUAAAUAGACAAAGGUAACAUGACAGCAUUUAUAGAGAUCUACUCAAGUGGAGAUGAAGUAGUGUGAUUAGUAUUUAACAAAUUGAGCAUGUCUUAAAGGUAGGGACAACCAACAUAGCAACAUGGAAAAUGAUGUUUUUAUGUAAAGUACUCCCCCAAGCAUGAAUUUUGCAGAAUUCAAGUUUGGAUGAAUUUAAUUCAGUGUUCCAUGAUGAUUGGUUGGACAUACCUUGUACUUGCUUGUCAUUCAUCUGUUCUUCUUGUUCCAAUCCUAGAAAGGUUAGUGACAAGAAUACCCGAAGGAAUAUUUUUACAAUUAUCCUUAUAUGCUCAAUACACAAGGUAAUGUUGCAAAUAAUUAAAAACUCAUGUUAUGAUCUGAUCAGUGCUUAUUUUAGGACACCAAGCUUGUCCUUGGGAAACCAUCAAUUUAUGUCGGCGAAGUGGUUUCCCUUCCAACACUGACCUAAAUCAAGAUCUACUCAACGAGAUCUGCAAUAUUUAUUAUAGACAUAUGCAUCGACAACCGCCCUUUUAAAGUUUUUAUAAAUAGAAAGGAAGAGGGGGGUUGGAGAUCUCAAAUGUGGUGAUGUUGGAGAGACCAAUAGAUUGGGAAGAUGUUGCAUAUGAGCAUGGAGUAGACAAAGUGGCUAUGAAAUAAAUUCCAUGCUCAUUAAUGUUAUCUUCGUCUCUAAUCUGAAUGUUUAGAGUUUCUCUUGGAUUGGUCUCACUUAUGUCCUCUUCUAUAGUUGGAUGAAUCCCAUCUUCAAAGGGAGUCAAGAACUCACCAUUUGAAAUUGAACCAAAGUCAGAAUUCAUUAAGGCUUCUUCCUUAUCCAUCCAUUCUACACAUUCUAGCCAUUUAGAACUUGUGAUCAGGAAAGGGGAGGUGUUAGAAUAUUCAAUAUGGCUUAGCUCUCCUUCACUUGAUAUGUCAUCCUCAACUUCUUCAUAACAGGAACCAGGACAUUCUCUAAGAGAACCAUUAUUGCGAGGAUUUGAAUUAUCCCUGCUUGAAGGUCUCUUAUGGAACCAGAAGUCUAAACCAUCAGCAUCUGAAAGAUUUAAGGUCGGAAUUCCUUCCUCCCUUGGAGAAUUUUGGGGUAUUGAUGGUUUAGGAUCGAUAGCUAAAGUUUGGAAUUGAAAUGGUUGUGAUCUGGCUAUCAAAACUUCUUCUUCUUGUCUAGGACCUGGUUCUGUCUCUUUCUCAGGAAUAUAAAAGCUAGGAGACUUUCCGCUCAUUAAAUCAGUCAAAUUCCAAGCUUCACUAGCGGAUAGGUGGUGGAAAGAUCCUCCAGAGGCCGUAUUCAAGGUUUGCUUAUUUUCCCCACUAAGUCCCUCAAAAAAGUGAAUUAGAAGAACUUCUUCUGGAAUAGAGAGCUUUGGGCCAGUGAGAGUAAGGUUAAUAAAGCGGUCCCAUGAUUUCCUUAGAGAUUCUUCUUCCAGUUGUCUAAAAGAAAUAAUCUCACACCAAAGUUCCGCCACUUUGGAGAUUGGAAAAUAUUUAGAAAGAAAACUACUAUAUAACUCCUUCCAAUCUCUAUGAACACUCCCUAUUUUGAGUUUGUACCAAUGUCUAGCUUUUCCCGUUAAAGAGAACGGAAAGAGCUUCCAUUUGAGGGUCUCAUCGGACAUUCCUUCUAUGCGAAGGAGGUCACAGACUCGAUAAAACUCUCUUAGGUGUGUGUAUGGGUUUUCCUCACCUUCUCCUGAGAAAGGUUGUUUUUGAACAAAUUCUAUGUAUUCGGGGUCUAUCUCAAAACUAGAUGCUAUGAUAGGCUUUGAAGAUUUUGGUGGUUCAAGAUGUGUGCCCGUAGGUCUAUGAAAUUCAUAAAUAGACAUGUUUGAAUUCAUGAUAGACCAGAGAUCAAGUAUUAGAUAAGAAGAAAGAUUAGCAGAGAUGAGGCAAAGGAUAAAACGAAAAUAUAUUUUUUUUAUUUUUUAGAAAAUGAUUAAGCUAGUUCGUAGUCAACUCAGCAACCGAUUCCCCAGCAACGGCGCCAAAAAUGCUUGUUGACACUUGCUAACACCACUUGAAUACUAGGUUGUCAUCCCCAGCAUGGCACUAGAGAGUACUAUGGUAUUUAUACGCACACAGAUAAUCCGCAAGCGCACGGAUACCGUUGAAGCUUUUGCCCGGUUAAAGGUUUUAUCGUAUCCACAGGGAAACGGGAGAACCAACUACGCUCUAACUUAACCAAGAUAGAUGGAUAGGUGUAAAUAGGAAAGAUGGUAGAAUUGAAUAAGAACAAUAUUAAAGGUAAGAUAACAAUAGGUGAUAAUAUGGGAAUAGAGAGUAGAGCAAUUCUAUUAUAUGGGCGAUGGUAGCAGAAUAGAGAGAAUAACUAUGGUUUCUCUACUUCAAAGGGGUAUGUCUAUGUCUGGGACGAACCACGUGAUAAGAGUACACCACAAAGGAUGCUUAUCCUUAGGCCGAUAAACCCUACCCGUCCUACUAACGAGAGGUGGACUACAGAGGACCAACGUAACUGUCACCUACGCGGCCUACCACACGAUCCAGCUAGACAAGGGAUAUCCACAAGUAAUCUAGGUCUAAGCACCACGCUUACACCUAUACUACAACUCUAACCUAUAGCGUCCUAUAGAUUAGAAGUACUCAAAAGAGUUGUGAACCAGAACAUACAUGAUUAGUAAUUGCAUAAUGAAUUAGAAGUAGAUUACCAGAGUCAUCCCAUGAGUAAGCUUGAUUAGUGCUUGAUCAUGACGAAGUACAACCGGAGGAAGAACCGACAGGCCGGCCUCUCCUCUAAUCCUCCUUCGCUCUCCAUCUCGCUACUAUCUAGAUCUACUCUAGUUUAGAGAAGAGAGGAGAGCUCUCAUCUCUAAACCCUAGCUUUUGCUCUGUCUAUGAAUAAUGAAUAAUGAUCAAGGGGUGCCUCCUCCAGGGGCCAGGGGGUCUGGUUUUAUAGUACCCUCAAGUGAACCGGCCGUUAGAUCAAACCGACAUAGAUUGAAUGGUUAUCCUUGAUCCUUUAGGUCGGUAGAGAUCUCCCACGAAGUAGAGUCCUGAUUGGACUCUCAGAGGGGGCGGGCGCCUUGCCUCUGGCCCCGUUUCGCCUCUGCUUCGGUCUCGUGGCUUCUGGAGUCUUCUAGAUGUAAGAUAAUUGCGCGGCACGUUAAUAUCUCUAUGUAAUCCCGACGUGUGGGCCUUUCUUCCGUAUUUCCUGAUAACCCCCUGCAGAAAUAGACAAACACCAAAACUCGUGGAAUUCUGUCAGAUAAAACCCUAAGUCUAGAUGUUGAUUUCAUUUGGAUCCUUUUCUUUGUUUAUUUGAUAAUUAAAUUUGAUACUUAAAGGACCGUCAAAUUCGGACCCGCCCAACUCUUCUGGGCGCCCGCCCAGCUACAGUGUCCAAUUCGGACCCGUUUCGCGGAUUAUGCUCCACCGUCCUAAAGGAUCAAGGAAAACCGUGCGAUCAAUGUCGGUUUGAUCCGACGGCCCAGAUUCACUUGAAGGGACUAUAAAACCAGACCCCCUGGCCCCUGGAGAGCAUACCUCUUCUACAGAAUCAAAGUUAGGGUUUCAAUUCUUCAUCCAAGUAGAGAGGAUCCCUCUAGUUCAUCUAGUUCUACCUCUAGUAAAUCUAGUUCUAGUUCUAGUUCAUCUAGUUCUAGUUCUAGUUCAUCUAGUUCUAGUUCUAGUUAGUUCUAGUUGUAAUCUAGAAAAUAGGGAGAGAGAAGAGGAGAGCGGAGGAGGAGCCGGAUCUGUCGGAUCUUCCUCAACAUUAUACUUUUGCAGCAUCUGGUUCGUUCUUCAUUGUUCUCCAGGUUCUUCAAUUCAUAAUUCCUGAGUUCUUUAAUUACUUUUAUUUACAUUCAAGUUAUUUAUUGGAUUCCCGCUUGCAUCAAGUUCUCUAGUCUUUAUAACGCUAGAGUAGUAAUUAAUAGAUUGGACGUGGUGUUUAGUCUUGCGAUUACCUGGAAUUGCACCCAAUCCUGCGGAUUGUUGUGGUAGCCUUAGGGUAGUGACAGCCCUAACGGUCGACGUAUUCCACCACGUUCGGAUCGGUGUUUGUAGGACCGUAGUCAGACCUUCCUAGCCCCCUUCUCAUCUCUUUCUGUGGUUAGUGCUCUGAUGUCCCAAUAUAGAUAAUCUUGAAGUAAUUCUUGAUUCUUAGAUCAACUAGAGAACUCUCAGGAAACUUCCUCUCUUCCCACCAAAAAUAUUCAUAUAGUUAUCCUUGGGCGAUCUUGGAUCUUAAUUAGUACACUCACGUUCCCUGUGGAAAAUCGAUACUCUGGAAUACUCCCGGGUGAAGGCUACAUCGGUAUCCGUGCGCUUGCGGAUUUUUCUGUUUGCGUUUAAAAUACCUAACAAGCUUUCUGGCGCCGUAGCCGGGGAACGAUAGCUGUGCUAGUUUUGAACCAAGUUGUCCGUGUAUCCUUUUUCUUUUCCUUUCUUACCACACUCACCUUUCAUUUUUACCAUACCACAUGGAUUUCACUCUAAGCAUUAGUGAGCAUGGAAUUUAUUUCAUAGCCACUUCAUUUACUCCAUGCUCAUAUGCAACAUCUUCACAAUCCAUUGGUCUCUCCAACAUCACCACAUUCGAGAUCUCCAACCCCCUCUUCCUUUCUAUUUAUAAAAACUUUAAAAGGGUGGUUGUCGAUGCAUAUGUCUAUAUUAAAUAUUGCAGAUCUCGUUGAGUUGAUCUUGAUAUAGGUCAGCGUUGGAGGGUAAACCACUUCACUGACAUAAAUCAAUGGUUUCCCAAGGACAAGCUUAGUGUCCUAAAACAAGCACUGAUCAGAUCAUAACAUGAGCUUUUAAUUAUUUGCAACAUUACCUUGUGUAUUGAGCAUAUAAGGAUAAUUGUAAAAAUAUUCCUUCGGGUAUUCUUGUCACUAACCUUUCCAGGAUUGGAGCAAGAAGAUCGGAUGAAUGACAAGCACAAGGUAUGUUCAACCAAUCAUCAUACAACAUUGAAUUAAAUUCAUCCAAACUUGAAUUUUGCAAAAUUCAAGCUUGGGGGAGUACUUUACAUAAAAACAUCCUUUGCCAUGUUGCUAUGUUGGUUAUCCCUACCUUUGAGACAUGCUCAAUUUGUUAAAUACUAAUCACACUACUUCAUCUCCGCUUGAGUAGAUCUCUAUAAAUGCUCUCAUGCUACCUUUAUUUGCUUUAGUAUAUGUCUAGGUUGGAGUAGUUUCAUUUAUCUCUUAAUUAAGCUUGGUGCUUAGUUCAGGAAUGAUGAUCUUACUUCCAAGGGGUUUUAAAUUAAGCAUGGUGCUUAGGUUAAAAUAGCCCUCCUGAAUCAAAUUAGACAUGGUGUCUAGGUUGAUUUUUGAGCUGAUAGUAUGCUAUAGUAGAUAUUGGAUAUUUUGUUGGACUAACCCCUGCAGGAAAACUUUCACUAUCAACCUGGGAAGUCCUGAGAUACACUCACAUUGGAGACAAAGAGAGAGACACAUGAAGUUUAACAAUUUACAUGAGGAAGGCAUAGCUCACAAGAGAUGAUCCAUGGAGGGUGCCACAAACACGAUGCACAACUGCUAAGAAAGGAAAGCUUCCACAAGGAGAUACUGUACCAUCACUCUUCAAGUAAGGUAACAUCUUAAGGUACUUGACUAUCACUCUAUAAGCUUCUCCUUGGUUCUGGCGUUCACAUGAAUAAAAGAGACAAACAUGUAUGAUUUACAACUCUAGAUUAACCAACCCAUUCGAUUCAAUAUGUUUAGUCCUUCCACCUUUGUGAUCCUACACUCCUAAUCAUAUGAACUAAAGUGUUGCACACUCAAUGUUUGGAAGAUAUAUAUAAAAAACAUAAGUAUCGAUAGAUUAUCUUUCCAUUAGGUUGAGUGAUCUGAUCUGACAAAUGUUUUAAAUGCUACACUCAUGAUCUUAUUAUCCAUCAACUUUGUCUUGCUCACUAUGCUUAAGGUUAGAGAAGAACAAAUACACUUUUGGUUUUGUUGGUGUUUUCCACCAACAGGGCCCAUGCACUUGAUCUCUGCCCUGUCUCUACGAGCAGGUACACUUCGAGCAAAAUAUGAAGGAGUUUUACAACUCCCAGACUCCACCAAGUGAAGAACCUAGAUCUACGAGCACAUACACAAUGGAGAUACUGGACACUCAGUCAAAAGAGGCGAUCCAGGACGCCCCGUCAUCCCGAUCUCCAUCGGCAUGGUGGACUUCCUAGAAGCACUCUGCGACUUUGGCUCCAACGUCAACAUUAUGCCCAAGGUACUCUAUGAAAAAAAUUCUUUACACAUCCUUUACUAGAAACAACCAUGUGCUUGUAGCCUGCAGAUCAGACACUAAGUUUCCCAAAGAGAAUAUUGAAGAACCUCUGCGUCCGAGUUGGUACCUUGUACGCCCCAGCAAACUUCGUGGUGAUAGAGACUAGUACUGAUGAGAGGGCACCCAUCUUAGGGAGGCCAUUCCUGAACACCUCGGGAGCUGUCAUCUACGUUAGUGCUGCCAAGAUCAGUUUCUACAUCAAGGGGAGGAAGGAGACGUUUUCCUUCAAGAACAAGACUACACAAAUCUCAGAGCAAUCCCGACAUGAACCAACAGGAGGAACAGAAACAAGCAAAUGUAGACCGAGUCAGCUAAGAUGGUCACUGCAGUUCAAGGAUGUCAAGAUCGUUGACUUAAGUCACCGUUCCUGACCAAAAAGGACGACCCAGUCACCUGUCAGCUCCUAUUCAGAACCAUGCCCCUAAAACCGACAUACAUUCAGCUCCAGAUGGCAGAUCAGACAUUCUGAAAGGUUGAAGAUUUUUAGGUUAUUGACAUGGGAGAAGACGAGUACGAUCCACCCAUCAUCCUUGAGAGGCCGCUCCUCAGCACCGAUAAAGCAAUCAUCAACAUUGGAACCGGAGAAGUCCACAUGCACUUCCCCUCUGAGAAGGUACGCCGCUAUUUUACUGACCCUAACUAUAUCGUUGAAGACUCUAAGCAGGUCAGGACAAGAAGAAGACGACGCAACCACAACCAGAGGAGGCAAAUCAUCAAGGACGGAUGGGUAGACAAUGAAGGAGAAGUAGUAAGGUCUGAAGACAUACAGCUUGAUCAGAACUGUCCUGAGGAGACCGUAGCACCGAGUCAAGUGUGUAGAGAGAAGAUAGUUAUACAUGAAGAGCAGGCGCCGCCGGAACCACCGACUACGCCAUCCAGCGAAUCCCAGGACGACUGAGAAAACGGAGAGUCCCGUUCGGAGGACUUAAAAACACCGAACGCCUUGCCAAGAGGUAAACUUGGUAGUUAUCUUUUUCCUUUCAAUUAUUUAAAAUAGUUUGCUUAGUUAAUCAGGUUCAUAUCAUCUUGAAAAGAAAAUAAAAAUGUUAAAAAUAGUAAGCCCCAUAUGAGUAUGCUCAUGGCAUAAAACCCAUAAGUACAUUCAUUGUGGUGGCGUAAAAAUAAAAUAAAUAUAUAUUCCUGUCCUAUAAAAAGAUUUAUGAUCCUACUAAAAAGAGUAACAUCUAUUGAGGAGGCUCAACAUGAUAAAGGCUAGAUAUUUAUGCUAACACUUAACUAGUUCCACAAAGCUUUGUUGUCUAUUUGAGCUUCACUGAAUUCAAGGAUCAAAGAAGACUAGCAGACGGAGGACAUCCUAAUCGCUGUCAGGGUGCUGCUGACAUUCAAAUACACCUCCACCAACUGCUAGCUACAUCAGAAGAAAUUACGUCAAAACCCAGCUUGGGGGAGAGCAACCCCAUUUAUCCAGCUAAGUGCUCUACUCAUGUUUAUACUUUACUCUAAUAAUAAAAUUAUGCAUAAUCAUAGAAACCCAAAUAAAGAUUUUGUGCAUAUAUAUAUCUUUGCUUAGUUUGCUAAAUAAAUAAAUAAAUAAAGUCUGCUAUAAACCAUCAUGAUAAGCUCUCACAUGGAAAUGAUGAAUAGUUGCUCUGCCAUGACUAGUUCUCAAAAUUGAAAUCUCUCUUUUAAGUUUAGGCCUGGCUGUUAUUAAUUUGCUCUAAACCUGAACUUGUGGGAAGAGUACUUGAUCUGAAGUCUAAGUCGUUAACGGAUAUGAUAUGGGAAGGUUGAGCUACUGUCUAUCUGUUCCUAGAGAUGCUAGAAUUCUGGAGAAUUUUAUCUUUGAAAAUCAUUAAAAUAACACAUGAUGAGUUCCUGUAUGAUGAGAGUUUAAAUUCCUACCACAGCCAUAUAUACAUGCUUGCUAGACUUUGAGCCACACAUUUACUUUUUACUGCUUAUGAGCAUUGAGUGUGGUCAAGCUGUGUAGACCCUUAGGAGCUUGUCAUGUGGUUAAAUCAAGAUUCACUUGCACGUUCAGUCAUACAUGCUACUUCUACUUCGGAAGUAUGCAUCCACAUAUAUCCAUCCAUUUCCAUCUCCACAACGACCCAAAAAUAUUCUACUCCUAAUCCGGGAGAGAAUAGCCAAAAACAUUCUCUUAUUUCUGUUUUUCCCUGUGAAAUAAAUGCUCAAGUUAUCUUGGUUACUACCACUUGCUAUAUUAUUUCAGGAGAUGAGUGCUCUAAAAAAAGAAAAAAAAAGAAAAAAAAAUACGAGGAAAUAAAAAGGGGCAAGUGCCCGGAACCUCGAAAGAAAAAAAAAAGUGAGACGAGAGGUAAAAAUGGACAAGUGGCCGACAGUAGAAUUAGGGGUAUAAGAUACCCACCUGAGAGAAAAGAAAAAAAAAGAGAAAAUAUAGAGCAUCUCAUUCUCCUCAAAAAAGUUUCAAAAGAGCAAGAAAGGUAUGUAUCCCCUCAAAAGAGCAUAAGCAGAAUUAGACUUUCACCAUUGUUAUCACCAUCAUCACCAUACACCAUUCAUUCGCCACACAUGCACAUCUUGAUUUGACUUAUUGACUUGUUCUUCUGGAUCCAUGGUUUGACUAUGCAAUAAAUGUCUUGUAAGUAUGUAUUAGUUGUCUCCCACCUAUGAGCUCCAGAUAUCAAAAGCCUUAUUAGAGUAGGGUGAGAGAGAAGGCAAUGUCACUUUGCCUCAUACCAAAAAUACCACAUACUUUGAGAGAAGGCAUAUACCAUUACUGCCUUGGUAAGGAUCCAGAAAUACCACAAAAGAGAGACUAGAGAGAGUCAUACAAGGAAUCUCUCAGUUUUAUUUGAAAAUCUGCAAAAACUCCAGAGCUAUAGUUAAUCGAAGAACAAGAGACAUGGCGCUUGACUAGACCGUUCUAUCUUUUAACUACUCAAGACAGAAGUGACGGUUACAAGUCCCAUGGUUAAAGGUAAAUGAGUAAGUUUUAAGUCUUAACAGUUUACUCUAACCAGAGAUGAGAUCUUGUUUAAACGCAUGUGUAUCUUUAAGUUAUGAAACCACUGUAGAAACUCUUGAGUUCAUCUUUGCUCAGGGACGAGCAAAGGUUAAGCUUGGGGGAGCUUGUUGACGGUCCUUAAUGCUCACAUUUAACCAUCAACUAAUCAUGGAAAAGGAUCUAAAUGCAACCAACACCUAGACUUAGGGUUUUAUCUGACAAAAUUCCACGAGUUUUGGUGUUUGUCUAUUUCUGCAGGGGGUUAUCAGGAAAUAUGAAAGAAAGGCCCACACGUCGGGUUUACAUAGAGAUAUUAACGUCCCGCGUAAUUUUCUACCAUCUAGAAGACUCCAGAAGCCACGGGAACGAACGGGAGGCCGAUCGGGCUCGGAGGCAGGGCGCCCGCCCAACUCUUCUGGGCGCCCGCACAGCUAAAGUGUCCAAUUCGAACCCGUUUCGCGGAUUAUGCUCCACCGACCUAAAGGAUCAAGGAAAACCGUGCGAUCAAUGUCGGUUUGAUCCGACGGCCCAGAUUCACUUGAAGGGACUAUAAAACCACCUGGCCCCUGGAGAGCAUACCUCUUCUACAGAAUCAAAGUUAGGGUUUCAAUUCUUCAUCCAAGUAGAGAGGAUCCCUCUAGUUCAUCUAGUUCUACCUCUAGUUCAUCUAGUUCUAGUUCUAGUUCUAGUUCAUCUAGUUCUAGUUCUAGUUAGUUCUAGUUGUAAUCUAGAAAAUAGGGAGAGAGAAGAGGAGAGCGGAGGAGGAGCCGGAUCUGUCGGAUCUUCCUCAACAUUAUACUUUUGCAGCAUCUGGUUCGUUCUUCAUCGUUCUCCAGGUUCUUCAAUUCAUAAUUCCUGAGUUCUUUAAUUACUUUUAUUUACAUUCAAGUUAUUUAUUGGAUUCCCGCUUGCAUCAAGUGCUCGAGUCUUUGUAACGCUAGAGUAGUAAUUACUAGAUUAGACGUGGUGUUUAGUCUUGCGAUUACGUGGAAUUGCACCCAAUCCUGCGGAUUGUUGUGGUAGCCUUAGGGUAGUGACAGCCCUAACGGUCGACGUAUUCCACCACGUUCGGAUCGGUGUUUGUAGGACCGUAGUCAAACCUUCCUAGCCCCCUUCUCAUCUCUUUCUGUGGUUAGUGCUCUGAUGUCCCGAUAUAGAUAAUCUUGAAGUAAUUCUUGAUUCUUAGAUCAACUAGAGAACUCUCAGGAAACUUCCUCUCUUCCCACCAAAAAUAUCCAUAUAGUUAUCCUUGGGCGAUCUUGGAUCUUAAUUAGUACACACACGUUCCCUGUGGAAAAUCGAUACUCUGGAAUACUCCCGGGUGAAGGCAACAUCGCUAUCCGUGCGCUUGCGGAUUUUUCUGUUUGCGUUUAAAAUACCCAACAGCGCCCAGGUCAACUGGGCGGGCGCCCAGUGCCUGGCCCCGUUCGGCCUCCGCUUCCUUUCCAUGGCUUCUGGAGUCUUCUAGAUGUAAGAUAAUUGUGCGGCACGUUGAUAUCUCUAUGUAGUCCUGACGUGUGGGCCUUUCUUCCGUAUUUCCUGAUAACCCCCUGCAGAAAUAGACAAACACCAAAACUCGUGGAAUUCUGUCAGAUAAAACCCUAAGUCUAGAUAUUGUUUUCUUUUGGAUCAUUUUCUUUGUUUCUUUGAUAAUUAAAUUUGAUACUUAUGGACUGUCAACAAACUCCCUCAAGCUUACCUCUUGCUCGUCCCUGAGCAAGGAUAAUCUCAGCGAUGGAUUGGAAGUUGUUGUAAUGCCUUUAAAAAUUGACGGUACACAUGCUUUUAAUUGAGGUCUCAUCUCUGAGUUAGAGUAAACUGUCAAGACUUAAAACUUAUUCAUUUUACCUUUCAACAUGGGACUUGUAACCGUCACUUCUGUCUUGAGUAGUUAAAAUAUAGAACAGUCUAGUCAAGUGCCAUGUCUCUUAUUCUUGAUCAGCUAUAACUCUAGAGAUUUUUGCAGAUUUUCAAAAAAAAACUCAGAGUUUCCUUGUAUGACUCUCUCAAAUCUCUCUUUUGUGGUAUUUCUGGAUCCUUACCAAGGCAGUUAUGGUAUAUGCCUUCUCUCAAUAUAUAUGGUAUUUGUGGUAUAAAGCAUAGUGACAUUGCCUUCUCUCUCAUCCUACUCUAAUAAGGCUUUAAUAUCUAGAGCUUAUAGGUGGGAGAUAAAGUAUACAUACUUACAAGACAUUUAUUGUAUAGUCAAACCAUGGAUCCAAAGAAACAAAUCAAUAAGUCAAAUCAAGAUGUGCAUGUGUGGCGAAUGAAUGUCGUAUGGUGAUGAUGGUGAUAACAAUGCUGAAAGUCUAAUUCUACUUUUGCUCUUUUGAGGGGAUACAUACCAUUCUUGCUUUUUUGAAAAUUUGUGAAGAGAAUGAGAUACUCUAUAUUUUUAUUUUUUCUUUUCUCUUAGGUGGGUAUCUUGUACCCCUAAUUCUACUGUCAGACACUUGUCCAUUUUUACCUCUCGUCUCACUUUUUCUUUUCUUUCGAGUUUGUAACACCCAAAAUUAGCUUUCCAAUUAAUAGGGUUUAAUUUGAGUUAUUUAAGUAUUUUGGGAGCAUUUAAUUUAGUAAAUGGAUAAUUUUGUUGAAACUAAAAUUUAUUAUAAGGAUAGAAACUUGUAUAUGCAUUCAUGCUGGGGCACAUUUUGUUUUGUGUUGACUCCUUUUGGUUUGAUUUUAGUUGUACUCGAAUUUCUAUUUGGAAAUGACUUUAAAAAAAAAAAAAAAAAAAGAAAAAGAAAACAAUGCUUCACCCUCUCUCGGUUUCGGCCUGGCGACCCUCAGCCUGGCGCGGCCCAUCUCCCACUCCCUCCCGCACUCGGCCCACUCUCUCCCCCCGGCCCAACGCGCGCGCCUCCUUCUCCCCUUCGGCUGACGACCGGGCCCCGCCCCGCUUCUCUCACUGGCAGCGCGGGCCCGCAUGGCAGCGGGCGCCUUCUCCUCCUUCCUUCUUCACGAGACGGAGCCGAACCAGACUCGACCGGCGCCAACCAAAAUCCCGAUUCUCCCGGGAUUUGGCAUGUUGAGAUCAAACCGAGCCCUAUAAAGCUCCUAGUGAUGCCCCGCGUCUCGGUUUUCCAUCUACGCCGCAAGAACUCUGACCUAGGACCCGCUGUCGCGCUAAAACGAAUCUCACCGAGUUUGGGAGCACCCCCUGUCGCCGCGAGCCUUCCCUGUUCUCCCCUGGUGCGAGCAAGGCGUCUAGGUGAGUUCCUGGUGAGUUUCUCCACCGCCUGGUGGUUUCGUUUUCUUUUUCGUGCUCUGAAUCGAAGAAACGGCGAGCUCCAGGGACCAUGCCCAUGGCGCCGCCGUGUCGGGUGCCCAUCCGGCCGGCCGGCCGCCGCUGGCCCCCUGGUGGGAUUUCCACCGUUGGAUCCAAGAUCCACGGCCACAAACAGAAGAUACCCCUUCGGGGUGAAAUUUGUUAAAGAGCCCCUGGAAAAGUUGAGAUUAAACCCGCAGUCCAAAGCGCCUCCUCAGUUUUACGCCUUUCGUUUUCAAAAACGUAUUCUCUGCGGGCUGAGUAAAUUACGCUUUCCAGAAAUUACAGAAAUGCCACUGAUUUUAUAAUGCUCAUAAAAUAUUCAUUUUAACUCCGUUUUUGCCCAUUCAAAUUGCGUUAGGUUCGUAAUCACAUGCUCUACAUGUUAGAAACAUUAGUUUACUGUUUUUGAAACUUUUAAUUCUGCAGUAGCAUUUAAUUAAUUAUUUCUCUAUAGGAAAUCUUAGAAAAUUCAUAUCUUCCGCGUUUUAAUUCCGAUUUUCGUGAACUUUACGUUUAUGUGAUCGUAGCGCUGCGUAGAAUAUUUUGGUGAACCUUUAUAUUUAUUUUACCACUGUUUGGUGUAUUGUUCUAAUUAUAUCUUGUUUGCUUCGUGUAUGAUUUUCUACAUUGGAUUGCGUGUUGUUGAUUGAUGAUUGGGAUUAGACGGUGAGCCGUACGUUGGUGCUCAAGAUCAAGUAUUUGAAGACCAGCAGGCUCAGGAGAGCUUUGAUCAAGGCAAGUAUAACCUGGGAUUAUCCUUGUUACCUAUUCACUUAUAACUACACAUAUAUGUCAUAUGCAUGCUAUCACCUUGUCGACCUUAGCAAAAUCAUAGAUGAUUGUUACCUGGAUUCCUUGCUACCUACUUGAUAUGCAUUUGGAGUAGAUGUGCUAGUGCUUGAUAUAAUCCAUGAUCUUGUAAGAUGAUUAAUAGCUAUGCAAUGAACAUAAAAGAAUGACAAAUAACGACAUGAGAUCUUGUCUGUACGUGAUCACCCGGGAUAACAGUGCAACCAUGAGGGCUAUUAUGGCUCUGGCUUUAGCUCAGUAUGAAGACCUUUUCUAGCUUGUUAGCGGUUACCCGAAAGGGCGGAGGGGCUGAACCGACACGGGUAUAGUGCGAGCCCCUGUCCCUAUGUGUAUAGGCUGCGCGUCAUUGUGCCAUUCGGAAGGGGGGUAUCUAUAUCUGCUCGCAAAGGAAACCUUGCGGCCCUAACAUGUUAGACGAACUUUUGAAAGGCUUCAUAGUGAUCCCUGCCGACCUCCCUAGGAAGGGGGUUAAGAGAUUAGCUACCUCGGGCGAAAGGGUAAAUCAUGACUCAUGGGUAAAGAUGUACAAACUCUGCAGAGUGUAAAACUGGUAUACUAGCCGAGCUCACGGUCAGGAGCGGCCUUGGGGACAUCUACAUUAAGAUGAUGAACUUGUUAUGUUAUUAUGUUCAUUUGAUUAUUGUUUAUGCUAUGAGAUUAAUUAUGCUUACACUUGAUCAUGGGAUUAAUGAAUGAUUUAUGCUUCCUUGACAAUUGCUAUUUAAUUAUGAACAUGCUAUCCACUAUUAAAAGCUAAAUGCAGUUAAACCAGUGUCAGCUGUUUGAGCCUCAUGAACCCCUGGUUAUACUUGUUGAGUACGAUAUGUGCUCACUCUUGCAAUUUCCCAACACCUCAGGAUGUGAUAAUGAAGAUGACUGGAAUGAGGAUUAUCGGUAUGAGUACUAGGUUUGGAGUCAACCAGUCAACAGUGUCCCUGUGUGGAGCUCCCGUUGAGAGCGUGGUUUACUUUAUGUUAUCAUUUUUGUAUGAGACUAUGUGAUAUUUUAUAUUCCGCUAUGUAAUAAACACUGCGAUGGUACAUUUUGAGAUUUGUCUACUUAUGUGUGCGACUGUUUCUGGGGCACAUAUGAGUCUUUUAUGCAUCCUAUUUUGCUCUUAAAAUAUGGGUGUGACAAAUUGGUAUCAGAGCUUUGUUGACUGUAGGACGCAAACCUAGUUAGCAAAUGGUCGAAAACUUAGGUCCUUAUUUUACUUACUUCAUGCUUCCCACUAUGGCCUUGUUAUUCGCUAAAAGUUUUGUGCUUCUCUAUCUUGCUCUAUUGUGAAAUUAUUACAUCCAUCUGAUCUAUGUCUAAAAACUUUUUGUAGAUGCCGCCCCGCACCCGUAGUGCUGCACGCAUGGCUGCUGAGGAGUACCGUGCCAUGUUCAACCUAGGAGGACAGCAUGUGGAUGGAGUUCCUGAGCUGGAAGAUGAGGAAUCAAGGGUGGAAGCUCAGGAGGAAGUGCCUGCAGAUGAGGAGAUGCAAGAUCCACCUCCACCACAGUCUGCUAAUGCAAGGAUGGGAUGGACUACUGAGCUGUGGAUUCCAGAGGCAGAUCCCAAGGAUUUCUUCCAUGAGAACUUGGUGCUGACAUUGAAACACCAUUACCCAGAUUUGCAAGCCACACUGGAGUAUAACUGCACUGAGCACAAACACCCGCUGAGGAGAUCACUUUGGGUUGCGGAGCUGAUAGUCAAGACACUGGAUGCCAACAAGGGGAUUCGAAAGGUGGGAUCAAAACACAUCGCUCGAAUCAGCCGGGACACGAUGAAAGAGAGUAUGGCAGAUGCAGCUUACCAGGCCUUGGUCUUCUACCGUGGUAGACGCUUUGAGGAUGUUCAGUAUAAUGCCACAUACCACUAUCUUCGCUUUGUACCAGAGAAGAUGACUUGGGCCAUAGAAGUUGCAGAUGCUUCACAACCAAAGCUUCAAGCACAAGUGGAGUUGACCUAUGAGCUGACACUCAAGGUGAUAGAGUUGGAGAAUGAACUACACCGUGAGAGGAAGCUGCUGGAGAAAGAGCAAAGGGAAGCAGAUGACCUUCGAGCGGAGUUAGGCCGUCCCAAACUUCAUAAGAGGCUGCAUGUUGAACCCAUCUUGAAGGAUGCUGCACCCGAAGAGUAGAAAAGAACCCAUAUGUAAUAGUAACGUUAGUAGUUGCGAGUUAUUUCGAGUCUUUUGCUAGUGUGGUGUGAACUUGGUGUGCUUGCUGAAUUGUUAUUAUGAAUAUGUGUGAUUUGGAUUUUUGUAAUGAGUGCUGGGAAAUUGUGGGCAUGUCCACAAGUUCCCUAAUUAAGAACCUUAAGUAAGAACAUGAAUAAAUAGUAGUUUGGGGUCAUAUCCUGUUUCUGUCUUUUGCUGUUUUCUGGAGCAGUCUGCAAUGAUUCUGGAAUAAAUCAAAUUCUGUUCGUGCAAUGUUCAUCAAAUUUUUCUGGGAAUAAGUAGACUUUCAUAUCUUUCCAAUGCCACAAGAAUGAUCAUAUUAUCUAUUAUGUGCGGUGAGUUAUGACUGUUUAAAGUUGAGUUUUCUGCGCAGUCUGGAAUUCUGGAACAGUUUCGGUUGUACACAGUUUUUGAUUAAACUAACGUUGGAAUCUGGUAAUAUGAUAUAAAUGAAAGUUGUAGACAAUUUCUUUAUCUUUCCAACGGUGUACAGCAUGUGUCCUUUUGAAUUCUGGAACUCGAGAUACUACUGAUUUUCUGAUCUGCUGAUGUUGGAUGUUACCCAGAAAAUUUCAGAUUCGGUUAACUCUUGUAAUUGUCAUGUUGGGCAUUACUAAGAUGUGUUUAUAUACCUUGGAAUGCAGAUGGCAGCAAGAGGAAGAGGCAGAGGCAGAGGCCGUGGCAAUGGCAAUGACAAUGGCAAUGGUGGCAAUGCUCCAAUCACCGUGGAGGAACUCAUGCAAACCCAAAAUCAGAUGAUGCACGUUUUCAUGCAGCACCUGCAGCAACAACCUCCACCGACACCACCACCUAUUCAUGUGAGGGACAAGCGUGGAGAGUUUAUGAAGGGAAGACCUCCGGUAUUUACACACUCAGCUGAUCCCAUGGAGGCAGAUGAUUGGUUACGUGCUGUGGAGAGGCAACUGAACAUAGCACAGUGCAAUGACUUGGAGAAGGUGUUGUAUGCUUCUGGACAGCUUCAAGGUGCAGCUCAGACAUGGUGGGAGUCGUAUCAAGCUGCUCGUCCCAACACUGCUCCUCCUGUCACAUGGCUGGAAUUCUGUAGAGACUUCAGAGCUCGACAUAUAAAUGAAGGAGUGAUGGAGCUCAAACAAGAAGAAUUCAGAUCACUCAGGAUGGGCUCCAUGACUGUGGCAGAAUAUCAUGACACAUUUGAACAGUUGGCUCGCUAUGCUCCGAACGAUGUCAGGGAAGAUGCUGAUAAGCAGCGUUUAUUCAUGAAGGGCUUGUACUAUGAACUCAGGUUGCAGUUGGCAGGAAACACUUAUCCUACCUUCCAAGCUCUUGUGAACCGUGCCAUUGUGCUUGAUAAUAUGCGGAAGAGUCAGGAUAAGAAGAGAAGGAUGCUGGCACAAGGAUCUGGGAGCAACAACCGUCAGCGUUUCAGCUCUCAGCAAGGCCAUCAGCAGAGGUUCCAGGGACCAGUUAGUCAGUGGAACCGUAACCAGCAACCCCAGCGUUUCCAGAAUCAGUCACCGAGUGGGAACCAACGUCCUCCAUUCCAACAACGUAACCAUAAUCAGCAGCAGCAGGGUCAGCAGACACCUCGCUCAGGGAACUCAAAUGCCAACUCUACAAAAAGGAGUGCUUCUAACAAUCCUACCAGGUGUUUCCGUUGUGGGAAGGAAGGGCAUAUGUCCUAUGAUUGCCCAGAGAAGUUUAAUCCGCAGUACAACGAUCGUAGAUCCACUCCUAAUUCAGCAAAGGUGAACAACGUGGCAGCAGAAACUGUUCAGGAAGGACCAGAAAUCAUGAUGGGUACGUUCAGCAUCAACUCUAUCCCUGCUACAGUUUUAUUUGAUUCUGGAGCUUCACAUACUUUCAUAUCGCAAGCAUUUGUUAGAGUUCAUAGCCUUCCUCUUGUUGCAAUGAACACCCCUAUGUUAGUUAAUUCACCGGGUGGGACUAUACCAGUUUCUUUACGUUGCCCCUCAGCAAGUCUUUCUUUAAGGGGGGUAGAUUUUCCUAUCAGUCCCAUGGUUAUGAGAACUUCAGGCAUAGAUGUGAUCUUGGGUUUGGAUUGGAUGAAGCAACAUGCAACAAAUAUUAACUGCAAAGAGAGAGUAGUGGUUCUGACAACACCAAAGGGAGAAAGAAUCAGUGUUGAUGUAACAAUGCAAGCACCACUCACAGCUAAAGUGAACCAACUGACUGAUGAUGUUGAUCCUCAGAAUUUGGUAGUGGAUGAGUUUCCGGAUGUCUUUCCAGAUGAAUUGCCAGGUAUGCCACCUGACCGAGACAUUGAAUUUAUUAUUGAAUUACUACCUGGUACUGCACCCAUAGCUAAAAGACCAUAUAGGAUGGGGGUUAAGGAACUAGAAGAACUUAAGAAACAAAUUAAGGAAUUGCAAGAUAAAGGGUUCAUUCGUCCUAGCUCAUCACCAUGGGGUGCACCAGUUAUCUUUGUUGAUAAGAAGGAUGGUAGUCAGAGGAUGUGUGUUGAUUAUCGGUCACUUAAUGAGGUCACUAUCAAGAAUAAAUAUCCAUUGCCUAGGAUUGAUGACUUAUUUGAUCAGCUAAGAGGUGCUUGUGUGUUCUCUAAGAUUGAUUUGCGUUCUGGUUAUCAUCAACUGAAGAUUCGGAAUUCAGAUAUACCAAAGACAGCUUUCACAACAAGGUAUGGGUUAUAUGAGUAUACAGUUAUGUCUUUUGGUUUGACCAAUGCACCAGCUUACUUUAUGUACAUGAUGAAUAAAGUAUUCAUGGAGUAUCUUGAUAAGUUUGUGGUGGUCUUUAUUGAUGAUAUUCUGGUGUUCUCUAAAACCAAGGAAGAACAUGCUGAACAUCUGAGAUUGGUCUUACAAAAACUUAGAGAACAUAAGUUGUAUGCUAAGCGUAGUAAAUGUGAGUUUUGGUUGGAGGAAGUAUCUUUUCUUGGUCAUGUUGUCUCUAAUGGUGGUAUUGCAGUGGAUCCUAGUAAGGUGAAAGAUGUGUUGAAUUGGAAACCACCUACAGAUGUAAGUGAAAUUCGCAGUUUUCUUGGUUUAGCUGGUUACUAUCGUAGGUUCAUUGAAGGGUUCUCAAAACUUGCAAAGCCUAUGACUGCUCUAUUAGAGAAGAAUGCUAAGUUUGUGUGGUCUGAUAAGUGUCAAGCUAGUUUUGAGGAGUUCAAGAAGAGAUUGACCACUGCACCUGUGUUGGUAUUGCCGGAUCUGAGUAAGAGUUUCUCUAUCUAUUGUGAUGCUUCUCGUCUGGGUUUGGGUUGUGUUCUUAUGCAAGAAGGUAGAGUUGUUGCUUAUGCGUCUAGACAAUUGAGGAAACAUGAAUUGAAUUAUCCUACUCAUGAUUUGGAGUUAGCAGCUGUGGUUCAUGCGUUGAAGAUUUGGAGACACUAUUUGAUUGGGCAUAAGAGUGACAUAUACACUGAUCAUAAGAGUUUGAAGUAUAUCUUCACCCAGACAGAUCUGAAUUUGAGGCAACGAAGAUGGUUGGAACUGAUAAAGGAUUAUGAUUUGGAAGUACAUUAUCAUCCUGGGAAGGCGAACGUCGUAGCUGAUGCACUUAGCAGAAAGAAAUAUGCUAAUGAGCUUCAGGCGACCCCUGAAUCUGAGGAGUUGUGUGCUGAAUUUGCAUAUUUAAACUUGGGAAUGGUAGUAAAUGCUACGGAGAUUGAGAUUACUCCUACCCUAGAGGAAGAGAUAUUGAAAGGACAAUUGGAAGAUGAGAAACUAAAGGAGAUAGCACAGAAUGUGGCAUUAGGCAAAGCACCAGGAUUCAGAAUAGAUGACAAUGGUGUAUUGUGGUUUGGAAAAAGGAUAUGUGUUCCGGAAGUGAAGGCUAUUCGUGAUACGAUUCUGAGAGAGGCUCAUGAGUCAGCAUAUUCCAUUCACCCUGGGAGCACUAAGAUGUAUCUAGAUCUAAGACAGAAGUACUGGUGGUAUGGUUUAAAGAGAGAUGUAGCUGAGUAUGUUGCUGUGUGUGAUACUUGUCAGCGAGUGAAAGCUGAACAUCAGAGGCCAGCUGGACUGUUGCAACCAAUGAAGAUUCCGGAAUGGAAGUGGGAAGAAGUGGGUAUGGAUUUCAUAGUGGGUUUACCACGAACACAGAGAGGGUAUGACUCAAUAUGGGUGAUAGUAGAUCGUUUGACUAAAGUUGCUCACUUCAUACCUGUUAAAACUAAGUACACUGGAGAACGCCUAGCUGAGCUGUAUAUGGAGAGAAUUGUUUGUUUGCAUGGGGUACCUAAGAAGAUUGUGUCAGAUAGGGGUACUCAAUUCACAUCUCACUUUUGGAAAGCGGUGCAUGAUUCAUUGGGAACUAAGUUGAAUUUCAGCACAGCAUAUCAUCCACAGACAGAUGGACAGACUGAGAGGAUCAACCAGAUAUUGGAGGAUAUGUUGAGAGCUUGUGCUUUGCAGUAUGGGGCUAGUUGGGACAAGAGUUUGCCAUAUGCAGAAUUCUCCUACAACAACAGCUAUCAGCAAAGUCUUAAGAUGGCACCGUUCGAGGCCCUAUAUGGUCGGAAGUGCAGGACACCUUUGUUUUGGAAUCAGACGGGGGAGACUCAGGUGUUUGGGACAGAUGUGCUUAGACAUGCAGAACAACAAGUGCGGACUAUUCGGGAUAACUUGAGAGUUGCUCAAUCUCGUCAGAAAAGCUAUGCAGAUACGCGUAGGAGAGAGCUGGCUUUUGAAGUGGGUGAUUAUGUCUAUUUGAAAGUGUCACCUAUGCGGAGUGUGAAGAGGUUUAAUAUGAAGGGAAAGCUGGCUCCAAGGUAUGUUGGUCCGUUUAAAGUUUUAGAAAGGCGUGGAGAAGUAGCCUAUCGGUUAGAAUUGCCGGAAAGUUUAUCUGGUGUGCACGAUGUGUUCCAUGUGUCACAACUCAAGAAGUGUUUGCGUGUACCUGAGGAGCAAUUACCAUUGGAAGAACUUUCUGUUAAAGGUGAUCUCACUUAUGAGGAGCAUCCGGUCAAAAUAUUGGAGACAGCUGAGAGAGUCACCAGAAGUCGGGUCAUCAGAAUGUGCAAAGUACAGUGGAAUCGGCAUUCGGAAGCAGAGGCAACUUGGGAAAGGGAGGAUGACCUGAGGAAAUCAUACUCAUACUUGUUUGAGUAAGCACCUGUUUCAUCUCGAGGACGAGAUUCUUUUAAGGGGGGUAGAGUUUGUAACACCCAAAAUUAGCUUUCCAAUUAAUAGGGUUUAAUUUGAGUUAUUUAAGUAUUUUGGGAGCAUUUAAUUUAGUAAAUGGAUAAUUUUGUUGAAACUAAAAUUUAUUAUAAGGAUAGAAACUUGUAUAUGCAUUCAUGCUGGGGCACAUUUUGUUUUGUGUUGACUCCUUUUGGUUUGAUUUUAGUUGUACUCGAAUUUCUAUUUGGAAAUGACUUUAAAAAAAAAAAAAAAAAAAGAAAAAGAAAACAAUGCUUCACCCUCUCUCGGUUUCGGCCUGGCGACCCUCAGCCUGGCGCGGCCCAUCUCCCACUCCCUCCCGCACUCGGCCCACUCUCUCCCCCCGGCCCAACGCGCGCGCCUCCUUCUCCCCUUCGGCUGACGACCGGGCCCCGCCCCGCUUCUCUCACUGGCAGCGCGGGCCCGCAUGGCAGCGGGCGCCUUCUCCUCCUUCCUUCUUCACGAGACGGAGCCGAACCAGACUCGACCGGCGCCAACCAAAAUCCCGAUUCUCCCGGGAUUUGGCAUGUUGAGAUCAAACCGAGCCCUAUAAAGCUCCUAGUGAUGCCCCGCGUCUCGGUUUUCCAUCUACGCCGCAAGAACUCUGACCUAGGACCCGCUGUCGCGCUAAAACGAAUCUCACCGAGUUUGGGAGCACCCCCUGUCGCCGCGAGCCUUCCCUGUUCUCCCCUGGUGCGAGCAAGGCGUCUAGGUGAGUUCCUGGUGAGUUUCUCCACCGCCUGGUGGUUUCGUUUUCUUUUUCGUGCUCUGAAUCGAAGAAACGGCGAGCUCCAGGGACCAUGCCCAUGGCGCCGCCGUGUCGGGUGCCCAUCCGGCCGGCCGGCCGCCGCUGGCCCCCUGGUGGGAUUUCCACCGUUGGAUCCAAGAUCCACGGCCACAAACAGAAGAUACCCCUUCGGGGUGAAAUUUGUUAAAGAGCCCCUGGAAAAGUUGAGAUUAAACCCGCAGUCCAAAGCGCCUCCUCAGUUUUACGCCUUUCGUUUUCAAAAACGUAUUCUCUGCGGGCUGAGUAAAUUACGCUUUCCAGAAAUUACAGAAAUGCCACUGAUUUUAUAAUGCUCAUAAAAUAUUCAUUUUAACUCCGUUUUUGCCCAUUCAAAUUGCGUUAGGUUCGUAAUCACAUGCUCUACAUGUUAGAAACAUUAGUUUACUGUUUUUGAAACUUUUAAUUCUGCAGUAGCAUUUAAUUAAUUAUUUCUCUAUAGGAAAUCUUAGAAAAUUCAUAUCUUCCGCGUUUUAAUUCCGAUUUUCGUGAACUUUACGUUUAUGUGAUCGUAGCGCUGCGUAGAAUAUUUUGGUGAACCUUUAUAUUUAUUUUACCACUGUUUGGUGUAUUGUUCUAAUUAUAUCUUGUUUGCUUCGUGUAUGAUUUUCUACAUUGGAUUGCGUGUUGUUGAUUGAUGAUUGGGAUUAGACGGUGAGCCGUACGUUGGUGCUCAAGAUCAAGUAUUUGAAGACCAGCAGGCUCAGGAGAGCUUUGAUCAAGGCAAGUAUAACCUGGGAUUAUCCUUGUUACCUAUUCACUUAUAACUACACAUAUAUGUCAUAUGCAUGCUAUCACCUUGUCGACCUUAGCAAAAUCAUAGAUGAUUGUUACCUGGAUUCCUUGCUACCUACUUGAUAUGCAUUUGGAGUAGAUGUGCUAGUGCUUGAUAUAAUCCAUGAUCUUGUAAGAUGAUUAAUAGCUAUGCAAUGAACAUAAAAGAAUGACAAAUAACGACAUGAGAUCUUGUCUGUACGUGAUCACCCGGGAUAACAGUGCAACCAUGAGGGCUAUUAUGGCUCUGGCUUUAGCUCAGUAUGAAGACCUUUUCUAGCUUGUUAGCGGUUACCCGAAAGGGCGGAGGGGCUGAACCGACACGGGUAUAGUGCGAGCCCCUGUCCCUAUGUGUAUAGGCUGCGCGUCAUUGUGCCAUUCGGAAGGGGGGUAUCUAUAUCUGCUCGCAAAGGAAACCUUGCGGCCCUAACAUGUUAGACGAACUUUUGAAAGGCUUCAUAGUGAUCCCUGCCGACCUCCCUAGGAAGGGGGUUAAGAGAUUAGCUACCUCGGGCGAAAGGGUAAAUCAUGACUCAUGGGUAAAGAUGUACAAACUCUGCAGAGUGUAAAACUGGUAUACUAGCCGAGCUCACGGUCAGGAGCGGCCUUGGGGACAUCUACAUUAAGAUGAUGAACUUGUUAUGUUAUUAUGUUCAUUUGAUUAUUGUUUAUGCUAUGAGAUUAAUUAUGCUUACACUUGAUCAUGGGAUUAAUGAAUGAUUUAUGCUUCCUUGACAAUUGCUAUUUAAUUAUGAACAUGCUAUCCACUAUUAAAAGCUAAAUGCAGUUAAACCAGUGUCAGCUGUUUGAGCCUCAUGAACCCCUGGUUAUACUUGUUGAGUACGAUAUGUGCUCACUCUUGCAAUUUCCCAACACCUCAGGAUGUGAUAAUGAAGAUGACUGGAAUGAGGAUUAUCGGUAUGAGUACUAGGUUUGGAGUCAACCAGUCAACAGUGUCCCUGUGUGGAGCUCCCGUUGAGAGCGUGGUUUACUUUAUGUUAUCAUUUUUGUAUGAGACUAUGUGAUAUUUUAUAUUCCGCUAUGUAAUAAACACUGCGAUGGUACAUUUUGAGAUUUGUCUACUUAUGUGUGCGACUGUUUCUGGGGCACAUAUGAGUCUUUUAUGCAUCCUAUUUUGCUCUUAAAAUAUGGGUGUGACAGAGGUUCCGGGCACUUGCCCCUUUUUAUUUCCUUGUUUCUCUCUUUUUUUUAGGGCACUCAUCUCUUGAGAUAAUAUAGCAAGUGGUAGUAACAAGAUAACUUGAGCAUUUAUUUCACAAAGGAAAAACAAAAAUGUUUUUGGCCAUUCUCUCCCGGAUUAGGAGUAGAAUGUUUUUGGGUGGUUCUGGAGGUGGAAAUGAGUGGAUAUAUGUGGAUGGUACUUCCGGAGUAGAAGCAGCAUGUGUGACUGAACGUGCAAGUGAAUCUUGAUUUUAACCACAUGACAAGCUCCUAAGGGUCUACACAGCUUGACCACACUCAAUGCUCAUAAGCAGUAAAAAGUAAAUGUGUGGCUCAAAGUUUAGCAAGCAUGUAUAUAUGGCUGUGGUAGGAAUUUAAACUCUCAUCAUACAGGAACUCAUCAUGCAAUAUUUUAAAGAUUUUCAAAGAUAAAAUUCUCCAGAAUUCUAGCAUCUCUAGGAACAGAUGAACAACAGCUCAAUCUUCUCAUAUCAUAUCCGUUAACAACUUAGACUUUAGAUCAAGUUUUCUUCCCACAAGUUUAGGUUUAGAGCAAGCUUUAAAUUAUAACAAUUAUGCCUAAACUUGAGAGAACUUCAAAUUUGAAAAAUUAAGCAGAGCAACUAUUCAUCAUAUCCAUGCUAGAGUUUUAUUAUUAAGAUUCAGAUUAGCAUAGCCACUUUUUUAUUUAUUAAACGUACUAAGCAAAAGACAUAUAUAUAUAUAUAAGCACAAAAUCUUUAUUUGGUUUUCCAUAAUUAUGUAUAUUUAUAUUUUUAAUAUAAUAUAAGUAUAAAGAUAGAUAGAUAGAAAUACUUAUCGGGAUAAAUAGGGGUGCUUUCCCCCAAGCUGAAUUUUGACGUAAUUUCCCUUGAUGUAGCUAGCAGAUGGCAGAGGUGUAUUUGAAAGUCGGCAGCAUUCUGACAGCGAUUAGAAUGUCCUCCGUCUGCUAGUCUUCUUGAUUCUUAAAUUCUCUGGAGCUCAAAUAAACAACAAAGCUUUGUGGAACUAAUUAAGUGUUAGCAUAAACAUCUAGCCUUUAUCAUGUUGAAACUUCUUAAUAAAUAUUACUCCCUAUUUUUUAUAUUUUUCAUUUUAUAGAGUAGAAAAGAAAUAUUUAUUUUAUUUUUAUGCCACCACAGUGAAUGUACUUAUGGGUUUUAUGCCACUCGUAUACUCACAUGGGGCUUACUGUUUUUUAACAUUUUUUUAUUUUCUUUUUAGGAUAGUAUGAACAUGAUUAACUAAGUAAACUGUUUAAAUAAUUGAAAGGGAAAAGAUAACUACCAAGUUUACCUCUUGGCAAGGCGUUCGGUGUUUUUAAGUCCUCCGAACGGGACUCUCCAUUUUCUCAAUUGUUCUGGGAUUCGUUAGGUGGCGUAGUCGGUACUUCCGGCGGCGCCACCUCUUCAUGUAUAGUUAUCUUCUCUCUCCACACCUGACUUGGUGCUACGGUCUCCUUUGGAUAAUUCUGUUUAAACUGUAUGUCUUCUGACCUUGUCACUUCGCCUUCAUAGUCUGCCCAUCCAUCCUUGAUGAUCUGCCUCCUCUGGUUGCGGUUGCGUCGUUUUCUGACCUGCUUAGAUUCUUCAAUGAUAUAGUUAGGGUCAGUAAAAUAGCGGCAUACCUUCUCUGAGGGGAAGUGCAUAUGGACUUCUCCAGUACCAAUGUAGAUGAUUGCUUUAACGGUGCUAAGGAACGGUCUUCCAAGGAUGAUGGGUGGAUCGUAUUCGUCUUCUCCCAUGUCAAUAACCUAAAAGUCUAUGUAGACAAAAUGAUCGUCUAUUUUGACAGGGACAUCAGUUACUGUUCGUUUAACCUCUCGAAAUGUCUGAUCUGCCAUCUGGAGCUGAAUGUAUGUUGGUUUGAAGGGCAUGGUUACGAACAAGAGCCGAUAGGUGACUGCAGCCAUUAUGUUGACGCCCGAUCCAGUGUCGCAAGUCGUCUUGUAGAAGUUAUAUCCAUUUAUGGAGCAAUAGAUGCUUGGCAUUCCAGGGUCAUCCUUCUUAGUCAAAAAUGGUGACUUAAGUUGAUGCUCUUGGCCUCCAUGAACUGCAGUGACCAUCUUAGCUGACUCGGUCCACACUUGCUUGUUCCUCCUCCUGUUGGUCCUCUUCCUUGGUUCACGUCUGGAUUGAUCUGGGAUUUGUAUAGUCUUGUUCUUGAAGGAAAAUGCCUCCUUCUUCCCUUUGAUGUAGAAACUGAUCUUGGCAGCACUAGCGUAGAUGACAGCACCCGAGGUGUUCAAGAAUGGCCUCCCUAAGAUGAUGGGUGCCCUCUCAUCAUUACCGGUCUCUAUCACCACGAAGUCUGCUGGGGCAUAUAAGGUACCAACUCGGACACAAAGGUUCUUCAAUAUUCCUUUUGGAAAACUUAAUGCCUGAUCUGCAAACUGCAAACACAUGGUUGUUUCUAAUAAAGGAUAUGUACAGAAUUUUUCAUAGAGUACCCUAGGUAUAAUGUUGACGCUAGAGCCAAAGUCACAUAGUGCUUCUGGGACGUCCACCGUACCGAUGGAGAUCGGGAUGACGGGGCGUCCAGGAUCGCCUCUCUUGACCGGCAGAAGGUUAGUAGUAACUUCAAUGAUGGGGUUACUCCAAUUACCUGCAUCAAACAUGUCUACAAGAUUUGCAGAUUCUAAUCCUUCCGGUUGUGAUAGUAUACCGGGGUUAGUAGUAGGAACAACAGCACCUAUUUGAUUUAAUUCAGAUUCUAUCAUUUAAUUAAAGCUAAUUUGAUUCUUGAUGGCAGUAGAGAAAUUAUCCAUUCUAUUAUUUAUAUUUUCUAGCAUUUUAUCAUUUGAUGCCAAUUUCUUUGAUAGGUUAUCCAUUAGCUUUCCUUGAUUAGACACUAACUCUCUCAGAGGUGGAAAAUUAUUAUUAUUAUGAUUAUUGUAAGAAUUGUUACCUUGAUAAUUACUUGAGUAGUUAGGCCUCUGUUGAUUCCAACCUUGAUUUUGUUGAGGACGGUUGUAGUAGUAGUUGUUGUUAUUGUUGAUAUAGUUCACAUCCUCAAGCAUCUCAGGAUAGUGAUUGCCUGAGUGUCCAGUGUCUCCACACUCCUCGCAAGUCAUGUGAGAGUCGUAGAUGUGCACAACUUCUUUCUUAUCUCCAGCUCUAUCAUCGAGCUUUUUCUUGAGCAGGUCUAGCUUUGCAGACAGCAUGUCUACCUCCUUGAGCUGAUACAUACCUCUACCUCUCUUGCGUGUCUGGGUCCUCUCUUCAUUUCAGCCUUGGUUGGACGCCAUCUUCUCCACAAGAGCUGUGGCUUCUGAUAUGGUAAGUGAUAGGAAUGCUCCUCCAGCUGCAUCAUCCAUGGUUUCUCGAGCACUGUUGCCGAGCCCAUGAUAAAAUGUCUGCAUUAGUAGCCAACUCUCCAUUCCAUAAUGGGGACAUUCUAGGAUGUAGUCUUGGAAGCGCUCCCAUGCUUCUGGAACGGAUUCUUCAUGUUGUUGUUAAAAACUUGUAAUCUUCCCACGGAGAGCAUUGGUCUUGCCCAUGGGAAAGAACUUAGCCAGAAAGUUCGUUGAGCAGAGUGCCCACGUAGUAUUCUUCUCCUUUGUAGCGUAGAACCACUGCUUCGCUCUUCCUAACAGUGAGAAUGGGAAGAGGCGAAGUAGUAUAGCAUCUCUGGAAACGCCUGAUAUGGUAAAUGUGUUGCAAAUGUUGGAGAUGAGCACUAGCAUCUUCGUGUGCCUUCCCACAGAACUGGUUGGAUUGCACCAUGUUGAUAAGUCCAGGCUUGAGCUCAAAGUUGCCGUCGAUCUCUGCAGCAGGUCCAGUGCGGAUGUUGUCCGUAGUGGGAGCUGAGAACUCGCGGAUCGAUUUGUUCACCAUGGCUUCGAACUCUGAAGACAAGUUCCGGUGAUCUUCUUGAUUGGAUGAAGCUUCUUGCUGAAGUGUUGAUGAUCUCUUCUUGAGCUUGGCUCUUGUUUUUCUGAAUAAUGCUUCGGGAUUGUCAACAAAAUUUCCUAGAAGAUGUCUUCUAUUCAUACAUUAUCCUGCAUAAGAUAAAACAGAAAAAUACUGGGGUAAAACUGUAUGAGAGAAUUGAUAAGCUCAAUCAUAUUAGUGAUGCGAAUGAUAACUCCAAAUCCUAUAUUUAUUCCUGAUUAGUAAUCAACCUUCUCCGGCAAUGGCGCCAAAAAUGCUUGUUGGGUAUUCCUAACAUCAUUACCAAAAGUAGACUUAGUUUUCUAAUUCUGAUAACGGUGCCAAAAAUGCCAAAACUAUCUCUCAUACCACUUAAGCCAAGUUGUCAUCCCCAGCAUGACAUGAGAGACGCGGUAUUGAAAUAUGCAAUUGCUCAUCUAAAUAAAUAAUGAAUGGGAUCUGCAAGCGCACAGAUUAAUACCGAUGUAGCAUUUUAACCGGGAAGUAUUCCAGGUAUCGUUAUUUAUAUUUUUACCAUAGGGAAGGGAUUAGUAACCAUCAAUGUUGAUUAUAGAAUGGAAUAUGAGAUUGAGUAUCUAUCAUUGCAUGUAUAAUUGAGAACAUUUAUCUAACUCUUUCAUACAGGGAUAAGUACCACAUAAAAGAUAUAUGAAAUAAUGAAUAGUGACAAAGAUAAUUAAUCUGAUCAGCAUAACUUAGCCACAUAAUAAAUAUGAUAAGCACCUCAAUUAGAUACUCUAGAAAGUCAUUAGCAUGGAAUUAGAACGAACUACAAGAAUAUUUCCUAAGUUAUUCUCAACUAUAUAGUCUAGCAUUAUCAUAGUUAGUGCAAGCAUACUUAGCAAUCAUUGCAAGACAAGACUGCGCCCAUGCAUAGUGAUAUUAGCAAGGUAAAUGAGAAUCAUAGCAAUCACUCCCCUGUAAUAAUGUUGCUCUGCCAGCCCAAUACACGAGAGGGGGACUAUAUAGGAAUCAAUGAAGCUGUCGCUAUCACGAACUACCCCACGAUCUAGCAUAUUGGGUACAAUCGUAGAUAUAUACGGUAUAAGCACCACGCCUACACAAUAUCUAUCAUUUACCCAUGGAUCCGAUGGAUAAACGCUAUACGAUCCUAAGCAUGUAUAUAGAUCCAAUCUAACUAAGCCAAGUAUAUAACUAUGAUAAACUAAGAACAAUAUAAUCUUGAAUAUAAACAAGAAGAGCAAAGUCAUAAGCAAUAUAUGGAAGUAGAACAAAGUCAUAUCCAUAAUAUUGAAGAACAAAGAUAAUUAGAAAAACAAUUAGAAGCACAAUUAGAGAAUUACUAAGAAUCCUCUUGAUAGAUCCGGAAACCAAUCGAAGAUUGACUCCUAGUUCUAAUCCUAUGUAGCUAUGCUAAUCUAGAUAUCUAAUUGAUGUGGUGGCUCUAAUCUUGAUCAGAGGCUUCUUCUCCCUUGAGGAACAAUUAAUUAGGGUUGAGAGGCGCUCUCCUCCAGGGGCCAGGGGGUCUGGUUUUAUAGUCCCUUCAAGUGAAUAUGGGCCGUUGGAUCAAACCGACAUAGAUUGAACGGUUAUCCUUGAUCCUUUAGGUCGGUGGAGAUCUUUCCUGAAAGAGUGUCCUGAUUGGAGUCCAACAGGGGGCGGGCGCCCAUGUCAACUGGGCGGGCGCCCAGUGCCUGGCCCCGUUCGGCCUCCGCUUCCUUCCCGUGGCUUCUGGAGUCUUCUAGAUGUAAGAUAAUUGUGCGGCACGUUGAUAUCUCUAUGUAAUCCCGACGUGUGGGCCUUUCUUCCGUAUUUCCUGAUAACCCCCUGCAGAAAUAGACAAACACCAAAACUCGUGGAAUUCUGUUAGAUAAAACCCUAAGUCUAGAUAUUGAUUUCAUUUGGAUCCUUUUCUUUGUUUAUUUGAUAAUUAAAUUUGAUACUUAAGGACCGUCAACAUCAACAUCCAGCUUAGGGGAGGCACCCCCACGUGUAUCUAGAUAAGUAUUACUUUCCUUUCUUGGUUUUAUUUACUAGUAUUUGGAAAUAAAUAGAAAAAUGCAUAACCAUGAAACCAAACAAAGUUUUUCUUUUGAGUAAUAUACAAUAGUUUUGUGUAAUCCUAAGUUUUAAAUAAAAUAAAAAGAAAGUUUGAACCAAUUCUAGGUAAUUGACAAACAUGAUAUGAGAAGGUCUGAGCUACUAUUUAACUUGUUCCAAGUUUCGCUAGAGUUCUGGAGAUUUUAUCUUUUGAAAAUCUAAAAAUUCAAAAAAAAUGAUGACAUCCGGUUUCACAUAAUACCUAGAGUCUUAUAAGAUAUAAAUAUUAAAACUAUGGGCACUUGCUUUGUUCAAGCCAUUGUUAAUUCUUGUAGUUUUGGUUGAGAGAAUUAUCAUGCUCCAAAGAUCAAGAUCUUUUUGUUUUAAAAAUAUAAAAGAUUCACUCUUCCGAAGUAUUAUUGCGCUAGAGGCAUGGGACUAUGCAAAAAUUUGAUUCGAAAAAAGAGUGAGACGAGAGGUAAAAAUGGACAAGUGUCCAAAGUAGAAUUAGGGGUACAAAGAUACCCACCUGAGUGGAAAAAAUGGACACGUGUCCGACAGUAGAAUUAGGGGUACUUGGUGCCCACUUGAAAAAAGGGGAAAAAAGAGAGAGACUGAAAACAGAAAGAGAUGACAAACUUUUCAAAAAGGUCAAAGGUCUUGAUCUAGGAGUAUGACAUUCCUCUCCCUUGCUUCGAGCAUUGACAUAGCAAAAUGCAAAGUAAGUAUGCUAAAACUUUUAAAGGUCUACUCAUAUAUCUUUUGAGAAGAAGGCAAAUGCCUCAGUUUUAUUUUGGAAACUUACAAAAGGACUCCAGAACAAAGGUAAGACAGAAGAACUUGAGACAUAGUGCUUGACUUGAUCGUUUUGUUUUUCAAUCACUUAAGACCUUAGUGAUAACUUAAAAACCCUAUAGUAAGAGGCAUAAAACUAACCCCUUUUUUCUUACUGAUUUUAGCUUUGCUCAGGGACGAGCAAAGGUUAAGCUUGGGGGAGCUUGUUGACGGUCCUUAAUGCUCACAUUUAACCGUCAACUAAUCAUAAAAAAUGACCUAUAUGCAAUCAACAUCAAAGUUUAGGGUUUCAUCUCACAGAAUUCCAUGAGUUUUGGUGUUUGUCUAUUUCUGCAGGGGGUUAUCAGGAAAUAUGGAGGAAAGGUCCACACGUCGGGCUUACAUAGAGAUAUUCACGUGCACCGCAAUUAUCCGACAUCUACAAGAGUCUAUAAGCCACGGGAACGAGUGGGAGGCUGAGGGGGCCCUAGGGCUGGGCGCCCACCCUCCCCCCUUGGGCGCCCGCCCAAGGCUCUCAGCCAAUCAGGGUCCAUCUCGCGGAUAAUGCUCCACCGACCUAAAGGAUUAUGGAAAACCGUGGGAUUAAGGUCGGUUUGAUCCGACGGCUCAUAUUCAUUUGGAGGGCUAUAUAAGCAGACCCCCACCAGCCUCUGGAGGCAUAUCUCUUCUACGGAAUCAAAGCUAGGGUUUCAAUUAUUCAUCCAAGUAGAGAGGAUCCAUCUAGUUCAUAUAGUUCUAGUUCUAGUUCAUCUAGUUCUAGUUCUAGUUGUAAUCUAGAAAAUAGGGAGAGAGAAGACGAGAGCGGAGGAGGAGCCGGAUCUGUCGGAUCUUCCUCAACAUUGUACUUUUGCAGCAAAUGGUUCGUUCUUCAUCGUUCUCCAAGUUCUUCAAUUCAUAAUUUCUGAGUUCUUUAAUUACUUUUAUUUACAUUCAAGUUAUUUAUUGGAUUCCCGCUUGCAUCAAGUGCUCUAGUCUUUGCAACGCUAGAGUAGUAAUUAAUAGAUUAGACGUGGUGCUUAGUCUUGCAAUUACCUAGAAUUACACCCAAUCCUACGGAUUGUUGUGGUAGCCCUAGGGUAGUGACAGCCCUAACGGUCGACGUAGUUCACCUCGUUUGGAUCGGUGUUUGUAGGACCAUAGUCAGAGCUUCCUAGCCCCAUUCUCAUCUCUUUCAACGGUUAGUGUUCUGAUGUCCCGAAAUAAAUAAUCUGUGAAGUAAUUCUUGAUUCUUAGAUCAACUAGAGAACUCUCAGCAAACUUCCUCUCUUCCCACCAAAAAUAAUUAUAUAGUUAUCCUUGGGCGAUCUUGAAUCUUAAUUAGUACACUCACGUUCUCUGUGGAAAAUUGAUACUCUGGAAUACUCCCGGGUGAAAUCUACAACGGUAUCCGUGCACUUGCGGAUUUUUCUGUUUGCGUUUAAAACACCCAACAAUCCACUUCUAUGCCUUUUCCUGAAACAACAAAGCUAAGAAAUACAACAUGGUCUGUGCAAAAACUGCACUUCUCAAGAUUAGCAAAUAAUUUCUCCUUUCUAAGCUCUUCCAAGACAUACCGAAUAUGAUUCACAUGUUCCUCAAAAGACUUGCUGUAAAUUAGGAUAUAAUUGAAGUAGACAACAACAAAUUUUCCAAUGAAAUCUCUCAAGACAUGGUUCAUUAAUCUCAUGAAAGUACUAGGAGCAUUAGUCAAACCAAAAGACAUAACUAACCAUUCAUACAGCCCAAAUUUUGUUUUAAAUGCAGUUUUCCAUUCAUCCCCUAUUUUCAUUCUUAUCUGAUGGUAUCUACUUCUCAAAUCAAUUUUAGUGAGUAUGGUGGAACUACUUAAUUCAUCAAGCAUGUCAUCUAAACGUGGAAUAGGAUGGCGAUAGCGAACAGUAAUGUUAUUUAUAGCUCUACAAUCAACACACAUCCUCCAAGAACCAUCUUUCUUAGGCACUAAAAUUAUAGGUACAACACAAGGACUUAAACUUUCACGAACAAAACCUUUAUCAAGAAGUUCUUGCACUUGCCUUUGUAUCUCCUUUGUUUCUUCUGGAUUGGUUCGGUGUGGUGGUCGAUUAGGUAAUGCAGCUCCUGGAAUGAGAUCAAUUUGAUGUUCAAUCCCACGAAUUGGAGGUAGUCCCGCCGGUGUUUCUUCUGAAAGACAUCUCCAUAGUCCUGCAAAAGAUGAGACACAACACUAGGAAGAGAGGUCAUGUCGUUAGCUGAAAUUAAAAUGUCUUUGUACACAAGUACAAAGAGCACUUGUUCAGGGUUGUUCCUCACUUCUUGUUGGCAUUUCUUAACGUCAUCACUUAGAACAGGGUUUAAUCCGUCCUCAGCAACGAUGUCAGAAAUGUCGUGAUAACACUUACUAAUGCAAUAACCAAGAUUAGAGUAUAAAUCUAUCUUAAGCAACGGUGCCAGAAAUGCUUGUUAGCAUUUCUUAGUGUCGCUACCUAGAAUUGGGUUCUGCUCUACUCAUGAUAAUGACAUUGGCAGUGUUAUAUUGGCAGAUCCGUAGCAUCACCACCUUGAAUAGGAAGCUAGAUCUACCUUCCCGAUAAUGGCGCCUUAUUACCGUUAGGGUAGGGUUCCAGUUCUUAAUCAUGGUAGUGGCACUAGGAUUGCCAUGUUGGUAUUCCUUAACAAGUCACUAGCUCGGCGCAUGUCUAGCAAUAGUGUUAAGUAUAUACCGGGGUGAUAGUUCCUUAGGUUUGGAGUUUAAGUACCGCAAGCGGACGGGAAUUAUCGUGUAGCAUUUCAACCCUGGGAUUUACCGAGUGUCGUAUUUAUAAGUUCGCUCUAAGGAAGGCUUAAUAUGUUAAGGAUUCUAAGAUAAGCAUAGAUCAAAGUAAUUAUGAUAGAAAAAAUGGAAUCAAAGGUCAUAGCAGGUGAUAAACAUUUAUAUGUAGAAUAGUGAUCCAUCACAAUCUAGGCAUGGCAUAUGGGCUAAGGAAUAAAAAGAGACUAAAAGAAUGAAUUGAAUCAAAGAAUAAACAAACAACCUAUUGGAGCAGGUGUGGUCCUAGAUACAUAUCAUGUCAUAGAACAAGUUAAUCAUGUAAUUAUACUACUUAGAUCUAGUCCUGUGUUUAGAUGGUUUGCAAGGUUACGCGAGUACUGUUCUGCCAGCAACCUCCGCAACUAUUUAGACUCCUACACCCUAGCCGAACGUGGGGGAAUGCCAAGGACGGACAGGGCUGUGACCACCUGCCGCCAUCCCCUCAACCGUGGACUAGGACAAUGCAUUUACCCGGCCUUUACACCCAAGCACCAUGCUUACAUGCAAAGAACCUACUCGGACUCCCCCGGGUCCCCGAACCUACGGAUCAACAGGUAAGAAGCCCGAGCCUACUCAAAAGAGCAUGAUAAACCCCCAUCUUCACACAAAGCUAUUUCUAGGCAAUUAAUUAACAUGUGUUGACGGUCCUUAAUGCUCACAUUUAACCGUCAACUAAUCAUAGAAAAGGAUCCAAAUGCAACCAACACCUAGACUUAGGGUUUUAUCUGACAGAAUUCCACGAGUUUUGGUGUUUGUCUAUUUCUGCAGGUGGUUAUCAGGAAAUAAGGAAGAAAGGCCCACACGUCGGGUUUACAUAGAGAUAUUAACGUGUCGCGCAAUUUUCUAUCAUCUAGAAGACUCCAGAAGCCACGAGAACAAAGCGAAAGCUGAGAGGCCUUAGGGAUAGGGCGCCCGCCCUAGUCCUGAGGGCGCCCGCCCACCUUUUUCCACCAAACAGAGUCCAAUUUGGGGACAACACUCCACCGACCUAAAGGAUCAAGGAAAACCGUGCGAUUAAUGUCGGUUUGAUCCAAUGGCCCAUAUUCACUUGAAGGGACUUUAAAACCAGACCCCCUGGCCCCUGGAGAUUGUUGGGUAUUCUUAACAUCAUUACCAAAAGUAGACUAAGUUCUCUAAAUCUAGUAACGGUGCCAAAAAUGCUAAACCUAUCCCUCACACCACUUAAGCCAAGUUGUCAUCCCCAGCAUGAUAUAAGAGACGCGGUAUUGAAAUAUGCAAUUGCUCUUCUAAAUAAAUAAUGAAUUGGAUCUGCAAGCGCACAGAUUAAUACCGAUGUAGCAUUUUAACCGGGAAGUAUUCCAGGUAUCGUUAUUUAUAUUUUUACCACUGGGAAGGGAUUAGCAAUCAUCACUAAUGAUUACAGAAUAGAAUAUGAGAUUGAGCAUCUGUUGGGUAUUCUUAACAUCAUUACCAAAAGUAGACUAAGUUCUCUAAAUCUAGUAACGGUGCCAAAAAUGCCAAACCUAUCCCUCACACCACUUAAGCCAAGUUGUCAUCCCCAGCAUGAUAUAAGAGACGCGGUAUUGAAAUAUGCAAUUGCUCUUCUAAAUAAAUAAUGAAUUGGAUCUGCAAGCGCACAGAUUAAUACCGAUGUAGCAUUUUAACCGGGAAGUAUUCCAUGUAUCGUUAUUUAUAUUUUUACCACUGGGAAGGGAUUAGCAAUCAUCACUAAUGAUUACAGAAUAGAAUAUGAGAUUGAGCAUCUAUCAUUGCAUGUAUAAUUGAGAACAUUAUAUCUAACUCUUCAUACAGGGAUAAGUGUCACAUAAAAGAUAUAUGAAAUAAUAAUAGUGACAAGGAUAACUAAUCUGAUCUAGCCACAUAAUAAAUAUGAUAAGCACCUCAAUUAGAUACUCUAGAAAGUCAUUACAUUGGUAUUAGAACGAACUACAAGAAUAUUCCCUAAGUUAUUCUCAACUAUAUAGUCUAGCAUAUCAUAGUUAGUGCAAGCAUACUUAGCAAUCAUUGCGAGACAAGACUACGCCCAUGCAUAGUGAUAUUAGCAAGGAAUAUGAGAAACAUAGCAAUCACUCCCCUGUAAUAAUGUUGCUCUGCCAGCCCAAUACACGAGAGGGGAACUAUAUAAGAAUCAAUGAAGCUGUCACUAUCACGAACCACCCCACGAUCUGGCAUAUUGGGUACAAUCACAGAUAAAUACGGUAUAAGCACCACGCCUACACAAUAUCUAUCAUUUACCCAUGGAUCCGAUGGAUAAACGCUAUACGAUCCUAAGCAUGUAUAUAGAUCCAAUCUAACUAAGCCAAGUACAUAACUAUGAUAAACUAAGAACAAUAUAAUCUUGAAUAUAAGCAAGCAGAGCAAAGUCAUAAGCAAUAUAUUGAAGUAGAACAAAGUCAUAUUCAUAAUAUUGAAGAACAAAGAUAAUUAGAAAGCAAUUAGAAGCACAAUUAGAGAAUUACCAAGAAUCCUCUUGACAGAUCCGGAAACCAAUCGAAGAUUGACUCCUUCUAGUUCUAAUCCUAUGUAGCUAUGCUAAUCUAGAUAUCUAAUUGAUGUGGUGGCUCUAAUCUUGAUCAGAGGCUUCUUCUCCCUUGAUGGAACAAUGAAUUAGGGUUGAGAGGCUCCCUCCUCCAGGGGCCAGGGGGUCUGGUUUUAUAGUCCCUUCAAGUGAAUAUGGGCCCUUGGAUCAAACCGACAUUGAUUGUAUGGUUUAGAUUCAUCCUUUAGGUCGGUGGAGAUCUCCCGCAAAGCAGAGUCCUGAUUGGACUCAGGAGGUGGGCGGGCGCCCUGACCAACUGGGCGGCCGCCCAGGGUCUGGCCCCGUUUCGCCUCCGCUUCGGUCUCGUGGCUUCUGGAGUCUUCUAGAUGUAAGAUAAUUGCGCAGCACGUUAAUACCUUUACGUAAUCCUGACAUGUGGGCCUUUCUUCCAUAUUUCCUGAUAACCCCCUGCAGAAAUAGACAAACACCAAAACUCGUGGAAUUCUGUCAGAUAAAACCCUAAGUCUGGAUCUUGAUUUCAUUUGGAUCCUUUUCUUUAUUUAUUUGAUAAUUAAAUUUGAUACUUAAGGACCGUCAACAAACUCCCCCAAGCUUACCUCUUGCUCGUCCCUGAGCAAGGAUAGACUCAGCAAUGGAUCAUAAGUAGUUGCAAUAUCUUUAAAAAUUGACGGUACACAUGCUUUUUAAAUAAGAUCUCAUCUCUGAGUUAGAGUAAACUGUCAAGACUUAAAACUUACUUACUUUACCUUCACCAUGGGACUUGUAACUGUCACUUCCGUCUUGAGUGGUUAAAAGAUAGAACAGUCUAGCCAAGUGCCAUGUCUCUUAUUCUUGAUCAUCUAUAGCUCUGGGGUUUUUGCAGAUUUUCAAAUAAAACUCAGAGAUUCCUUGUAUGAUUCUCUCAGAUCUCUCUUUUGUGGUAUUUUUGGAUCCUUACCAAGGCAUUGAUGGUAUAUGCCUUCUCUCAAGAUAUGUAGUAUUUGUGGUAUAAGGCAUAGUGACAUUGCCUUCUCUCUCACCCUACUCUAAUAAGGCUUUAAUAUCUGGAGCUCAUAGGUGGGAGAUAAAGUAUACAUACUCACAGGACAUUUAUUGCAUAGUCAAACCAUGGAUCCAAAGAAACAAAUCAAUAAGCCAAAUCAAGAUGUGCAUGUGUGGCGAAUGAAUGGUGUAUGGUGAUGAUGGUGAUAACAAUGGUGAAAACAAUGGUGGUGGAAGUCUAAUUCUACUUUGCUCUUUUUAGGGGAUACAUACCUUCCUUGCUUUUGAAACUUUAUGAGGAGAAUGAGAUGCUCUUCUUUUUCUUGUCUCUGAGGUGGGUAUCUUGUACCCCUAAUUCUACUGUCGGACAGUUGUCCAUUUUUACCUCUCGUCUCACUCUUUCUUUUCUUUCGAGGUUCCGAGCACUUGCUCCUUUUUAUUUUCUCGUAUAUUUUUUUUAUUUUCUUCUUUUUUUUAGAGCACUCAUCUCUUGAGAUAAUAUAGCAAGUGGUAGUAACAAGAUAACUUGAGCAUUUAUUUCACAAGGGGAAACAGAAAUAUUUUUGGUUAUUCUCUCCCGGAUUAGGAGUAGAAUAUUUUUAGGUGGUUCUGGAGAUGGAAAUGGAUGGAUAUAUGUGGAUGGUACUUCCGGAGUAGAAGUAGCAUAUAUGAGUGAACGUGCAAGUGAAAUCUUGAUUUAACCACAUGACAAGCUCCUAAGGGUCUACACAGCUUGACCACACUCAAUGCUCAUAAGCAGUAAAUAAUAAAUGUGUGGCUCAAAGUCUAGCAAGCAUGUAUAUAUGGCGGUGGUAGGAAUUUAAGCUCUCAUCAUACAGGAACUCAUCAUGCAACAUUUUAAAGAUUUUCAAAGAUAAAAUUCUCCAGAAUUCUAGCAUCUCUAGGAACAGAUAAACAGCAGCUCAACCUUCCCAUAUCGUAUCCGUUAACAACUUAGACUUCAGAUCAAGUUUUCAUCCCACAAGUUUAGGUCUAGGGCAAGCUUUAAAUUAUAACAGUUAUAUCUAAACUUGAGAGAGAACUUAGAAUGUGCAAAUUAGGUAGAGCAACUAUUCAUCAUAUCCAUGCUUAAGUUUUUGUUUAGAUACAGAUUAGCAUAGCCACUUUAUUUAUUUAUUAAACACACUAAGCAAAAGACAUAUAUAAGCAUAAAAUCUUUAUUUGGUUUUCCCAUAGUUUAUGUGUAUUUUAAUAUUCUAAAAUAAUAUAAGUAUAAAAAUAGAUAGAAAUACUUAUCGAGGUAAAUGGGGGUUUUCCCAUAGUUUAUGUGUAUUUUUAUUUUCUUUUUAGGAUAGUGCGAACAUGAUUAACUAAGUAAACUAGUUGAAAUAAUUAAAAGGGAAAGGAUAACUACUAAGUUUACCUCUUGGCAGGGCGUUCGGUGUUUUUAAGUCCUCCGAACGGGACUCUCCAAUUUCUUAAUCGUCCUGAGGUUCGUUGGGUGGCGAAGUCGUUACUUCUGGCAGCGCCUCCUCUUCUUGUAUAGUUAUCUUCAUUUUCCAUACCUGACUCGAUGCUUCAAUCUCCUCUGGAUAAUUCUGUUUAAACUCCACGUCUUCUGACCUUACAACUUCUCCUUCAUAGUCUGCCCAUCCGUCCUUGAUGAUCUGCCUCCUCUGGUUGCGGUUGCGUCUCUUUCUGACCUGCUUAGAUUCUUCAAUGAUAUAGUUAGGGUCAGUAAAAUAACGGCGUACCUUCUCUGAGGGGAAGUGCAUAUGGACUUCUCCGGUUCCAAUGUAGAUAAUUGCUUUAACGGUGCUGAGGAACGGUCUUCCAAGGAUGAUGGGUGGAUCGUACUCGUCUUCUCCUAUGUCAAUAACUUGAAAGUCUGUGUAGACAAAGUGAUCGUCUAUUUUGACUCGGACAUCGGAUAUUAUUCCUUGAACUUCUCGAAAUGUCUGAUCUGCCAUCUGGAGCUGAAUGUAUGUUGGUCUUAGUGGCAUGGUCCCGAACAAGAGCCGAUAAGUGACUGCGGCCAUUAUGUUGACGCCCGAUCCGGUGUCGCAAAUCGUCUUGUAGAAGUUAUAUCCAUUUACGGAGCAGUAGAUGCUUGGCAUUCCUGGGUCGUCCUUCUUGGUCAAACACGGUGACUUAAGUUGGUGAUCUUGGCCUCCAUGGACUACAGUGACCAUCUUAGCUGACUCGGUCCAUACUUGCUUGUUCCUAUUUCUCCUGUUGGUCCUCUUCCUUGAUUCACGUCUGGAUUGAUCUGGAAUUCGUGUAGUCUUGUUCUUGAAGAAAAAUGUCUCCUUGUAAGGACCUUGAUGUCGCCUAGAGGGGGGUGAAUAGGCGUACCAAAAAAACCUGAAACUCAAAACUCAAGUUGCGGAAGUUAAAUGCCUGUCGGUACCACCGACAGUUUGGGCCGGUACUACUGGUGUAAGACAGCCAGUACUACCGACGCAACUGUUGGUACUACCGACGCCCUAAGAGGGCUACGAAAUCAGAGUAUUUUGAGUUUCUAUUCCAGAUGUGAGAGUUACCCCACUCUCCUAGAUGUAGUAGAGGAUGAUGUUGAAGUUCCCUUGGCUUGGUUCUUCUCCAAAACAUAGAUCGGCCCUUGUUCACCUAUGAACGGGGUAGAUAGGAAGAACACAAAAAACACAAGAACAAGGGUAGUCGAAGCUACCUCCACAGCAAGACAUGAUAUUUAUCCCGUGGUUCAGCUCGCCACCAAGGCUUGCCUAUGUCCACGUUGUUGAGGAAGCCACACAGGCUUUUCGGGUCUCUUUCAACCCUAUCCUCGUUCUCAAGUCAAGAGAGCAAUCCCUUGAGAUGAGGGGUGAUUUCACUAGGUGAUUUGAGUGACUACAAACCUCCCGAGGCUACCACAUGAGUAGGAAGCUCUACGGGCAAUGCCUAGCCGGCUAGGAGCCUUGCUCCAAGAGUAACAAACACAAAUCCAACCGGCUUGACGAAGAAAUCAAGUGCUCAAGCUUUGCUUUGAUGUUUCUCUCACCAAGAAUCCUUCUCUCACUCAAUCCCUUGCAAGAUUUGAAGUUAGGAGCAAAGGGGAUACACGAGAGGGGCUUUUGGGAGCUAGAGAGGUGCCUUGGCUGAAGGUUUGGUCGAGUGGAAGAGUGAGCCAACGGUUAGAAAGAGGGGAAAGCUAUUUAUACAGGUGUUCAGAACAACUGCCGGUACUACCGGGGCAACCACCGGUACCACCGGCUACCUCAGAUCUAACGGUAAGAAGUCUCUAUGAUUUGCGAGAAAUAAGCCUACCGGUACCACCGGGCUUUUGUCGGUACUACCGACCAUUGCCGGUACCACCGGUGGAAGGCCGGUACCACCGGCAGUUCAAAUCUCCGCAACCAAAGUCAGCGCGGAUUUGGCCUGCCGGUACUACCGACGUUUCACACCGGUACUACUGGUGCUGGCCGGUACCACCGGCCCGAGCCCGGUACUACCGGUAGUUCAUUUUCUUGCAAAACUCAGGAGAAAGGGCUGGCAUUGCCGGUACGACCGGCCCUGAGGGUUGGUACUACCGGGUCACCUUGGCAGAGAAGAAAUUUCGUGAGUGCCUAAGAGUGCAAGUGUUAGAGUGUCUCUCUUUUGAUUAGUUUUAAUACUUGAGCACUCUAUCUUCCUCAAACCAACUAAAUUUGCAUCCCUCUUUAUAGUGCGGCAAAUCCUAAACUCAAGGUCAAAAGUAUAUAACCAAUUUAACCACUUGAGUCUUCAAUGUCUUCAUAUGCCACUUCUUCUCAAUAUCACUUCAUCAAGGAUGCAAUUAACUUUGUCUCAUCUUCUUUGAGUAAAUAUAGCUUGAGCAUGUGACUUUAAUCAUUUCAACAUAUGUGAGUUCAAUCCAUGACUUCAAGUCACUUCCAUUAAAGAUUUUGAUCCUCAACACAAUAUGACUCAUCAUAGCUUAAUUAGUACCUCGACUCAAUGCAAGUACUCUCUUCUUCACCUUAGCCAUGGUACCUCGGUCUACAAGCCAUUGCUUGACCUUCACCUUCGCUUAGUCCCUCGAAGCCUUUUCCUUGCUAUCUUCACUCUAUCAAGCCAUACUCAAGUCACAUCAUGUUAAGCAUCCAUUGAAAAAUUGUUUCUUCAAUAUUGUGAUUCUUGCUUGAAUAUCUUCUUGAUAUGAGCGUUAACAUUAAACAAGCUUCAGUUUACACCAACACACAACUUUGGUCUUCAUUUGAACAAUGUGUGAAAUACCAUCAAGUUUGCUUUCUUGUUGACCCUUUGAUACACUUAGCAAACUUGUUAGACCCUUAAUUGUGUUGUCAUUCAAUUCACCAAAACCCACUAAAGGGCUAGAUGCACUUACACUCCUUCUUCCCUUUGACGUAUAAACUGAUCUUGGCAGCUCUGGCGUAGAUGAUAGCUCCUGUGGUGUUCAAAAAUGGCCUUCCUAGGAUGAUAGGUGCUCUCUCAUCAUUUCCGGUCUCUACCACUACGAAGUCUGCUGGGGCAUACAAGGUACCAACUCGGACACAAAGGUUCCUCACUAUUCCUUUUGGAAAAGUUAUCGUCUGAUCUGCAAACUGCAAACACAUGGUUGUCUCUAAUAAAGGAUAUGUAAAGAAUUUCUCAUAGAGUACCCUGGGUAUAAUGUUGACGCUAUAGCCAAAGUCAUAGAGUGCUUCUGGAACAUCCACCAUGCCGAUGGAGAUCGGGAUGACGGGGCGUCCUGGAUCGCCUCUCUUGACCGGCAGACGGUCAGUAGAAAAUUCAGUGACGGGGUUACUCCAAUUACCUGCAUGAAACAUGUCUACAAGAUUUGCAGAUUCUAAUCCUUCCGUUUGUGAUGGUAUACCGGGGUUAGUAGUAGGAACAGCAGCAACUAUUUGAUUUAACUGAGAUUCAAUCAUUUUAUUAAAGCUAAUUUGAUUCUUGAUGGCAGUAGAGAAAUUAUCCAUUCUAUUAUUUAUAUUUUCUAGCAUUUUAUCAUUUGAUGCCAAUUUCUUAGACAGGUUAUCCAUUAGCUUUCCUUGAUUAGACACUAACUCUCUCAAAGGUGGAAAAUUAUUAUUAUUGUUGUAAGAAUUGUUACCUUGAUAAUUACCUGAGUAGUUAGGCCUCUGUUGAUUCCAACCUUGAUUUUGUUGAGGACGGUUGUAGUUGUUGUUGUUGUUGUUGAUGUAGUUCACAUCCUCAAGCAUCUUAGGGCAGUGGUUGCCUGAGUGUCCAGUGUCUCCACACUCCUCACAAGCCAAAAAUGCUUGUUGGGUAUUCUUAACAUCAUUACCAAAAGUAGACUAAGUUCUCUAAAUCUAGUAACGGUGCCAAAAAUGUCAAACCUAUCCCUCACACCACUUAAGCCAAGUUGUCAUCCCCAGCAUGAUAUAAGAGACGCGGUAUUGAAAUAUGCAAUUGCUCUUCUAAAUAAAUAAUGAAUUGGAUCUGCAAGCGCACAGAUUAAUACCGAUGUAGCAUUUUAACCGGGAAGUAUUCCAGGUAUCGUUAUUUAUAUUUUUACCACUGGGAAGGGAUUAGCAAUCAUCACUACUGAUUACAGAAUAGAAUAUGAGAUUGAGCAUCUAUCAUUGCAUGUAUAAUUGAGAACAUUAUAUCUAACUCUUCAUACAGGGAUAAGUGUCACAUAAAGGAUAUAUGAAAUAAUAAUAGUGACAAAGAUAAGUAAUCUGAUCUAGCCACAUAAUAAAUAUGAUAAGCACCUCAAUUAGAUACUCUAGAAAGUCAUUAGCAUGGUAUUAGAACGAACUACAAGAAUAUUCCCUAAGUUAUUCUCAACUAUAUAGUCUAGCAUAUCAUAGUUAGUGCAAGCAUACUUAGCAAUCAUUGCGAGACAAGACUACGCCCAUGCAUAGUGAUAUUAGCAAGGAAUAUGAGAAACAUAGCAAUCACUCCCCUGUAAUAAUGUUGCUCUGCCAGCCCAAUACACGAGAGGGGGACUAUAUAAGAAUCAAUGAAGCUGUCACUAUCACGAACCACCCCACGAUCUGGCAUAUUGGGUACAAUCGCAGAUAAAUACGGUAUAAGCACCACGCCUACACAAUAUCUAUCAUUUACCCAUGGAUCUGAUGGAUAAACGCUAUACGAUCCUAAGCAUGUAUAUAGAUCCAAUCUAACUAAGCCAAGUACAUAACUAUGAUAAACUAAGAACAAUAUAAUCUUGAAUAUAAGCAAGUAGAGCAAGGUCAUAAGCAAUAUAUUGAAGUAGAACAAAGUCAUAUUCAUAAUAUUGAAGAACAAAGAUAAUUAGAAAGCAAUUAGAAGCACAAUUAGAGAAUUACCAAGAAUCCUCUUGACAGAUCCGAAAACCAAUCGAAGAUUGACUCCUUCUAGUUCUAAUCCUAUGUAGCUAUGCUAAUCUAGAUAUCUAAUUGAUGUGGUGGCUCUAAUCUUGAUCAGAGGCUUCUUCUCCCUUGAUGGAACAAUGAAUUAGGGUUGAGAGGCUCUCUCCUCCAGGGGCCAGGGGGUCUGGUUUUAUAGUCCCUUCAAGUGAAUAUGGGCCCUUGGAUCAAACCGACAUAGAUUGUAUGGUUUAGAUUCAUCCUUUAGGUCGGUGGAGACUUCCCGCAAAGCAGAGUCCUGAUUGGACUUGGGAGCAGGGCGGGCGCCCAGUAGGACAGGGCGGGCGCCCUGUCUCUAGCCCUGAUUCGCCUCAGCUUCGGUCUCGUGGCUUCUGGAGUCUUCUAGAUGUAAGAUAAUUGCGCAGCACGUUAAUACCUUUACGUAAUCCUGACAUGUGGGCCUUUCUUCCAUAUUUCCUGAUAACCCCCUGCAGAAAUAGACAAACACCAAAACUCGUGGAAUUCUGUCAGAUAAAACCCUAAGUCUAGAUCUUGAAUUCAUUUGGAUCCUUUUCUUUAUUUAUUUGAUAAUUAAAUUUGAUACUUAAGGACCGUCAACAAACUCCCCCAAGCUUACCUCUUGCUCGUCCCUGAGCAAGGAUAGACUCAGCUAUGGAUCAUAAGUUGUUGCUAUAUUUUAAAAUUUUGACGGUACACAUGCUUUUAAAUAAGAUCUCAUCUCUGAGUUAGAGUAAACUGUCAAGAUUUAAAACUUACUUACUUUACCUACACCAUGGGACUUGUAACUGUCACUUCUGUCUUGAGUGGUUAAAAGAUAGAACAGUCUAGCCAAGUGCCAUGUCUCUUAUUCUUGAUCAGCUAUAACUCUGGGGUUUUUUGCAGAUUUUCAAAUAAAACUCAAAGAUUCCUUGUAUGAUUCUCUCAGGUCUCUCUUUUGUGGUAUUUUUGGAUCCUUACCAAGGCAUUGAUGGUAUAUGCCUUCUCUCAAGAUAUGUAGUAUUUGUGGUAUAAGGCAUAGUGACAUUGCCUUCUCUCUCACCCUACUCUAAUAAGGCUUUAAUAUCUGGAGCUCAUAGGUGGGAGAUAAAGUGUACAUACUUACAAGACAUUUAUUGCAUAGUCAAACCAUGGAUCCAAAGUAACAAGUCAUUAAGCCAAAUCAAGAUGUGCAUGUGUGGCGAAUGAAUGGUGUAUGGUGAUGAUGGUGAUAACAAUGGUGAAAACAAUGGUGGUGGAUGUCUAAUUCUACUUUGCUCUUUGAGGGGAUACAUACCUUCCUUGCUUUUGAAACUUUAUGAGGAGAAUGAGAUGCUCUUCUUUUUCUUGUCUCUCAGGUGGGUAUCUUGCACCCCUAAUUCUACUGUCGGACACUUGUCCAUUUUUACCUCUCGUCUCACUCUUUCUUUUCUUUCGAGGUUCCGAGCACUUGCUCCUUUUUAUUUCCUCGUAUAUUUUUUUUAUUUUCUUCUUUUUUCUAGAGCACUCAUCUCUUGAGAUAAUAUAGCAAGUGGUAGUAACAAGAUAACUUGAGCAUUUAUUUCACAAGGGGAAACAGAAAUAUUUUUGGUUAUUCUCUCCCGGAUUAGGAGCAGAAUAUUUUUGGGUGAUUCUGGAGAUGGAAAUGGUUGGAUAUAUGUGGAUGGUACUUCCGGAGUAGAAGUAGCAUAUAUGAGUGAACGUGCAAGUGAAAUCUUGAUUUAACCACAUGACAAGCUCCUAAGGGUCUACACAGCUUGACCACACUCAAUGCUCAUAAGCAGUAAAUAAUAAAUGUGUGGCUCAAAGUCUAGCAAGCAUGUAUAUAUGGCUGUGGUAGGAAUUUAAGCUCUCAUCAUACAGGAACUCAUCAUGCAACAUUUUAAAGAUUUUCAAAGAUAAAAUUCUCCAGAAUUCUAGCAUCUCUAGGAACAGAUAAACAGCAGCUCAACCUUCCCAUAUCGUAUCCGUUAACAACUUAGACUUUAGAUCAAGUUUUCAUCCCACAAGUUUAGGUCUAGGGCAAGCUUUAAAUUAUAACAGUUAUAUCUAGACUUGAGAGAGAACUUAGAAUGUGCAAAUUAGGCAGAGCAACUAUUCAUCAUAUCCAUGCUUAAGUUUUUGUUUAGAUACAGAUUAGCAUAGCCACUUUAUUUAUUUAUUAAACACACUAAGCAAAAGACAUAUAUAAGCAUAAAAUCUUUAUUUGGUUUUCCCAUAGUUUAUGUGUAUUUUAAUAUUCUAAAAUAAUAUAAGUAUAAAAAUAGAUAGAAAUACUUAUCAAGGUAAAUGGGGGUGCUCUCCCCCAAGCUGAAUUUUGACGUAAUUUCUCUUAAUGUAGCUAGCAGGUGGCAGAGGUGUAUUUGAAAGUCAGCAGUAUUCUGACAGCGAUUAGAAUGUCCUCCGUCUGCCAGUCUUCUUGAUUCUUAAAUUCUGUGGAGCUCAAAUAGACAACAAAGCUUGUGGAACUGAUUAAGUGUUAGCAUAAAUAUCUAGCCUUUAUUAUCUUGAGACUCCUCAAUAAAUAUUACUCCCUGUUUUUAUAUUUUUUUAUUUUAUAAAGCAGAAAUGAAAUUUUUAUUUUAUUUUUAUGCCACCACAGUGAAUGUAUUUAUGGGUUUUAUGCCACUCGUAUACUCACAUGGGGCUUACUGUUUUUUCACAUUUUUAUUUUCUUUUUAGGAUAGUGCGAACAUGAUUAACUAAGUAAACUAGUUGAAAUAAUUAAAAGGGAAAGGAUAACUACUAAGUUUACCUCUUGGCAGGGCGUUCGGUGUUUUUAAGUCCUCCGAACGGGACUCUCCAAUUUCUUAAUCGUCCUGAGGUUCGUUGGGUGGCGAAGUCGGUACUUCUGGCAGCGCCUCCUCUUCUUGUAUAGUUAUCUUCAUUUUCCAUACCUGACUCGGUGCUUCAAUCUCCUCUGGACAAUUCUGUUUAAACUCCACGUCUUCUGACCUUACAACUUCUCCUUCAUAGUCUGCCCAUCCGUCCUUGAUGAUCUGCCUCCUCUGGUUGCGGUUGCGUCUCUUUCUGACCUGCUUAGAUUCUUCAAUGAUAUAGUUAGGGUCAGUAAAAUAACGGCGUACCUUCUCUGAGGGGAAGUGCAUAUGGACUUCUCCGGUUCCAAUGUAGAUAAUUGCUUUAACGGUGCUGAGGAACGGUCUUCCAAGGAUGAUGGGUGGAUCGUACUCGUCUUCUCCCAUGUCAAUAACUUGAAAGUCUGUGUAGACAAAGUGAUCGUCUAUUUUGACUGAGACAUCAGAUAUUAUUCCUUGAACUUCUCGAAAUGUCUGAUCUGCCAUCUGGAGCUGAAUGUAUGUUGGUCUUAGUGGCAUGGUCCCGAACAAGAGCUGAUAAGUGACUGCGGCCAUUAUGUUAACGCCCGAUCCGGUGUCGCAAAUCGUCUUGUAGAAGUUAUAUCCAUUUAUGGAGCAGUAGAUGCUUGGCAUUCCUGGGUCGUCCUUCUUGGUCAAAAACGGUGACUUAAGUUGGUGAUCUUGGCCUCCAUGGACUACAGUGACCAUCUUAGCUGAAUCGGUCCACACUUGCUUGUUCCUGUUCCUCCUGUUGGUCCUCUUCCCUGAUUCACGUCUGGAUUGAUCUGGAAUUUGUGUAGUAUUGUUCUUGAAGAAAAAUGUCUCCUUCUUUCCUUUGAUGUAGAAACUGAUCUUGGCAGCACUAGCAUAGAUGAUAGCUCCCGUGGUGUUCAAAAAUGGCCUUCCUAGGAUGAUAGGUGCUCUCUCAUCAUUUCUGGUCUCAACCACUACGAAGUCUGCUGGGGCAUAUAAAGUACCAACUCGGACACAAAGGUUCCUCACUAUUCCUUUUGGAAAAGUUAUCGUCUGAUCUGCAAACUGCAAACACAUGGUUGUUUCUAACAAAGGAUAUGUAAAGAAUUUCUCAUAGAGUACCCUGGGUAUAAUGUUGACGCUAGAGCCAAAGUCACAGAGUGCUUCUGGAACGUCCACCAUGCCGAUGGAGAUCGGGAUGACGGGGCGUCCUGGAUCGCCUCUCUUGACCGGUAGACGGUCAGUAGAAAAUUCAGUGACGGGGUUACUCCAAUUACCUGCAUCAAACAUGUCUACAAGAUUUGCAGAUUCUAAUCCUUCCGGUUGUGAUGGUAUACUGGGGUUAGUAGUAGGAACAGCAGCAGCUAUUUGAUUUAACUGAGAUUCAAUCAUUUUAUUAAAGCUAAUUUGAUUCUUGAUGGCAGUAGAGAAAUUAUCCAUUCUAUUAUUUAUAUUUUCUAGCAUUUUAUCAUUAGACACCAAUUUCUUAGAUAGAUUAUCCAUUAGCUUUCCUUGAUUAGACACUAACUCUCUCAAAGGUGGAAAAUUAUUAUUAUUGUUGUAAGAAUUGUUACCUUGAUAAUUACCUGAGUAGUUAGGCCUCUGUUGAUUCCAACCUUGAUUUUGUUGAGGACGGUUGUAGUAGUAGUUGUUGUUGUUGUUGAUGUAGUUCACAUCCUCAAGCAUCUCAGGGCAGUGGUUGCCUGAGUGUCCAGUGUCUCCACACUCCUCACAAGUCAUGUGAGAGUCGUAGAUGUGCAUAACUUCUUUCUUGUCUCUAGCUCUAUCGUCGAGCUUCUUCAUGAGCAGGUCUAGCUUUGCAGACAGCAUGCCUACCUCCUUGAGCUGAUGUAUACCUCCACCUCUCUUGCGUGUCUGGGUCCUCUCUUCAUUCCAGCUUUGGUUGGACGCCAUCUUCUCCACAAGAGCUGUGGCUUGUGGUAUAGUAAGUGAUAAGAAUGCUCC
rnacentral:lncRNA from 1 species